rnacentral:lncRNA from 1 species
AUUGGUGGCUGUUGUGAAAACGGUGGUUGGUGUUGCUGCAAAAAUGGUGGUUGUUGUUGUUGUUGCUGCGAAAAUGGUGAUUGUUGUUGUUGCGAAAAUGGUGGUUGCUAUUGCUGUGAAUAUGGUGGCUCUUGUUGCUGCGAAAAUGGUGGUUGUUGUUGCUGCGGAAAUGGUUGUUGUUGUUGUUGUUGCUGUGAAAUUUGCGCAACGGCACUUGCCGCCGCAAGAGCGAGGAGGGAAAAGACGAGGAAUGUCUUCAUUGUGGAUUGAUGUCAACUAGUGUUGCUUGGUUUUGAUGCUUGUGCUUGUGAUGAUCUUUAUACUUCAUGCCUAUUUAUAGUAGCCCGGGCACCACCUCUUUUCUUCUUUGCAUCAGCUUUAAUAAAUUUGUUUGGCUGCAUCUGAAAUGAAUUUUUUUGGUACAUUGUGUUUGGUUGCGCUAGCUACAAGCGUACUUUUGGAUUAAUCAUCAAAGUUGCUUUUUAGUUGUGCAUAUGAUCACACACGAAGUACAGAAACCCUGAUGUUUGUUAUAUAUGACUCAUCUUAUUCACUUUACAUGUCACACACUUAUCAAGAUAGUAUCACUUUUGCAACCGAGUUUGGAACCUUGUAUAGGCUAUCAACCAUAAACUAAAAAGGCAAAACUUUUGUAGGACUAAGUUGCAAUCGUGUGUGGGCUGUUAAGAUAUGCUCGAUUAUUAAAGCCUUGCGUGUGGAGGGUUCUUCUAGAGUUGGUUGCUUUUUAUAACUAAUUUUGUAUUUUCCACUAAGAUGAUAAGAUGAACCGACGCCUAUAGAGCAUGACAUGACUCAUCGAAUUCCCUUUAUAUGAAAAGGAUGAUAAUUGCUUACAAGAUACUCCUACUAGCAUAUAUUCGGUCCUAAGUCUAGACAUGUCAUCAUUAGUUCCGUGUUUUUGUUUAGAUAAAUCAUCAGUUCCAUCUAUUUGUGAAAGCUUUUGGGGGGGGGUGACAGUUUUUUUUGGCGCUAGGGGAAAAAUCUUUUUUGAUCUAGGGGGAAAUGAUAGAUGGGGCUGGAACAGAGGCCCGCAGCCUAGAGCGAGAGAUUAGGCCCAACAUAAGCGCUGUGUGUUAGGGCACCAAUUCGAAUUGGGCUAUAGUUUUCGUAGGCCCCAAUGUCACAAGCCGAACUCACACUCCGCAGAUCUGCGUCAUCUCCUUGCUCGUCCUCCUCGCCGGUCAGACCUCUCGUCGGCGUAGCCUCUCCUGGAUCCCACCGCCUGCGGCCGGUCACAUACGUCUGAGGCAGCGGAGGCGGAAGCCUCCCUCCUGCCCUCCGCACCCGCUACCACCACCAUUGGUCGACAAAAAGGUCACUUUUGAAGCUCCUUCGUCGAUUGCGGGCCGUACGUCGACGGCAGCCACUCCGGCCUCCCCGCUAAAACAAGGUAUCGAUCCUGGCCGUCUGUCUCCUCCAACGAUUCAAUUCACAUGAAUUCGAGAGGCGUACCCAUCUCCAUGCCAGCCACAUGAAUCAGGAGGGUCAUGAAGCAGGAUUCAUCUGCGUAGCCUGAUAGUGACAUACAUUUGUGGCUUUGGUAGCUAAGCAACUUUGUGCUUUCUAUGGAUGUCACUUCAAAAGUUCAAAUAAUCAUCAAAUUUCCGCCUUUGGGUGCUGCAGGUGGAGUGGAGGACAUUCAGUUUCCCUCUGAUGUCCGAGAAGUCCGUCUUCGGUGCAGCAAUUGUGGGUGUCAAAACCGGGGGAUCUCGGGUAGAGGGUCCCGAACUGUGCGUCUAAGGCGGAUGGUAACAGGAGGCAGGGGACACAAUGUUUACCCAGGUUUGGGCCCUCUCGAUGGAGGUAAUACCCUACUUCCUGCUUGAUUGAUCUUGAUGAUAUGAGUAUUACAAGAGUUGAUCUACCACGAGAUCGUAGUGGCCAAAUCCUAGAAGCUAGCUUAUGAUUAUGAUUGUUGUUGUCCUACGGACUAAACCCUCCGGUUUAUAUAGACACCGGAGGGGGCUAGGGUUACACAGAGUCGGUUACAAGGGAGGAGAUCUACAUAUCCGAAUUGCCAAGCUUGCCUUCCACGCAAAGGAGAGUCCCACCCGGACACGAGAUGAAGUCUUCAAUCUUGUAUCUUCGUAGUCCGGCCGAAGGAUAUAGUCCGGCUGUCCGAGGACCCCCUAAUUCAUGACUCCCUCAGUAGCUCCUGAACCAGGCUUCAAUGACGAUGAGUCCGGCGCACAGAUUGUCUUCGGCAUUGCAAGGCGGGUUCUUCCUCUGAAUACUCCAUAGAAGAUUUCAAACACAAGGACAGUGUCCGGCUCUGCAAAACAAAUUCCACAUACCACCGUAGAGAGUAUAAUAUUUUCACAAAUCUAAUCUGCUGACAACUUUUCAUAACGUGACAUCACGCCAUGGCCUGGUCAUUAUUUGAACCGUUUUUCUCAACCAACUACUACACAUAUUGCGAGGCGGUUUUCUUGACAUGUCUUGUCAAAGCAGAGAUCGUGUCCCCUUAUCAUGAGAUUCUAAUCAAUAUGGGCGUGGGUAACCCAACCGCGCCAUCAAUCACGAUGCUUGGGGAAUAAGCGAGUUUACCAGUCAAGUGGGGAGGCAUAGAAUCCCUGCUGCCUUUAUAAGGGGAUAAGGACUCCCUUUCGCACCCACGCUUUCUUCUUCCCGAUCCAUUCCCCUUUGCCCGAGCUCCAGCAAUAGAGCGUUCGUCUUCUCUGCCCACAAAGGCCUUCCGAAAAUGUCCGGAUCAUGAGCAGGAGGCAAGUGGAUGGCCUCUACUGUCGAGGAGAAGCAUAUCAAAAAGUUUUGGGAGGCCGGGUAUCUGGCCAAAAAAAUCGACCACCGUCUCCCGACGGCGGGACAGAACGUUCCUACUCCGGAACCCCAAGAGAGGGUUGUAUUCCUCCCUCAUUUUGUCUGCGGGCUAGGGUUUCCCCUCCACCCGUUCGUUCGCGGCAUCAUGUAUUAUUACGGGAUCGAUUUUCAUGAUGUAUCCCCCAAUUCCUUCCUCAACUUCUCGACAUUCAUCAUCGUGUGCGAGGCUUUUCUCCGCAUCUCGCCACACUUCGGCUUAUGCCUGAAGAUCUUUAAUGUGAAGGCCAAGGUGGUGAGCGGCGAGCACGCCGAGUGUGGGGGCGCCAUGGUGAGCAAGAUGCCCAAUGUCACCUGGCCAACAUGUACUUUUAAUGAUUCCAUCAAAUAGUGGCAACAACAGUGGUUUUACAUUACUAAGCCACGCAGCACGGAAUGGGCCGCUGCUCCAGAGUUCCGAUCCAGAGCCCCUCUGCGGCUUACGUCCUGGCCCAAGAAGGGCCUGAACUGGUCUUCGUCUGACGAACUGUCUAUGCUCCAGACGCGCAUUAAAGAUAUGGAAGACAAGAACAUCGAACUUGUCAUUGUAGUCCAGGUGAUGUUAGUUCGCGGGAUCCUGCCUUGUCAGCACCAGACUUGCAAUAUGUGGGAAUUCGAUCCGGCCAAGCACCAGACCCUGUGAAAACUCUUUGGAUCCUCGCACGAAGACAUCUGGAAGGUGCUUUUCAAGUCUGGAAAAUCAUGGACGGACUCGGCCGAGGACCGUGGGUAUCAACUGUCCCGCCCUGCAAGCUCGGUAAGUUUUAUGCGUUUUACCCGCAUAACCCAAGGGAAAUGCCUAAUGUGUUUUCCUCAAUUCCCCUAGGGCUGGACGAAGAAGGCGGGGCGGAUCCACUGUCCGGUCCCGUUGCCCGAAGAACCGGCCGGCCCACUUCUGACGAAGAUGCUGGCCCCGGCGCCAUACAAGGCACCGAAGAAGAAGACCAAGGAGGCCAAAAAGACCCGAGGCGGCCUUCGUCGCCGCGGCACUUCAGCCACAAUAUCCGAAGGCUCCAAACCCCGUUCUGCCUCUGAAGAGGACGAGGAGGAGGAAGACGAAUCCCCAGUGGGGGGAAGAAAAGAAGAGGGCGGCCUCCAUACACUUGGAGGCCGAGUCACCUAAAAGGGGAAAAGAUCCUCUUCGUGAAGAGUCCACUGCCGCCGCCGACAGCAGCCCGGCAUGGGAUCCCAGGGCCCAGCCCCUGGUGAACUCGUGAGUAUAAAAUCCGAACACGUUUAUGCGUCCAGACUCAUCAUGGCAUAAUAUUUUAACCUGAGCUAUAUUUUUUUCAGUCCGGCGAGGUCCCGCACCAAAUGAUCCUCAUCAGAGGAUUCGCUAAGCUCGGAUGCUAUAGAGAGCGGGACGCCCCCAAAGGCCCCUUCCCCCAAAUGUGUGCAUAACACCGAGGCUUCGUCCCAGAAGGACCCCGGCCAAGGAGGGGGGGAAGAGAUCGUGAAAGCAGCGCCUGGAGUUCAAACUUCGGGGGCCGGAGACAUGGGGGAGAAGAUUCCCAUGGGAGUCGACGGCGGGAGCCAUCUUGAAUUCGGCUCCCAGCCGGGCGCAAUUCCGGAGACCAAUACGGCUCGAAAAUCAAGCAGGCGGCCUCCCUCGGUUGGAGGGGGCGUGCCUGUUCCACCGGCAAUCUCUGUCCAGCCAGAGGUGCCGGAUGUUUUGUUGGCGGCGCUGAAGAGCGCCUCCAUCGUCGAUGAACACCGUGCCCUGAUGGGUGUGGUGAUUAAGGAGAUUCAGUCUGCUGAGAGUGGACUGAAUGAAGCUUGUAUCAGCCUUAUAAGAGGCUUUGAGGUAUGUUUUAUGAGGUUUCGAAGAGUGUCAUAGUAUGGAUAGUAGCCCCUGAUACACUGUUCGGUGCAAGAAAGGACCGAACAAAGGAUCAAUUUUAUGUUCGCAGGAAGACUCACUUGAUGACAUCUAUCUCUCUUCUUUUAUAAGCAGGUGUCUGCAGUGGCUGCUGCCUCUCAUGCUGCGGAGGUCUCCGGACUAAAUCAAAGUCUGGAGCGGGCCGAAGAAGAACUUGGCCAGUUGAAAAGCCAGUUGGAAGAUAAACAAGGUAUGCGCAAGCAGGGGCGGAAUUGGGCCUAUGGCAACUAGGGCUAUAGCCCCAGGCGUGGCCCAACUAGUGCUAUUAGAUCCAGAUGAAAAUUUUCAGAUUUUUAGAUUUUAAGAGGCCCAGCCCCAGGCGUGACCACCCAGCUCCAGGCCUCAGCCGCUCAGCCCAUGUACCUUCUGAGGCUCGCAGCCCAACUAGCUCUGCAUAUUUUGCUCCUAACAAAAGCUAUGCAUCGCCAAGCAGCAGGAAGCCAUGCCCACGUUUUGCCCUAAGGAAACGUUUUUGCUAACAAAACAACGCCCACGUUUUCCCCUAAAAAAACCUUUUUGCUAGAAAAACGACGCCCAGGUUUGAUCGUUGGUCUGUUGCGAUUCCAAAGGAAUCGAUCGCACGACGAUUCGAUCGAUCUGACAAAACAUAGUUGCCUUGUUCCGUGCGCCGCCUGAGGUGUUUCCCUUCCCCUCGAUGGCUCGACAGACCUGCGCAUGGCCUCGUCACUUCGUCGGAGCAGCCCCCUCCAAGUCCAACCUUCUGGUCUUUUCCAUCUCCACAACCGGCAACGUCUUGUUCUUCUCCGUUUCCACAACCGGCUAGACUGGUAUUUUCUACUUUGGUGUAUCGUCUAUCUUUUUGCUAGAUCCAAGAUGAUUAAAUUGUACUCGUAUUACUUUAGUCAAUUUUUGUUUCGGUAAUUUGUAAAAGCAAAAAUAGAUAGAAACCCAAGAUGAAUAGGAUACGUACGAUUGUUUUAAGCAACAUCCAGCCAGCCUUCAUCGAACAAUACCAACAUCAUCAUUGUUAAACUAUUUUGUUCUAUUAAAUUUCCUCUUGUGGUAAAAAUGAAUUCAUAUAUCAUUUUUAAAGUGAAGUUGUGAUUCCCGCCAGAAAAAACUGAAUUUGUGACGUACUUGUAACAUGCACUGGUUUGUGUGGUAUAGUUACUUAGUUUUAGUCCUAGGCUUUGAGAAAUCCUGGCUCCGCCUCUGUGCGCAAGCCUUGUUCGCAUUUGGUGCAAACAAAUUCUCAUUAUGAUAAAAUAUGUUUCAUUAUUUGCGCCAGGGGUGAUGACCGAAGUCGAGGCUUUGAGGAAGGCAGUUGCCGAGGCCGAGGAAAAGGCGGCCGCAGAGCAGGCUCUUCGUGAGAAGCACGAGGCCAGGGUUAUUGAAGCUGAGCAGGAGCUUCAAGAGUCCGUGAAGAAAUGCGAGACCUUGGAGCAGAGUUUAGCGGAGAAAGAAUCCGAACUCGCCAGGGCUCAUCAGGCCGCGCGCGAUGCCCAGGGGGAAACCCAAGGCGCCCUGCAGGAGAUCCAAGAGGCGAGGACGAUCACGGCGGGUAAGGCUUUUUUCCAUGUAAAGCAAGUAUUUGAGGAGAAAACCAUGUUUCUAAUUUUGAGUUCGGAUUUCUCCAGGGGUAUUUGCGGAACUACCCCGCAGCAUAUCGGAUGCCGCCCAAUUCUACCGAGCCAAAGAAGGGAACACUGCGGAUAAUCUCUUCUGGUCGCAGUAUUUAGCACCGAUUUAUCCGCUGCCUUUUGCCGACCAAAUGAAACAACUGAUCGAACUGCAUAGGGCGGCCGAACUAGCCAUGAAGGAUUUGAUUAUCCGGCUAUGGCCUGCCGAGCCGAUUCCAGGCAGCUACUUCGGGCUCGUGAAGCGGCUUGUGAGUGCCUGCCCUCGACUUGAUGUCAUCAAGCGGUCGGUCUAUAUAGAGGGUGCGCGAAUAGCCUUCACUCGCGCAAAUGUGCACUGGGGGAAGAUGGAUGCUGAAAAGCUGAUGACCGAGGGACCGCCAGAGGGGAAGGAGCACCGCAAGCCCGAAUUAUAUUAUGAAAGUGUCCUCAAAGGAUCAUGCCUAGCGGCGGAGCAAUGCACCAAGGACAUUAUAUUUCCAUGAAUACAAUCAUGUUGUCAUUUGUAAUGUCGAACAAGGUCAUUUCUAUUAUUUAUUGCCUGUUAUAUACAAGUUUAUCCUCCUACACGGCCGUUUUAUAUAUUAAUCCUGAGAGUUGGCCAGUGAUAUGUCUCCAACAUAUCUAUAAUUUUUUAUUGUUCCAUGCUAUAUUAUAUUCUGUUUUGUACAUUAUUGGGCUUUAUUAUACACUUCUAUAUUAUUUUUGGGACUAACCUAUUAACCGGAGGCCCAGCCCAGAAUUGCUGUUUUUUUGCCUAUUUUAGGGUUUCGCAGAAAAAGAAUAUCAAACGGAGUCCAGACUGAAUGAAACAUUCGAAAGCAUGAUUUUCGGAACGAACGUGAUCCAGAGGACUUGGACCCUACGUCAAGCAAUCAACGAGGAAGACACGAGGUAGGGGGGCGCGCCUACCCUCCCUCAGGCGCGCCCUCCACCCUCAUGGGCCCCCUAUUGCUCCACCGACAUACUCCUUCCUCCUAUAUAUACCUACGUACCCCCAAACUACCAGAUACGGAGCCAAAACGCUAAUUCCACCGCCGCAACUUUCUGUAUCCACGAGAUCCCAUCUUGGGGCCUUUUCCGGAGCUCCGCCGGAGGGGGCAUCGAUCACGGAGGGCUUGUACAUCAUCACCAUAGCCCCUCCGAUGAAGUGUGAGUAGUUCACCUCAGACCUACGGGUCCAUAGUUAUUAGCUAGAUGGCUUCUUCUCUCUUUUUGGAUCUCAAUACAAAGUUCUCCCCCUCUCUUUUGGAGAUCUAUUCGAUGUAAUCUUCUUUUGCGGUGUGUUUGUUGAGGCCGAUGAAUUGUGGGUUUAUGAUCAAGUUUAUCUAUGAACAAUAUUUGAAUCUUAUCUGAAUUCUUUCAUGUAUGAUUGGUUAUCUUUGCAAGUCUCUUCGAAUUAUCAGUUUGGUUUGGCCUACUAGAUUGAUCUUUCUUGCAAUGGGAGAAGUGCUUAGCUUCGGGUUCAAUCUUGCGGUGUCCUUUCCCAGUGACAGUAGGGGCAGCAAGGCACGUAUUGUAUUGUUGCCAUCGAGGAUAACAAGAUGGGUUUUAUAUCAUAUUGCAUGAGUUUAUCCCUCUACAUCAUGUCAUCUUGCUUAAAGCGUUACUCUGUUCUCUUGAAUUUAAUACUCUAGAUGCAUGCUGGAUAGCGGUCGAUGUGUGGAGUAAUAGUAGUAGAUGCAGGCAGGAGUCGGUCUACUUGUCUCGGAUGUGAUGCCUAUAUACAUGAUCAUACCUAUAUAUUCUCAUAACUAUGCUCAAUUCUGUCAAUUGCUCAACAGUAAUUUGUUUAUCCACCGUGAAUACUUAUGCUCUUGAGAGAAGCCACUUGUGAGACCUAUGGCCCCCGGGUCUAUUUUCCAUCAUAUUAAUCUUCCAACACUUAGUUAUAUUUAUUUCCUUUUAUUUUACUUUGCAUCUUUUAUUUCUCUUUAUCAUAAAAUACCAAAAAUAUUAUCUUAUCAUAUCUAUCAGAUCUCACUCUCGUAAGUGACCGUGUAGGGAUUGAAAACCCUUUAUCGCGUUGGUUGCGAGGAUUUAUUUGUUUGUGUAGGUGCGACGGACUCGUGUGUGGCCUGCUACUGGAUUGAUACCUUGGUUCUCAAAAACUGAGGGAAAUAGUUACGCUACUUUGCUGCAUCACUCUUUCCUCUUCAAGGGAAAACCAACGCAAGUGCUCAAGAGGUAGCAGCCAGUCGUCGGCUUCUGCCCCCACGUAGGAAGUACGGGGGUGUUCGGGAUAAACCACGUAAGGCAGCAAAACAUGGGAGUCGGGCAAACCCAACAUUUGACCCAAGACAUGAUUCGGAGCUGAUGCAUGUAAUGCUAUAAGUUCGGGGUGCCGAACUUCCAUGAAGGCGUUCGAACUUUAUUGCCGUAUUAUGGCUAAAACGAAGCCCUUGGCCUAUUUAAAGCAUAUCACGGUGUACGGAUGCCACUUGACAAAAGAAUUUCAAUAAGAAAUAACAACAGAUAAGCGUUAUAUAAACCCACAUGUUGUAUUUGAAUAGUAAGUCGAUGUGUGUGAGUACGGGUAAUGUGAUAAAAAAAGAAAUAUGACUGUGGAACCUGCUGAGACCAGGGGGAAGAAGGUGUGUGCGGAUCCGGAGUAUAGUCGGAUGGUCAUCGCGGGGAAUAUCUAAGGAUUCCCUUGCGCGUUCGAGCUGCUUCCAUAUCGCCAGUCCUGGUCUGCGCAAAGUUGAACCUACAAACAAAAUGUAAGAAAUGCUUGUGUGCCGCAGAGCGGUUGAGCCGCGGUAUGUGGCCUGUCGUGGCUUUCGCCGGAGUGUUUAAUUGAGCUCUGGACGAGCCGGGCUAUCUUGCCGCGAAGUAGUUCGAAGUCCUUUGGCGGUGUCCGGGAAUCGGGUCGUCGAGUCGAGGUUCGGUUGGGAGGUGCCACUUGUAGCUUCUGUUGUUAAAGCAGCAGUAUACUCUUUGGUGUCGUGGGGAAGUUCGGCCUUGCCAUUAACCGUGAUGACGCCUAAUGUCUACUACACAACCUUCUUCUUGUAGACGUUGUUGGGCCUCCAAGUGCAGAGGUUUGUAGGACAGUAGCGAAUUUCCCUCAAAUGGAUUACCUAAGGUUUAUCAAUCCGUAGGAGGCGUAGGAUGAAGAUGGUCUCUCUCAAGCAACCCUGCAACCAAAUAACAAAGAGUCUCUUGUGUCCCCAACACACCCAAUACAAUGGUAAAUUGUAUAGGUGCACUAGUUCGGCGAAGAGAUGGUGAUACAAGUGGUAUAUGGAUGGUAGAUAAAGGUUUUUGUAAUAUGAAAAUAUAAAAACAGCAAGGUAACUAAUGAUAGAAGUGAGUGUAAAUGGUAUUGCAAUGCUAGGAAACAAGGCCUAGGGUUCAUACUUUCACUAGUGCAAGCUCCCUCAACAAUAAUAACAUAAUUGGAUCACAUAAUUAUCCCUCAACAUGCAACAAAGAGUCACUCCAAAGUCACUAAUAGCGGAGAACGAACGAAGAGAUUAUGGUAGGGUACGAAACCACCUCAAAGUUAUUCUUUCCAAUCAAUCCGUUGGGCUAUUCCUAUAAGUGUCACAAACAGCCCUAGAGUUCGUACUAGAAAAACACCUUCAGACACAAAUCAACCAAAACCCUAAUGUCACCUAGAUACUCCAAUGUCACCUCAAGUAUCCGUGGGUAUGAUUAUAUGAUAUGCAUCACACAAUCUUAGAUUCAUCUAUUCAACCAACACAUAGAACCUCAAAGAGUGCCCUAAAGUUUCUACCGGAGAAUCAUGACGAAAACGUGUGCCAACCCCUAUGCAUAGGUUCAUGGGCGGAACCCGCAAGUUGAUCACCAAAACAUACAUCAAGUGAAUCACGUGGUAUCCCAUUGUCACCACAGAUACGCACGACAAGACAUACAUCAAGUGUUCUCAAAUCUUUAAAGACUCAAUCCGAUAAGAUAACUUCAUAGGGAAAACUCAAUCCAUUACAAGAGAUUAGGGGGGCAGAAAACAUCAUAAGAUGCAACUAUAAUAGCAAAGCUCGCUGAGGGAGUCCUGGAUUAGGGAUUCUCCGGAUAGCCGGACUAUAUCCUUUGGCCGGACUGUUGGACUAUGAAGAUACAAGAUUGAAGACUUCGUCCCGUGUCCGGAUGGGACUCUACUUGGCGUGGAAGGCAAGCUAGGCAAUAUGGAUAUGUAUAUAUCCUCCUUUGUAACCGACCUUGUGUAACCCUAGCCCCCUCCGGUGUCUAUGUAAACCGUAGGGUUUUAGUCCGUAGGACAACAUACAAUCAUACCAUAGGCUAGCUUCUAGGGCUUAGCCUCUUUGAUCUCGUGGUAGAUCAACUCUUGUAAUACUCAUAUCAUCAAGAACAAUCAAGCAGGACGUAGGGUAUUACCUCCAUCAAGAGGGCCCGAACCUGGGUAAACAUCGUGUCCCUGCCUCCUGUUACCAUCCGCCUUAGACGCAUAGUUCGGGACCCCCUACCGGAGAUCCGCCGGUUUUGAAACUGACAUUGGUGCUUUCAUUGAGAAUUCCACUGUGCCGUCACCAUAAGGCUUGAUGGCUCCUUCAAUCAUCGCUAGCGAUGCGGUCCAGGGUGAGGCUUUCCUCCCCAGACAGAUCUCCAUAUUCGGCGGCUUUGCACUGCGGGCCAAUUCGUUUGGCCGUCUAGAGCAGAUCGAGAGCUACGCCCCUAGCCAUCAGGUCAAAUUUGGAAACUUGAGCUACACGCCGACAUCCGCGGAGACUUGAUCUUCGGCGGAUUCGAGCCCAGGUCGGACGCGCCGCACAGUCGCGAUGAGCAUGACGUAACUCUGUCAUCGGACAAUGUUCGGGAGAUCGCAUCCGCAACUACUCCGUCCAUCAAUCCGGAGCAAGUCGCACCAUCCGAGAGCGGAGGGAUGGACCCCGCCAUGGAGGCCGCACUGUCAGUGGCGAUAGAGCCGGAUACUGACUUCACCCCUUACGAGAGCCGUGUCGCCGAACCACUGGAUUCAUCUCCGGCCACGGACUCCGAGCCGCUCACAUCCAUGCCCGUCUAUUCCGACUGGGCACCGAUCAUGGAGUUCACCUCCGCGGAUAUCUUUCAGCACUCACCUUUAGGAGAUGGGCUAAAUUCAUUAAGGUCUCUCUCCCUAUCAGGAGAACCUUGGCCGAACUAUGUCCGGCUAGAAUGGGAUGCGGACGACGAAGAAAUUCGCUGCCCACCCACCACCCACUGAGUAGCCACGGUCGACGACUUAACCGACAUGCUCGACUUCGACUCCGAAGACUUCGACGGUAUGGACGACGAAGCUGGAGACGAAUAGGAACCACCGCCCUCAGGGCGCUGGACCGCCACCUCAUCAUAUGAUAUAUACAUGGUGGACACCCCCAAAGAAGGCAAUGGCGAUGAGACAACGGAGGAUGACCCCUCCAUGAAGCAACCCAAGCGCCGACGUCAGCGGCACCGCUCUAAGUCCUGCCACAACAAGAGUAGUGGUACCGGCACAGGAGAUAAUAACACUCUGGAUAGCACCGAAGACAACAAUUCCCUCCAGCACGGUGUAGAGCUAGAGGACGAACAAGCUAGCCCUCCAGAGCAGGCAGCAGAUGCAGAACCGGAGGAGGACAAUUACAUGCCUCUCUCCGAAGACGAGGCGAGCCUCGGCGACGACGAGUUUAUCGUGCCUGAGGACCCCGUCGAGCAAGAGCGCUUCAAGCGUUGGCUUAUGGCCACGGCAAGUAGCCUGAAGAAAAAACAGCAACAACUUCAAGCUGAUCAAGACUUGCUAGCAGACAGGUGGACCGAAGUCCUUGCGGCCAAGGAGCAUCAACUCGAGCACCCGUCCAAAAGUUACCCAAAACGCAGGUUGCUACCUCACCUCGAGGACGAAGCAUUGAAACCUCAUUCACCAGUGUACGAUGUGGUUGACCGACCACUACGCGGCCGAGCCACAGAGGCUUUUCAGCCUAAAGUUCAGACCGCACCCCGUCGCCACUCAGUCAAACAUACUAAGGCCCGGGGCAACACAGAGGACCCGCGAGACAUCUUGGACAGUAAGGAAAAAAUCGCAAGGUCAAUAUACGGAACACGGGCACGUGCGCCCACACGGGACGAUGAUCGUUGCGUCGGAUACACCAAGAGUAAAUCCGGCCGGGCCGAAUACAACAGACAAGACUCAUACGAACUAUGUUGGGAUAUAGCCCGGCACAGAGGUGCCGCACACCCCCUAUGCUUCACUGAUUAAGUUAUGAAUCAUGAAUUCCCGGAGGGUUUCAAACCCAUAAAUAUCGAAUCGUACGACGGCACAACAGAUCCCGCUGUAUGGAUUGAGGAUUUCCUCCUUCACAUCCACAUGGCUCCGGUGAUGAUCUGCAUGCCAUCAAGUACUUCCUACUAAAACUCAAAGGACCAGCUCGGCAUUGGCUGAAUAGCUUGCCAGCAGAUUCCAUCGGCAGUUGGGAGGAUCUGGAAGACGCAUUUCUUGACAACUUCCAGGGCACUUAUGUGUGGCCACCGGAUGCUGAUGACUUGAGCCACAUAACCUAGCAGCCAGGGGAAUCGGCCAGACAAUUCUGGACACGGUUACUGACUAAGAAAAAUCAAUUUGUAGAUUGUCCGGAUGUAGAGACCCUAGCGGCAUUCAAGCAUAACAUCCGCGAUGAGUGGCUCACCCGCCACCUUGGCCAAGAGAAGCCGAAAUCUAUGACAGCCCUCACGACACUGAUGACUCGCUUUUGCGCGGGCGAGGACAACUGGUUGGCUAGCAGCAAAAACACAUCGAGGAAUCCGGAUACCUCAGAUACCAAAGAUGUUAACGGUAGGCAGCGUUGUAACAGACCAAAGCGCCGCAAUAACGGCGAUAACACCAAAGAUACGACAGUCAAUGCCGGAUUCAGAGGCUCUAGAUCCGGUCAGCAGAAAAAGCCAUUUAAAAGAAAUACUCCGGCUCGGUCCAGUCUGGAUCACAUACUGGAUCGCUCGUGUCAAAUCCACGGCACCCCGACAAGCCAGCCAAUCUCACCAACAGAGAAUGCUGGGUGUUCAAGCAGGCCUGUAAGUUAAAUGCCGAGAGCAAGGACAAGGGGCUGCAUAGCGAUGACGAGGAGGAGCCCCGGCCGCCGAACACAGGAGGACAGAAGGGUUUUCCCCCACAAGUGAAGACGGUGAACAUGAUAUACGCAACCCACAUCCCCAAGAGGGAGAGGAAGCAUGCACUAAGGGACGUCUAUGCGAUGGAGCUCGUCGCCCUGAAGUUCAACCCAUGGUCUGCUUGUCCGCUCACCUUCGAUCACAGGGACCACCCGACUAGCAUCCAUCAUGGCGAAUCUGCCGCACUGGUCCUAGACCCCAUCAUUGAUGGAUUUCACCUCACUCGAGUCCUUAUGGAUGGCGGCAACAUGCUGAAUCUGCUUUAUCAGGAUACAGUGCGAAAAAUGGGUAUCGAUCCCUCGAGGAUCAAACCCAGCAAAACCACCUUUAAAGGCGUCAUCCCAGGUGUAGAGGCCCAUUGCACAGGCUCAAUCACACUGGAAGUGGUCUUUGGAUCACCGGAUAACUUCCGAAGCGAAGAGUUAAUCUUCGACAUCGUCCCGCUUCGCAGUGGCUAUCAUGCACUGCUCGGACGGACAACAUUUGCAAAUUCAAUGAAGUGCCGCAUUACGCGUACCUCAAGCUCAAGAUGCCAAGACCUCGCGGGGUCAUAACAGUAAAUGGAAACACAGAACGCUCGCUUCGUACAGAAGAGCACACUGCGGCCCUUACAGUAGAGGCACAAAGCAGCCUGUUCAGGCAGACCACUCAUUCGGCGUCACAACCCCCGGACACCUUCAAACGAGUCCGGAACAAGUUGCAACAGGAUCGCCUAGCACGAUCAGAGAUCGCCUAGCAAUCUGGUCCCCAUCCCAGUCCCAGUGAAGCGACAAAAUCCGUGUGGCGCGUACAUAACUACGCAUUGAAAAUACCAUGGACAUAGGCGGGGGCAGAAUCAGAAUACGCCCCGCAUUGUGGCUUAACCACACUAGGGGUUGUAUACCUUUGACAUUCCGCUGACUCUUUGGAAGCCCUUUCCGGCAGUAUGAUUGCCGGACACAUUCCAGAAGCAACAACCAAGGCGGCAAGAAGCUAAGAUGAACACGGGAACCGCCAGGUGGUCUCUAGUAAUACUUGAUAUACCCGCUUUUCACUAUUUAUGCGUAGCUUUCCCUGGGAUAGGACAUUUCGAAUUGUCCUACUUCAUGCUUAUUGCACUACUUGUACCAGUAUGCUUCGACGUAUUAUUCAAAUAACAAUGCAUAUCAUUAAUCUGUCAUUGCAUUCUUUCAGUUUUUCUCUUUCUCUUAUAUGUCCAUUUACGACAAUCCGCACCCGCAUGUUCGGGUAUGGUCAGUACGCCAGGGGCUCUCGUUUACCCCACAAUACGAUGCAAGAAGUCUGAACACUUUCUACAGUGCGGCACCCCGAACUUCUAGCAUUAUAUGCAUCAGCUCCGAAUCAUGUCUUUGGUCAAAUGUUGGGUCGCCCGGCUCCUAUGCUUUGGUACCUUACGUUCUGCUAUAUCGGCUAAGGUAGCGGUGGGAGAACUACUGCGAUUGUGUCCCGGUUCUUCUGGACGAGCACCUCUGUACAGAAAGCCAAAAACUGACUGUCAUGAUAAGGCGAGAGACUGGUCGCUGUUCGAGAGGUCUCAAGUCCUUAAAGACUUUUUCCGCUUCGGGCGAGGAGUCGGCCUUGUCCGGCUUAGGCAUGUAUAGCGCCCCAAAUUCGGCCCUCCGAAUACCAGGGGCUUCGCCAAAAUUUAAAAUCAUAGACUUCUAUGGCUAAGUGAGAGUGAUAAAGCAUUAUAGUCCGAUUGCCUGGUUCGUUGCGCUGAACACCUCCCUUGAAGGACCCAAAAUUUGGGUAAAGAGUGUUCAGAUUUACCCCGAACACCCCAGUACUAGUUACAUGGGGGUAGAAGCCGAUGACUGGCCAACUCUCAGAUUUUAUAAACAGCCGCAUAGAAGGUAAUAUUUUAAAUUAAGAAAGCGUCGCAUGGCGCAAAAAAACUCGUUUCAUAUUACAGGAUCACAUGGGCAUGUUCAUUCAAAAAUUACAUCCUUGGCACACUCAUCUGCCACUCAGCAGGAACCCUUCAGGACACUUUCAUAGUAAUUCUCGGGGCGGCGAUGCUCCUUGCCCUCCGGCGGCCCCUCCUUCACCAGCUUCACGGCGUCCAGCUUCGCCUAGUGCACCUUCGCCCGGGCAAAAGCCCUGCGUGCACCCUCGAUGCAGACGGACCGCUUGAUGACUUCAAGCCAUGGGCAGGCUUCCACAAACUGCCUCACCAGACUGAAGUAGCUGCCGGACAGGGGCUCGCCAGGCCACAUCCGGACUAUAAGGCCCCUCAUGGCCUGUUCGGCCACCUUGUGAAGCUCGACAACUGCUUCAGCUGGUCCCUCAAGGGCACAGGGUGUUCGGUCCCAGUAUACUGAGACCAGAACAACUUCUCCAUUGAGCUCCCCUCCGCAACCCGGUAAAACUCCACGGCAUCCAGUGCACUACGAGGAAGAUCUGCAAACGCUCCUGGAGAGCUCCGAACUCGGGUAAGAAAAAGGAAAGUCUCCUUCACGUGCUUGCUUUGCAUAAAGAAUGCCUUACCCUCUGCUAUCUUCUUCACCGCGUCAAUCUCUUGGAGGGCCUUGUGGGCUUCGGCCUUGGAGCUCCGGACGCUUUCAAGCGCCUGCGCGAGCUCGGACUCACGCGUCUUGGAGUCAAGCUCCAAGGACUCGUGCUUUUUAACGAGAGCCUCGAGCUCUUGAUGCACCUCGCCUUCUCGGGCUUCUUGUAUCUCCCAUUCCAUGCGUUCUUUGGACGCUUUGUCUUCGGCCUCGGACAAUGCCAUCCUCAGGGUCUCCACCUCGUUCGUGGCCCAUGACAAAUUCAUGAUGAUCCUAUUACUUUACACCCGAACUUCCUUUUAACUAUAUAGACAGGGGUAUAUCUUACCUUUGCUCUCUUCAAGCUGCCACUUGGUAAGGCCGAGCUCAUCCUCGGACCGCUUCAGGGCCUGCUUCAGCGCAGAGACCUCCGCAGUACAUGCGGCAGCGACCAACAGUGAAGCCUGCACAUACACAUAGACAUACUCUAAUUAGACUCCUGAGUUAUCAUUUGAUCCUCUAUUCGGCUUUUCAUCGCGAACACCGAACAGAGCAUCAGGGGCUACUAUCUAUGCGGUAAUAUUUUCUUAUAUUUUGAUUGCUUACCUCAAAGCCUGUUAGGAGGCUGGCGCAAGCUUUGGUCAGUCUGUUUUUGGCGGACCGAACCUUCUCAACCACUGCACUCAUAAUAGUGCAGUGCUCUUCAUCAAUGGAAGCGUUGUGAAGCGCUUCCAGCAAGUUGUCCGGUGCCUCUGGUUGUACAAAGGACACCGACACAGAUGGUUGGCCCCCCUUAAUGGGGGACUGCCUGCCAGAGUCUAGAACCAUCGAAGGUUCUGGCGCAGUGUCCGGCUGGGGCCCGAACUCGAAGCCCGUAGGAGCCUCGCUCCCUUGGUACCCAGGGUCCGGGAGGUCGCCGUGAGGCGCCCCCAAGAUCACCUCCCCUUGGCUCGGUGCCUUUUGAGACAACACCUCGGCGUUGUCCGUAGGGCGAGGGGUGGAAGCGGUCGGAGGAGAACCGUUGUUCAUAUCCGACGAGUCCAAAGAGCCGCUCGACGAAGGUACGUCGAGAUGAGCUCAGGACGGACUGCAUAAUCAUGUUCGGCAUGAGAAAAGCCAAUACAAUAAAACAUUCCAUGAAGUACUAUGGUGUCCGGACACUUACGACUUCGCCGGGGGCUUGUCCCUGGGUAGCCACUCGUCGCCAUUGUCGGCGGCCGUCGUGGCACAUUCCGGAGGGAGGUUCUUUCCCUUCUUGGACCCGUCGGCCUCCCUGGAUGGGUCGGCCUUCCUUUUCUUGUCUCUCCCGGCUGGGGGGGAGAACUUUUCUCCUCCUAUUCAUUUCCGUGGGAGGAGUGCGCGUUGGAGUCAUCGGACGAUGAGUCCGAUAUAACCUUGCGCCGGAGACCCUUUCGGGUCCCCGUGGCCUUCUUCUUGGCCUUCUUUUCCGGCACCUCGUAAGGUGCCGGAGUCAGCAUCUUCGUUAGAAGAGCAUCUGCAGGAUCUUCGGGCAGGGGGGCUGGGCAAUCAAGCUGCUCUGCUGUCUCUAUCCAGUCCUGUUAAUGACAUGAAAUCUUAGAUCCAGCACACAACUAAACCAGGGCAAAUAAAUACCCUGAGAGAUAUAAAAGCCUACCAGACGGGCGCGGCGCUUUGCACUAAGUCCGCGGUCCUCGGUGAAGGAGGGAAGCAUCUCGGCGCUCUUGAACAACACCCUCCAGACGUCCUCGUGCAUCGUGUCGUAGAGCUCUCACAGCAUCUGGUGCUUGGCCGAGUCGAACUCCCACAAAAAAGUGCCCGUCGUUGACACGGAAGGAUCCGGCGGAAGAGCAUAACCUGGACCACGUUGACGAGCUUGAUUUUCUUGUUUGUCAUGUUCUGGAUGCAGGUCUGGAGUUCGGUCAGCUGUACCGAAGAACCCCAGGAUUGGCCCUUCUUUUUCCAGGAGGUGAGCCGUGUGGGGAUUCCGGAUCGAAAUUUGGGGGCCGCCACCCAGUUGGAGUCGCGCGGCUCGGUGAUGUAGAACCACCCCGAUUGCCACCCCUUUAUGGUGUCCACAUAGGUGCCCUCGAGCCAGGUGACAUUAGGCAUCUUGCCCACCAUGGCGCCUCCGCACUCUGCUUGCUGGCCACCCACCACCUUCGGUUUGACAUUGAAGGUUUUCAGCCAUAGGCCGAAGUGGGGCCUGAUGCGGAGGAAGGUCUCACACACGACGAUAAACACCGAGAUGUUGAGGAUGAAAUUGGGGGCCAGAUCAUGAAAAUCCAGCCCAUAGUAGAACAUGAGCCCGCAGACAAAUGGGUGGAGAGGAAAUCCCAGUCCGCGAAUGAAAUGGGUAGGAAAAACUACCCUCUCAUGGGGUUUGGGCGUGGGGACGAUCUGGCCCGCAUUUGGCAGCCGGUGCGCGAUAUCCGCGGCCAAGUAUCCGGCUUCCCGUAACUUUUUGAUGUUCUCCUCCGUGACGGAGGAGACCAUCCACUUGCCUCGUGCUCCGGACAUGCUUGGAGCGGUUUGAGAAGAAGAACGCGAGCUUGGGUGCUAGAUCUCGAGUGUGCGGGAAUGGGUAAGCGAGAAGGAAGAAGGCGUGUGUGAAAAAAGUAAAUCUUUGUCCCUUUAUAAGGGCGGAGGAGGCGAUGUGUCUCCCACUUGCCUGGCAAAACUGCUUAUUCCCCAGGUGCCAUAAUUGAUGGCGUGGUUGGGUUACCCACGUCCGUAUUGAUGAGAAUCCCGUGAUAAAGGGAACAUGAUCUCUGCUUUGACAAGACGUGUCAAGAAAAUCGCAUCAUGAUAUGUGCGGAGCUGGUUAAGAAAAGCAGUUCGAAUAAAAACCGGGUCGUGACGUGAUGUCAUGCUAUCAAAACAUGUCAGCAGAUUAGAUUUGUGGAAAUAUUAUUCUCUCUACGGUGGUAUGUGGAACUUAUUUUGCAGGGCCGGACACUAUCCUUGUAUUCAAACUCUUCCAUGGUGUAUUCGGAGGAGGAACCCACCUUGCAAUGCCGAAGACAACACUGCGCGCCGGACUCAUCGUCAUUGAAGCCUGGUUCAGGGGCUACUGAGGGAGUCCUGGAUUAGGGGGUCUACGGACAGCCGGACUAUAUCCUUUGGCCGAACUGUUGGACUAUGAAGAUACAAGAUUGAAGACUUCGUCCCAUGUCCGGAUGGGACUCUACUUGGCGUGGAAGGCAAGCUAGGCAAUACGGAUAUGUAUAUCUCCUCCUUUGUAACAGACCUUGUGUAACCCUAGCCUCCUCCGGUGUCUAUAUAAACUGGAGGGUUUUAGUCCGUAGGACAACAUACAAUCAUACCAUAGGCUAGCUUCUAGGGUUUAGCCUCUUUGAUCUCGUGGUAGAUCAACUCUUGUAAUACUCAUAUCAUCAAGAACAAUCAAGCAGGACGUAGGGUAUUACCUCCAUCAAGAGGGACCAAACCUGGGUAAACAUCGUGUCCCCUGCCUCCUGUUACCAUCCGCCUUAGACGCACAGUUCGGGACCCCCUACCCGAGAUCCUCCGGUUUUGACACCGACACUCGCGAUACAUCAAGAUCGUACCACCUCAAGAACACGAGAGAGAGAGAGAUCAAACACAUAGCUACUGGUACAUACCCUCAGCCUCGAGGGAGAACUACUCCCUCCUCGUCAUGGAGAGCACCGGGAUGAUGAAGAUGACCACCAGAGAGGGAUUCCCCCUCUGGCAGGGUGCCGGAACAGGUCUAGAUUGGCUUUCGGUGGCUACAGAGGCUUCUGGCGGCGGAACUCCCGAUCUAUUGUGCUCCCCGGUCGUUUUAGGGUAUAUGGGUAUAUAUAGGAGGAAGAAGUACGUCAGGGGAGCCACGAGGGUGGAGGGCGCCCCCAGGGGGUGGGCGCACCCCCUACCUUGUGGCUUCCUCGAAGCUUCCUUGAUGUGGACUCCAAGUCUCCCGGGUUGCUUUCCUUCCAAAAAUAAGUUCCGUGAAGUUUCAGGUCAAUUCGACUCCAUUUGAUUUUCCUUUUCUGCGAUACUCUAAAACAAAGAAAAAAAUAGAAAUUGGCACUGGGCUCUGGGUUAAUAGGUUAGUCCCAAAAAAUCAUAUAAAAUGGCAUAUAAAUGCAUAUAAAACAUCCAAGGUUGAUAAUAUAAUAGCAUGGAACAAUCAAAAAUUAUAGAUACGUUGGAGACGUAUCAGCAUCCCCAAGCUUAAUUCCUGCUCGUCCUCGGGUAGGUAAAUGAUAAAAACAGAAUUUUUGAUGUGGAAUGCUACCUAACAUAUUCAUCAUGUAUUUCUCUUUAUUGUAGCAAGAAUAUUCAGAUCCAUAAGAUUCAAGACAAAAGUUUAUAUUGACAUAAAAAUAAUAAUACUUCAAGCAUACUAACUAAGCAAUCAUGUCUUCUCAAAAUAACAUGGCCAAAGAAAGUUCAUCCCUACGAAAUCAUAUAGUUUGGUCAUGCUCCAUUUUCGUCACACAAGAAUGCUCUCAUCAUGCACAACCCGGAUGACAAGCCAAGUAAUUGUUUCAUAUUUUAGUAAUCUCAAACUUUAUAAACCUUCAUGCAAUACAUGAGCGCGAGCCAUGGAUAUAGCACUAUGGGUGGAAUAGAAUAUGAUGAUGGGGAUUAUGUGGAGAAGACAAAAAAGGAGAAAGUCUCACAUCAACGAGGCUAAUCAAUGGGCUAUGGAGAUGCCCAUCGAUUGAUGUUAAUGCAAGGAGUAGGGAUUGCCAUGCAACGGAUGCACUAGAGCUAUAAAUGUAUGAAAGCUCAACAAAAGAAACUAAGUGGGUGUGCAUCCAACUUGCUUGCUCACGAAGACCUAGGGCACUUGAGGAGGCCCAUUGUUGGAAUAUACAAGCCAAGUUCUAUAAUGAAAAUUUCCCACUAGUAUAUGAAAGUGACAAAACAAGAUACUCUCUAUCAUCAAGAUCAUGGUGCUACUUUGAAGCACAAGUGUGGAAAAAAGGAUAGUAGCAUUGUCCCUUUUAUUUUUUUAUUUUUUAUUAUUUGGCCUUUUUUAUUUUUUAAUAUUUGGCCUUUCUUUUUUCCCCUAUUUUUGGGACAAUGCUCUAUUAAUGAUGAUCAUCACACUUCUAUUUAUUUACAACUCGAUACUAGAACAAAGUAUGACUAAAUAUGAAUGCCUCCGGUGGUUGAUAUGUCUCCAACGUAUCUAUAAUUUUUGAUUGCUCCAUGCUAUAUUAUCUACUGUUUUGGACAUCACUGGGCUUUAUUAUCCACUUUUAUAUUAUUUUUGGGACUAACCUACUAACCGGAGGCCCAACCCAGAAUUGCUGUUUUUUUGCCUAUUUUAGGGUUUCGAAGAAAAGGAAUAUCAAACGGAGUCCAAACGGAAUGAAAGCUUCGGGAACAUGAUUUUCUCAACGAACAAGACCCAGGAGACUUGGACCCUACGUCAAGACACAAAAGAGGAGGCCACGAGGUAGGGGGCGCGCCUACGCCCCCCCCCCCCAGGCGCGCCCUCCACCCUCGUGGGCCCCCUGUUGCUCCACCGAUGUACUCCUUCCUCCUAUAUAUACCAACGUACCCCCAAAUGAUCAGAUACGGAGCCAAAACCCUAAUUCCACCACCGUAACUUUCUGUAUCCACGAGAUCACAUCUUGGGGCCUGUUCCGGAGCUCCACCGGAGGGGGCAUCGAUCACGGAGGGCUUGUACAUCAUCACCAUAGCCCCUCCGAUAAAGUGGAAGUAGUUCACCUCAGACCUACGGGUCCAUAGUUAUUAGCUAGAUGGCUUCUUCUCUUUUUUUUUGGAUCUCAAUACAAUGUUCUCCCCCUCUCUUGUGGAGAACUAUUCGAUGUAAUCUUCUUUUUGUGGUGUGUUUGUUGAGAUUGAUGAUUGUGGGUUUAUGAUCAAGUCUAUCUAUGAACAAUAUUUGAAUCUUCUCUGAAUUCUUUUAUGUAUGAUUGGUUAUCUUUGCAAGUCUCUUUGAAUUAUCAGUUUGGUUUGGCCUACUAGAUUGAUCUUUCUUGCAAUGGGAGAAGUGCUUAGCUUUGGGUUCAAUCUUGCGGUGUCCUUUCCCAGUGACAGUAGGGGCAGCAAGGCACGUAUUGUAUUGUUUCCAUCGAGGAUAACAAGAUGGGGUUUUCAUCAUAUUGCAUGAUUUUAUCCCUCUACAUCAUGUCAUCUUGCUUAAGGCGUUACUCUGUUUUCAUUAACUUAAUACUCUAGAUGCAUGUUGGAUAGCGGUCGAUGAGUGGAGUAAUAGUAGUAGAUGCAGGCAGGAGUCGGUCUACCUGUCUCGGACGUGAUGCCUAUACACAUGAUUGUGCCUAGAUAUUCUCAUAACUAUGCUCAAUUCUGUCAAUUGCUCAAUAGUAAUUUGUUCACCCACCGUAGAAUACUUAUGCUCUUGAGAGAAGCCACUAGUGAAACCUAUGGCCCCCGGGUCUAUCAUCAUCAUAUUAAUCUUCCAACACUUAGUUAUUUACUUUGCCUUUUUACUUUUCUUUUAUUUUACUUUGCAUCUUUAUCAUAAAAAUACCAAAAAUAUUAUCUUAUCAUAUCUAUCAGAUCUCACUCUCGUAAGUGGCCGUGUAGCGAUUGACAACCCCUUAUCGCGUUGGUUACGAGGAUUUAUUUGUUUUGUGCAGGUACAAGGGACUCGCGCGUAGCCUCCUACUGGAUUGAUACCUUGGUUCUCAAAAACUAAGGCAAAUACUUACGCUACUCUGCUGCAUCACCCUUCCUCUUCGGGGAAAAACCAACGCAGUGCUCAAGAGGUAUCAAGAAGGAUUUCUGGCGUCGUUGCCGGGGAGUCUACGCAAAAGUCAAUAUACCAAGUACCCAUCACAAUCCCUAUCUCCCGCAUUACAUUAUUUGCCAUUUGCCUCUCGUUUUCCUCUCCCCCACUUCACCCUUUCCAUUUUAUUCGCCUCUCUCUCUAUCCUACCUCUCUUUUUCCGUUCACUUUUUUUCCGCUUGCUUUUUGUUUGCUUGUGUGUUGGGUUGCUUGCUUGUCGCGAUGGCUCAAGAUAACACUAAAUUGUGUGACUUUACCAAUACCAACAACAAUGAUUUUAUUAGCACUCCGAUAUUUCAUCUUACCGAUGCUGAAUCUUGUGAAAUUAAUACUGCUUUGCUAAAUCUUGUCAUGAAAAAUCCGUUUUCCGGCCUUCCUAGUGAAGAUGCCGCUACCAAUCUAAACAGCUUCGUUGAUUUGUGUGAUAUGCAAAAGAAGAAAGAUGUGGAUAACGAUAUUGUUAAAUUGAAGCUAUUUCCUUUUUCGCUUAGAGAUCGUGCUAAAGCUUGGAUUUCGUCUUUGCCUAAGAAUAGUAUUGAUUCAUGGAAUAAGUGCAAAGAUGCUUUUAUCUCUAAGUAUUUUCCUCCCGCUAAGAUCAUCUCCCUUAGAAACGAUAUUAUGAAUUUUAAGCAACUUGAUCAUGAAUAUAUUUCACAAGCUUGGGAGAGGAUGAAAUUAAUGACACAUAAUUGCCCUACUCAUGGUUUGAAUUUGUGGAUGAUUAUACAAAAAUUUUAUGCCAGAUUGAAUUUUGCUUCUAGAAAUCUUUUAGAUUCGGCCGCGGCAGGGACUUUUAUGGAAAUCACUUUAGGAGAAGCUACUAAACUCCUAGACAAUAUUAUGGUUAACUAUUCUCAAUGGCAUACUGAAAGAUCUACUAAUAAAAAGGUGCAUGCAAUAGACGAAAUUAAUGUUUUGAGUGGAAAGAUGGAUGAACUUAUGAAAUUAUUUGCUAGUAAAAGUGUUUCUUCUGAUCCUAAUGAUAUGCCCUUGUCUACUUGAUUGAGAAUAAUAAUGAAUCUAUGGAUGUGAAUUUUGUUGGUAGGAACAAUUUUGGUAACAACGCGUAUAGAGGAAAUUUUAAUCCUAGGCCUUAUCCUAGUAACCCCUCCAAUAAUUAUGGUAAUUCCUACAACAAUUCUUAUGGAAAUUAUAAUAAGACGCCCUCUGAUUUUGAAUCUAAUAUUAAAGAAUUUAUUACUUCGCAAAAGAAUUUCAAUGCUUUGAUUGAAGAAAAAUUGCUUAAGAUUGAUGAGUUGGCUAUGAACGUUGAUAGAAUUUCUCUUGAUGUUGAUUCUUUGAAACUUAGAUCUAUUCCACCAAAGCAUGAUAUCAAUGAGUCUCUCAAAGCCAUGAGAAUUUCCAUUGAUGAGUGCAAAGAAAGAACCGCUAGAAUGCGUGCUAAGAAAGAUGCCUUUAUAAGAGCGUGUUCUUCUAGUUCCGAUGAAAAUAAAGAUGAAGAUCUCAAAGUUAUUGAUGUGUCCCCUAUUAAAUCUUUGUUUUGCAAUAUGAAUCUUAAUAAUUAUGGGACUGAAUAUGAUCCACCAUUAUCUAGAAGGCGUUCCAAGAAUUCGGAGUCUUUAGAUCUUAAUGCUAAAAUUGAUGAAAGUGGGAUCGAAGAAAUCAAAACCCUAGAUGUUGCUAAACCCACUAUUUUUGAUUUCAAGGAAUUUAAUUAUGAAAAUUGCUCUUUAAUUGAAUGUAUUUCCUUGCUGCAAUCCGUGCUAAAUUCUCCUCAUGCUUAUAGUCAAAAUAAAGCAUUCACUAAACAUAUCGUUGAUGCCUUGAUGCAUUCUUAUGAAGAAAAACUUGAAUUGGAAGUUUCUAUCCCUAGAAAACUUUAUGAUGAGUGGGAACCAACUAUUAAAAUUAAAAUUAAAGAUCAUGAGUUCUAUGCUUUAUGUGAUUUUGGUGCUAGUGUUUCCACGAUUCCAAAGACUUUGUGUGAUUUGUUAGGUUUCCGUGAUUUUGAUGAUUGCCCUCUAAACUUGCACCUUGCGGAUUCCACUAUUAAGACACCCAUGGGAAGAAUUAAUGAUGUUCUUAUUGUUGCAAAUAGGAAUUAUGUGCCCAUAGAUUUUAUUGUUCUUGACAUAGAUUGCAAUCCUUCAUGUCCAAUUAUUCUUGGUAGACCUUUCCUUAGAACGAUUGGUGCAAUUAUUGAUAUGAAGGAAGGAAAUAUUAUAUUCCAAUUUCCGUUAAGGAAAGGCAUGGAACACUUUCCUAGAAAUAAAAUUAAAUUACCUUAUGAAUCUAUUAUGAGAGACACUUAUGGAUUGCCUACUGUCAGUGUCAAAACCGGCGGAUCUCGGGUAGGGGGUCCCGAACUGUGCGUCUAGGCGGAUGGUAACAGGAGGCAGGGGCCACGAUGUUUUACCCAGGUUCGGGCCCUCUUGAUGGAGGUAAAACCCUACGUCCUUCUUGAUUAAUAUUGAUGAUAUGGGUAGUACAAGAGUAAAUCUACCACGAGAUCAAGGAGGCUAAACCCUAGAAGCUAGCCUAUGGUAUGAUUGUUCUUCGUCCUACGGACUAAAACUGAAGGAAAUAUGCCCUAGAGGAAAUAAUAAAGUUAUUAUUUAUUUCGUUAUAUCAUGAUAAAUGUUUAUUAUUCAUGCUAGAAUUGUAUUAACCGGAAACAUAAUACAUGUGUGAAUACAUAGACAAACAUAGUGUCACUAGUAUGCCUCUACUUGACUAGCUCGUUAAUCAAAGAUGGUUAUGUUUCCUAACCAUGAACAAAGUGUUGUUAUUUGAUUAACGAGGUCACAUCAUUAGUUGAAUGAUCUGAUUGACAUGACCCAUUCCAUUAGCUUAGCACCCGAUCGUUUAGUAUGUUGCUAUUGCUUUCUUCAUGACAUAUACAUGUUCCUAUGACUAUGAGAUUAUGCAACUCCCGUUUGCCGGAGGAACACUUUGUGUGCUACCAAACGUCACAACGUAAAUGGGUGAUUAUAAAGGAGCUCUACAGGUGUCUCCAAUGGUAGAUGUUGGGUUGGCGUAUUUCGAGAUUAGGAUUUGUCACUCCGAUUGUCGGAGAGGUAUCUCUGGGCCCUCUCGGUAAUGCACAUCACUUAAGCCUUGCAAGCAUUGCAACUAAAUGAGUUAGUUGCGGGAUGGUGUAUUACGGAACGAGUAAAGAGACUUGCCGGCAACGAGAUUGAACUAGGUAUGGGAAUACCGAUGAUUGAAUCUCGGGCAAGUAACAUACCGAUGACAAAGGGAACAACGUAUGUUGUUAUGCGGUCUGACCGAUAAAGAUCUCCGUAGAAUAUGUAGGAGCCAAUAUGGGCAUCCAGGUCCCGCUGUUGGUUAUUGACCGGAGACGUGUCUCGGUCAUGUCUACAUUGUUCUCGAACCCGUAGGGUCCGCACGCUUAAGAUUACGAUGACAGUUAUAUUAUGAGUUUAUGCAUUUUGAUGUACCGAAGGUUGUUCGGAGUCCCGGAUGUGAUCACGGACAUGAUGAGGAGUCUCGAAAUGGUCGAGACGUAAAGAUUGAUAUAUUGGAAGUCUAUGUUUGGAUAUCGGAAGUGUUCCGGGUGAAAUCGGGAUUUUACCGGAGUACUGAGAGGUUACCGGAACCCCCUCGGGAGCUAUAUGGGCCUUUGUGGGCUUUAGUGGAAAGGAGAAAGGGGCAGCCCAAGGUGGCUGUGCGCCUCCUCCCUUCCCCUAGUCCUAUUAGGACUAGGAUAGGUGGCCGGCCCCCUCUCUCUCUUUCCCCCCUCAAGGAAUCCUAUUCCAACUAGGAUUGGGGGGGGGGGGGAAUCCUACUCCCAGAGGGAGUAGGACUCUCCUGGCACGCCAAGCUUGGCCGGCCAGCCUCCCCCCUCUAGUCCUUUAUAUACUGAGGUAGAGGCACCCUAGAACACACAAUUGAUCAACGUGAUCUAUUCCUUAGCCGUGUGCGGUGCUCCCAGCCACCAUAUUCCUCGAUUAUACUGUAGCGGAGUUUAGGCGAAGCCCUGCUGCUGUAGUGCAUCAAGAUCGUCACCACGCCGUUGUGCUGACGGAACUCUUCCCCGACACUUUGCUGGAUCGGAGUCCGGGGAUCGUCAUCGAGCUGAAUGUGUGCUCGAACUCGGAGGUGCCGUAGUUUCGGUGCUUGAUCGGUCGGAUCGGGAAGAUGUACGACUACUUCCUCUAUGUUGCGUCAAUGCUUCCGCAGUCGGUCUGCGUGGGUACGUAGACAACACUCUCCCCUCUCGUUGCUAUGCAUCACAUGAUCUUGCGUGAGCGUAGGAAUUUUUUUGAAAUUACUACGAAACCCAACAAAAACCCUNNNNNNNNNNNNNNNNNNNNNNNNNNNNNNNNNNNNNNNNNNNNNNNNNNNNNNNNNNNNNNNNNNNNNNNNNNNNNNNNNNNNNNNNNNNNNNNNNNNNNNNNNNNNNNNNNNNNNNNNNNNNNNNNNNNNNNNNNNNNNNNNNNNNNNNNNNNNNNNNNNNNNNNNNNNNNNNNNNNNNNNNNNNNNNNNNNNNNNNNNNNNNNNNNNNNNNNAGAGUCGGUUACAAUGGUAGAAGAUCUACAUAUCCGUAUCGCCAAGCUUGCCUUCCACGCCAAGGAAAGUCCCUUCUGGACACAGGAUGAAGUCUUCAACCUUGUAUCUUCAUAGUCUAGGAGUCUGGCCGAAGGUAUAGUCCGGCUAUCCGGACACCCCCUAAUCCAGGACUCCCUCAGUAGCCCCUGAACCAGGCUUCAAUGACGACGAGUCCGGCGCGCAGAUUGUCUUCGGCAUUGCAAGGCGGGUUCCUCCUCCAAGUACUUCAUAGAAUAUUUUGAACACAAAGGUAGUGUCCGGCUCUGCAAAAUAAGUUUCCACAUAUUGCCAUAGAGAGAAUAAUAUUUACACAAAUCUAAUCUACUGACGUAUUCCGUAGCGUGACAUCACACCACGGCCAAGUUUUUAUUCGAAUCUGUCCCACCUCAACGCGUUUAGUGAGGCGGUUUCCUUGGCACAUCUUGUCAAAGCAGAGAUUGUGUCCCCUUAUUCCGGGAUUCUCAUCAAUACGGGCGUGGGUAACCCAACCGUACCCGUCGGUAUGUUUCCUCGAUCAAAGGAGAGUCCCAAACGGUCACGGGAAGGGCCCUUGGUAUUCAACCUCUUAUAAAGAGACCAAGGCCUUACUCCUUUCUUUCAAUCUCAAAUGAGUUCGCCCUUCGCCUCUACUUCCAACACCCAAGGCUCUAGAUUUCAGGCGCUUCGGACCUUCGACAAUGUCCGGUUCCGACCUUCGAGGCCGAUGGAUGCCCUCCUCCGUCACGGAGGAGGACGUGCUGAAGUUGAGAGAGGCCAGGUUCUUGACCGGCGAAAUCUCGCAUAGGCUGCCUGCUCAAGGGCAGGUCAUUCCCACUCCCAAGCCUGGUGAGAGUGUGGUGUUCAUGUCUCACUUCCUUCGGGGGUUAGGCUUCCCGACGAUCCCUACGUGAGGGGGCUCAUGUUUUAUUAUGGGCUGGAAUUUCAUGACUUAGCUCCGGAGUCCAUCCUCCAUAUUUCUUCAUUCAGCGUCGUGUGUGAAGCCUUCCUCCAUAUUACUCCUCACUUUGGACUAUGGCUCAAGACCUUCAAAGUAGAGCCGAAGAUGAUCGAGGGAUGGCACGCGGAGUGCGGAGGUGCUUUUAUAAGCAAGAAUGCUGGUGCUCCAUGGCCCGAGGGCUCUUUUCAAGGGGAGUCCAGCUUACGGCAACGAGAGUGGUUUUAUAUCACAGCUCCCAGGAGCACCAAGUGGGUGGCGCUGCCUGCUUUUCGCUCGGGUCCCCCGCCACGACUGGCGUCAUGGGUCAACAAGGGGCUGGACUGGGGGCCGGCAAAGGACGUGCCCCUGUUGCAGGGCCGCAUCCGAGAUCUCCUAGAAAGAGACAUCAGUCUGGUCGUGGUGACGCAGGUUAUGUUAAUUCGCCGAGUUCUGCACUGCAAACGUCGGCCCCUUCGGUUGUGGAAGUUCAACCCGGAGGGACCACGAGUUCUCCAACAUUUUCUUGGCAUGACGCCCAUGGAUAUGUACAAAUUAUUCUUUGGACCACAAGUAGUGUGUCUGGAUUCUACGGAGGACGCAGGUCUGAGCUGCAAUCGUCCAGAUACUCAAGUAAGUAGCCUUGUGCCCGGACUUGCUAUCCAUAUAUUUAUCAUAAAGUUUCCCCUAAAAGAGUUGUCCUUUAAAUAGGAGUGGAUAGCGAAAGCAAAGCUAAUCAGAUGUCCGGCCCCCCUCCCCGAGACCAUGCCGGGUCCCAUGCUAGUCAAGAUGUUGGAGGUUGUGCCUUCAAAGGAAAGAGAGGGAGGGGACAAGGAAGCUACCGCCUCCUCGAAGGAGGUUGUCCAGAAGGGAGGAAUCGAAAAUUCCUCUCCUCAGGGGAAGAAGAGGACCGCCUCUGAAGACCCGGAGACCAUGGCCUCAAAGCGGGGGAAGAAAUCUUCGCUAGAGGGUCCUGUGCUGGGGGAUACUUCGGCCGAAUUAUGCCCUCAAGGGGAUCAGCCCUCCAUCGAGCCGUAAGUAGAGAGGAGUUUUAUUUUUAAGAAACGAGAGAAAUCCUUGCUUUAUAUCUGAGAAAAGUAAUCGAAAAUUUACCUUGUAGCUCGGACCUUAGCUCUUCUCAGCAGAGCUCGUCUUCGGGGGAUCUUCUUCCGGAGAUGAUGGAGAGCGGAAUGCCUCCCCCUGCCGUAUCACCUCGCGAGGUGGGCGACCCCGAGGUAUUGUCGCGGAGGGUUUCUCCGAAUCCGGCAGGGCCGGAAGGCAGUCAUAUGGCCCCCCAAAGUCCUCCUUGUCCGGCCUUCUAAAAGGGCCAUCGGACGAGUCCGGCGUCGUCUGGUGCGUGGUCGGAGGAGCUGAAGGAUCUGCUAGGGAGAGCAUCUAUCUCAGAGGAGCACCGUGCAUUGAUGGGUACGGUGAUUGAGAGGAUUUCAUCCACGGAGAGCGGAUUGCACGAGGCCGUCAGGAGUGUACUGACAGGUUUUGAGGUACGCGAAAUAAUGUACCCUUUUUGGACAGUUGCACAUAAAUAAGAUGCGACCUGUGUAGAUAGUAGCCCCUGAGACUCUGUGCAUUGUCAAAAGUGACGGUGCGCAGAGGAUCAUAAUCCCAGGUCUAAUAUGCCGCCUUCAUACGUAGGUGGCUAAGUGUCCGGUGGCAAGCCGGACUGAUGAAUUUGCCGAGCUAAAGCGGCAACUUGACGUGGCAGAUGCCGACAUCGCGCUUGUCAACAAGCGGCUUGACGAGGCGCAAGGUAUGUAAUUCCUCCGGCGGCUCCUGGUAAGAGGAGCUUUAUGCUAGUAUCUUACAAUGUGUGCGCUUGAUGCAGAUGGUGCGGCCGCCAUGGAGAAUCUUCGGGCAGAACUUGCCCGAGCCAAGGAGCAAUCCAGGAAAAGUGAUGCGGCUGCCGGAAUGGCAAUUGAAGAGCUGAAAGCCGAACAGGCUGCUCACUGCCAAAGCAAGAAGGAAAUGGCCGAGAUGGCCGUGAAGCUGAAGAACGCUGCUGACCGUUGCAAGCUUCUUGAAAAAUAAGAUCGGGCAAAACAAACGGACCUGGAGAAGGCCGUUGCCGAUGCCAAGGAUGCUCGCUCUGCGAUGAGAGCUGUGAAGGAGGAGCUGCGUCAGGCCGGAGAGAUCGCGACUGGAAAGCCCUUUAUGCUGCAGAGGAAGUUCCGUGAUCCUAAACAUGCUCCGUUGGACUGGAUGUGGAGUACGACGGACACCUAUAUGGAUUUGGCAGCGGCCGCGGAUGCGGCCGAACACUUCCGAGAUCAAGAAGAUCGCGAAGUGGAAAAGCUCUUUUGGUUGCAGUUCCACAAUCCGGAGCGUCCGCUGUCAUGAGCCGAUCAUUUGGCCGAAUGGGCCGAGCUAAAUAGGUUGUCCGGACUUGCCAUGAAGUAUGUCAUGAGUCAUCUGUGGCCAGAGAGGCCAGAGCCGAAAAGUUAUUUCAACUUGGUGCAGCAGUUCCUUGGUGCGGCGCCACAUAUCAAUGCGAUGAAGAGGUCAGCGUGCAUAGAGGGUGCGCGGAUGACUCUUGCCCGUGUCAAGACAUACUGGGCAGAAAUGGAGGCCGCCGCUGUUGCAUCCCCAGACUCGGAUGGAAGUCGAGUACCUGCCGAGCACUAUUUUCAGGAAGUUCUGCAAGGCGCUCGUUUAAUAGAGACGUAGUGCUCGAAGGACACUAUAUUCGAGUAGCAUUAUUGUAAUACAAUAUUUUGAUAAAUUGUAGAAGCUUUUUAUACUUGUGCCUGCAAGUAUUAUAAUACCUCCUGUGCGGCCGUUUAACAUAUAUGUUUAUACAAUCUGAAUGAUGGCAGUCGUCGGCUUCAGCCCCCACGCACAUAAUGCGGGGGUGUUCGCAGAAGGCGCAUUUUCACACUUGAUCCAACGUCUUGGUCCUACAAAGGAGGUGAUAGCGCAGCGAACUAGGCAAUCAUACUAUGAUGCUUUAUCACUUUCACUUAGCCAUAGGAGUUUGAUAGUGAGGCUACUUAUAUAGCCCCUGGUGGCGCCUGCGCUCGCCCGAACUCGGGGCGCGUAUGUGCCUGGCCGGGAAGCGAACCUUCGUUAAUGCGGAGGAAUCCUAAAGAUUCUGGUAAGUCAUCGAGUGGUUGACCAGUCUCACGCUAUAUCAUGACAGUCAGUUUUUGACUUUCUCUACUGAGGUGCUCGCCUCGCUGAACCGGGGCACAAUCGCAGUAGUUCUCCUGGUGCCACCUUAGCCGAUAGAGCGAAAUGUAAGGUAGCAAAACACAGGAGCCGGGCAAACCCAACAUUUGACCAAAGACAUGAUUCGGAGCUGAUGCAUAUAAGGACAAACUCGCGACGCCGAACACUCCCUAAGGUAUUUGGUCUUUAUGAGGGCGGGCGGGAUAACGCCCUUAGUAAUAAGCCCCUAGUGUCCAGGUACGUGCAAAAACUCUGACAUGGCCACAUGCCAAAAUGCCAGCCUCCUCCUUGGUUAUACCAAGAAACCAGGGGAUGUGUAUCAACAAGAGACAGUAAAAAAGGUUUACGCAGGGUCUUAAUCUGAAAAGAAUCCUUGGAACGGGUCCCUGCUGCACGUCUACGCCUGUGUCUCCGUUGUGCCGUAUCCUGGACGGGCGUAGCACGGUGUUCAUCUGUAAAAGGGAGGAACUUAGUUACAUAAAGAUCGUGCCGAACAUGAGUUAUACUAAAUAAAUGAAGUAUAAAUCGAAAUGGGUAAAAUUGAGCUUUAUUGUCUCUUGUUUUAUAUGCGCGGAGCCCCUAGUACAGGGGCAUACGGCUAUUAAGCCUUUAUAAAUUGUAUGUUUAUGCCGGACUCGUCUAGCCGUGUCCGUUGUCUUGAUGACUUGUUUACGUGCUUUGGUUGGUGAAGCCGCUUUAUUGUGGGGCUGUCAAGGCAGCCACACUGUCUUCCGCGUGGGGGGAACACUCAAUGUUUUCCCUUUAAUGAGAUGAUGCCUCGUGGACCGGGCAUCUUAAGCGUGAGAUAUGCAUAAUGCGGUAUUGCGUUAAAGCGGGUGAAAGCUUUGCGUCCCAGUAGUGCUUGAUAGCUACUUGAGAAUGGGGCGAUGUGGAAAGUUAGCUGUUCGUGACGGAAGUUAUCGGGGGAGCCGAACAUAACUUCUAGCCGGAGAGAACCCAUGCAACGGGCAUCCGGGCCUGGCGUUACCCCUUGAAAGGAGGUUUUGCUAUGGCGAAUUUUUGUUGGGUCUAUCCCCAUGUUGCGGAUUGUGUCCUGGUAUAACAGGUUUAGACCACUUCCGCCGUCCAUCAGGACAUUUGUAAAGUGGAGUCCGCCGAUUAUUGGAUCUAAUACCAAGGGGAGACCAUAAAUGCCUUCAUCAAUGAAACCAUAGAUCUGUCAAUUUGCUGUCUCUGUCUGGAGCGGCGCUUACGUCGCCGCUUUGAUUGCUUUCCCCUAAUCCACAACUCUCAAUGAAACCGACGUCCCCGUGCGUCCAAAGAUGGUGAUACCUAAAUCUAUCCUUACUUUUCAUGCCUAGCUAGGGGGCGUUAAACGAUAGCGCUUGUUGGGAGGCAACCCAAUUUUAUUUUUAUUCCUUACUUUUUGCUCCUGUUUAUUAAUAAAUAAUUUAUCUAGCCUUUGUUUAGAUAGUGUUUUUUGUGUUUAAUUAGUGUUUGUGCCAAGUAGAACCGUUGGGAAUAAUUGGGGAAAGUCUUGAUAUCUUGCUGUAAAAAACAGAAACUUUAGCGCUCACGAGAACUGCUGCCAUUUUUAUUUGGAAAGUGAUAUAUAGUUAAUUCUUUUUGCAGAUGAUUAAUAAAUAUAUUCCUCCAUCCAUAAAUUUAUUUUAGAAUUUUUGGGGUUCCAGAUCUUGCGCUAGCUUCAGAUUACUACAGACUGUUCUGGUUUUGACAGAUUCUGUUUUUCGUGUGUUGUUUGCUUAUUUUGAUGAAUCUAUGGCUAGUAAAAUAGUUCAUAAACCAUAGAGAAGUUGGAAUACAGUAGGUUUAACACCAACAUAAACAAAGAAUAAGUUCAUUACAGUACCUUGAAGUGGUCAUUUGUUUUCUUUCGCUAACGGAGCUCACGAGAUUUUCUACUUUGAGUUUUGUGUUGUGAAGUUUUCAAGUUUUGGGUAAAGAUUUGAUGGAUUAUGGAACAAGGAGUGGCAAGAGCCUAAGCUUUGGGAUGCCCAUGGAACCCCCAAGAUAAUCUAAGGACACCUAAAAGCCAAAUCUUGGUAAUGCCCCUGAAGGCAUCCCCUCUUUUCGUCUACUUCUAUCGGUAACUUUACUUGGAGCUAUAUUUUUAUUCACCACAUGAUAUGUGUUUUUCUUGGAGCGUCUUGUAUUAUUUGAGUCUUUAUUUGUUAGUUUACCACGAUCAUCCUUGCUGUACACACCUUUUCAGAGAGCCAUACAUGAUUUGGAAUUUGUUAGAAUGCUCUAUGUGCUUCGCUUAUAUCUUUUGAGUUAUAUAGUUUUGCUCUAGUACUUCGCUUAUAUCUUUUAGAGCACGGUGGUGGAUUUGUUUUAUAGAAACUAUUGAUCUCUCAUGCUUCACUUAGAUUAUUUUGAGAGUCUUAAAUAGCAUGAUAAUUUGCUUAAAUAAUGCUAAUAUGCUAGGUAUUCAAGAUUAGUAAAAAAAUAUCCUAGGAGUGUUUGAAUACUAAGAGACGUUUGAUGCUUGAUGAUCGUUUUGAGAUAUGGAGGUAAUAAUAUCAAAGUCGUGCUAGUUGAGUAGUUGUGAAUUCGAGAAGUGCUUGUGUUGAAGUUUGCAAAUCCCGUAGCAUGCACGUAUGGUAAACGUUGUGUAACAAAUUUGAAACAUAAGGUGUUUUUUUCAUUGUCUUCCUUAUGAGUGGCGGUCGGGGACGAGCGAUGGUCUUUUCCUACCAGUCUAUCCCUCUAGGAGCAUGCGCGUAGUGCCGAGGUUUUUUAUGACUUGUAGAUUUUUUCAAUAAGUAUGUGAGUUCUUUAUGACUAAUGUCGAGUCCAUGGAUUAUACGCGCUCUCACCCUUCCAUCAUUGCUAGCCUCUUCGGUACCGUGCAUUGCCCUUUCUCACAUUGAGAGUUGGUGCAAACUUCACCGGUGCAUCCAAACCCCGUGAUAUGAUACGCUCUUUCACACAUAAACCUCCUUAUAUCUUCCUCAAAACAGCCACCAUACCUACCUAUUAUGGCAUUUCCAUAGCCAUUCUGAGAUAUAUUGCCAUGCAACUUUCCACCAUUCCGUUUAUCAUGACACAUUCAUCAUUGUCAUAUUGCUUAGCAUGAUCAUGUAGUGGACAUAGUAUUUGUGGCAAAGCCACCGUUCAUAAUUCUUUCAUACAUGCCACUCUUGGUUCAUUGCAUAUCCCGGUACACCGCCGGAGGCAUUCAUAUAGAGUCAUCUUUUGUUCUAGCAUCGCGUUGUAAUCAUUGAGUUGUAAAUAAAUAGAAGUGUGAUGAUCAUCAUUUUCUAGAGCAUUGUCCCAAAUGAGGAAAAAAAGAGAAAGGCCAUAUAAAAAAAGGCCUGAAUAAAAAAAAGAGAGAAAAAGAGAGAAGGGACAAUGUUACUAUCCUUUGCCACACUUGUGCUUCAAAGUAGCACCAUAAACUUCAUGUCACUUUGCUUUUAUUUUACUUUGCAUAUUUGUCAGAAAAAUACCAAAAAUAUUAUCUUAUCAUAUCUAUCAGAUCUCACUCUCGUAAGUGGCCAUGUAGGGAUUGACAACCCCUUAUCACGUUGGUUGCGAGCAUUUAUUUGUUUUGUGCAGGUACGAGGGACUCGCGCGUAGCCUCCUACAGGAUUAAUACCUUGGUUCUCAAAAACUAAGGGAAAUACUUACGCUACUCUGCUGCAUCAUCCCUUCCUCUUCGGGGAAAAACCAACACAGUGCUCAAGAGGUAGCAGUGGUGUACCGGGAUUGCGAUGAAUCAAGAGUGACAUGUAUGAAAAAUUAUGAACGAUGGCUUUGCCACAAAUACGAUGUCAACUACAUGAUCAUGCAAAGCAAUAUGACAAUGAUGAUGCGUGUCAUAAUAAACAGAACGGUGGGAAGUUGCAUGGCAAUAUAUCUCGGAAUGGCUAUGGAAAUGCCAUAAUAGGUAGGUAUGGUGGCUGUUUUGAGGAAGAUAUAAGGAGGUUUAUGUGUGAUAGAGCGUAUCAUAUCACGGGGUUUGGAUGCACCGGCGAAGUUUGCACCAACUCUCAAUGUGAGAAAGGGCAAUGCACGGUACCGAAGAGGCUAGCAAUGAUGGAAGGGUGAGAGUGCGUAUAAUCCAUGGACUCAACAUUAGUCAUAAAGAACUCACAUACUUAUUGCAAAAAUCUACAAGUCAUCAUAAACCAAGCACUAUGCGUAUGCUCCUAGGGGGGUAGAUUGGUAGGAAAAGACCAUUGCUCGUCCCCGACCGCCACUCAUAAGGAAGACAAUCAAAGAACACCUCAUGUUUCAAAUUUGUUACAUAUCAUUUACCAUACGUGCAUGCUACGGGACUUGCAAACUUCAACACAAGCAUUUCUCAAAUACACAACUACUCAACUAGCACGACUUUGAUAUUAUUACCUCCGUAUCUCAAAACAAUCAUCAAGCAUCAAGCUUCUCUUAGUAUUCAAUGCACUCUAUAUGAAAGUUUUUAUUAUAUCCCUCUUGGAUGCCCAUCAUAUUAGGACUAGUUUCAUAACAAAAGCAAACUACCAUUCUGUUCUAAGGGACUCUCAAAAUAAUAUAAGUGAAUCAUGAGAGUUCAUCUAUUUCUAUAAAAUAAAACCACCACCAUGCUCUAAAAGAUAUAAGUGAAGCACUAGAGCAAAUGACAAACUACUCCAAAAGAUAUAAGUGAAGAUCAAUGAGUAGUCGAAUAAUUAUGCAACCAUGUGAAGACUCUCUAACAUUUAAUAAUUUCAGAUAUUGUUAUUUUAUCCAAGCAGCAAGCAAAACUAAAUAAAAUAAAAUGACUCUCCAAGCAAAACACAUAUCAUGUGGUGAAUAAAAAUAUAGCUCCAAGUGAAGUUACCGAUAGACGAGGACGAAAGAGGGGAUGCCUUCCGGGGCAUCCCCAAGCUUAGGCUUUUGGUUGUCCUUGAAUAUUACCUUGGGGUGCCUUGGGAAUCCCCAAGCUUAGGAUCUUUCCACACCUUGUUCCAUAGUCCAUCAAAUCUUUACCCAAAACUUGAAAACUUCACAACACAAAUCUUAACCAAAAACUCGUAAGCUCCGUCAGUAUAAGAAAAUAAAUCACCACUUAGGUACUGUUGUGAACUCAUUCUAAAUUCAUAUUGGUGUAAUAUCUACUGUAUUCCAACUUAUCUAUGGUUCAUACCCUCCGAUACUACUCAUAGGUUCAUCAAAAUAAGCAAACAACACAUUGAAAACAGAAUCUAUCAAAAACAGAACAGUCUGUAGUAAUAUGGAUCAAACGUAUACUUCUGGAACCCCAAAAAUUCUAAAAUAAAUUUCUGGACCUGAUUAAUUUAUCUAUUAAUCAUAUUCAAAAGGAAUUAACUAAAUAUCACUCUCCAAAUAAAAAUUGCAGCAAUUCUCGUGAGUGCUAAAGUUUCUGUUUUUUACAGCAUGAUUAUAAAGACUUCACCCAAGUCUUCCCAAAGGUUCUACUGGGCACAAACACUAAUUAAAACAUAAAACCACAUCCAAACAGGGGCUAGAUGAAUUAUUUAUUACUAAACAGGAGCAUAAAGAAAGGAACAAAAAUAAAAUUGGGUUGCCUCCCAACAAGCGCUAUCGUUUAACGCCCCUAGCUAGGCAUGAUGAUUUCAAUGAUGCUCACAUAAAAGAUAAGAAUUAAAACAUAAAGAGAGCAUCAUGAAGAAUAUUACUAGAGCAUUUAAGUCUAACCCACUUCCUAUGCAUUGGGAUUAUGUGAGCAAACAACUUGUGGGUACAAGAAUCAAUUUGCAUAGGAAGGUAAAACAAGCAUAACUUCAAAACUUUAAGCACAUAGAGAGGAAACUUGAUAUUAUUGCAAUUCCUACAAGCAUAAGUUCCUCCCUCAUAAUAAUUUUCAUUAGCAUCAUGAAUGAAUUCAACAAUAUAACCAGCACCUAAAGCAUUAUUUUCAUUAUCUAUAAGCAUAGAAAUUUUAUUACUCUCCACAUGAGCAAAAUUCUUCUCAUUCGGAAUAGUGGGAGUAUCAUAAGAAACUCGAAUACUAUAAAUUGUUUCCACAUUAAAAGAGUAAUGUUCAGAAAAGGGGUUAUCAUAAUCAUACAAGUUUUAUAAUCAUAAUCACUACUUUUUAUAGCAUAAGUACCAUCACAAUAAUCAUCAUAAGUAGGAGGCAUGCUAUCAUCAUUAUAAAUUUGCAUAUCAAAACUUGGGAGACUAAAAAUAUCAUCUUCAUUAAACGUAGCAUCCCCAAGCUUGAGACAAACAUUAGCUGCAGCAAAUAUAUUCUCAAAAACAUCAUUUUCAUCAAACAUAGCAUCCCCAAGCUUGGCCCUUUUCAUAUCAUAAGCAUAAUCACUCUCAUCAUUAAUAGUAUGGAUAGCACCAAUAGUAUAGCAAUUAUCAUAUUCUUCCAAGCAAGUGCCAAAAAGAUCUUCAAGAUCAUAAUAAGUAUCAUUAUCUUUCACAAUUAUAUUUUCAUGAGGCACAAUAGUAAUAGGAGCAGCAUUAUUUGGGGGAGAUAUCUUUUUACCUCUCUUCCUUUUUCUUUUCUUCUUCUUCACCACAUCAUGUGUGGGUUCAAUCCUCUUUUUGUAGCUCCUUAUUAAUGAGAUUGGUUGAAUAGGAGGCUCUUCCUCGUUACCUGAUUCAUCAUAAGAAAUAAUAGGAGGGUAUUGGGAAGUCUCUUCCCUUUCAUUAGUAUUCUCUUCAUCUUCUAUUUAUUUUCUUUUCUUCAUGUAGUUGGCAAUAUAAGGAUUUUCAAUACAAUUCACCGCACAAUACAUAUAAAUUUUCUCUAGAUCAAAAUCAAGAAAUCUACCAAGAUUAAACUUUGGAAUACCCUCAGUUAUACUUUUCAUUUCCUCAUACCCCAAAAGAAGACUAAGCUCUUUAUGAUGCUCAAGGGUAAUCAAAUUAUCACAAUUUUUGGGUACGAUUUGGUCAUGAAACAAUUUGCAUUGGAGAUUUAAAUGACCAUGUUCAUUGCAAAGUUCACAAGGGGCGCGAAAAAUAUUGAAUUUUUCAGCACAAACAUCAAGACUUUCUUGCAACAAUUUAGUUUCUAAAUACUUAUGCCUCUUGCAAUAUCUAUCUUCCCUAUUUGGUGUAUACUUGCAAACCCAAUGCACUCCACAAAAAUUGACAUGUUUAUAGGAGACAUUUUCAUCAUAACUAGUGCAAUCAUCAUUAGUACUACGGAUAUUCAAAGAGUUCAUACUAACAACAUUCCAAUCAUGCUCAUCAUUCAAAGAUUUAGUGCCAAACAUUUUAAUGCAUUCUUCUUAUAACACUUUGGCACAAUUUUCCUUUCCACCAUACUCACGGAAGAUAUUAAAAAGAUGAAGCGUAUGAGACAAACUCAAUGUUGGGGAACGUUGCAGAAAACAAAAAAAUUCCUACGGUUUCACCAAGAUCCAUCUAUGAGUUCAUCUAGCAACGAGUGAUCGGAUGCAUCUACAUACCUUGUAGAUCGUGAGCGGAAGCGUUCAAAGAAUGGGGAUGAGGGAGUCGUACUCGAUGUGAUCCAAAUCACCGGAGAUCCUAGCGCCGAACGGACGACACCUCCGCGUUCAACACACGUACGGUCAACGUGACGUCUCCUCCUUCUUGAUCCAGCAAGGGGAAGGAGAGGUUGAGGAAGAUGGGUCCAGCAGCAGCACGACGGCGUGGUGGUGGUGGAGAAGCAGUACUCCGACAGGGCUUUGCCGAGCUCUACGGAGGAGGAGGAGGUGUUGGAGGGGAGAGGGAGGCGCCAAGGGCAUGGGUGCGGCUGCCCUCCCUCCCCCCCUCUAUAUAUAGGGUCCCCAAGGGGGGGGCGCCGGCCCUGGAGAUUCAAUCUCCCAAGGGGCGCGGCCAAGGGGGGUGGAGUGCCCCCCAAGGCAAGUGGGGCGUGAAGGAAAUAUGCCCUAGAGGCAAUAAUAAAGUUAUUAUUUAUUUCCUUAUAAUCAUGAUAAAUGUUUAUUAUUCAUGCUAGAAUUGUAUUAACCGAAAACAUAAUACAUGUGUGAAUACAUAGACAAACAAGGUGUCACUAGUAUGCCUCUACUUGACUAGCUCGUUAAUCAAAGAUGAUUAUGUUUCCUAAUCAUGAACAAUGAGUUGUUAUUUGAUUAACGGGAUCACAUCAUUAAGAGAAUGAUCUGAUUGACAUGACCCAUUCCAUUAGCUUAGCACCCGAUCGUUUAGUAUGUUGCUAUUGCUUUCUUCAUGACUUAUACAUGUUCCUAUAACUAUGAGAUUAUGCAACUCCCGUUUACCGGAGGAACACUUUGGGUACUACCAAACGUCACAACAUAACUGGGUGAUUAUAAAGGAGUAUUACAGGUGUCUCCAAAGGUACAUGUUGGGUUGGCGUAUUUCGAGAUUAGGUUUUGUCACUCCGAUUGUCGGAGAGGUAUCUCUGGGCCCUCUCGGUAAUGCACAUCACUUAAGCCUUGCAAGCAUUGCAACUAAAUGAGUUAGUUGCGGGAUGGUGUAUUACGGAACGAGUAAGGAGACUUGCCGGCAACGAGAUUGAACUAGGUAUUGGAAUACCGACGAUCGAAUCUCGGGCAAGUAACAUACCGAUGACAAAGGGAACGACGUAUGUUGUUAUGCGGUCUAACCGAUAAAGAUCUUCGUAGAAUAUGUAGGAGCCAAUAUGGGUAUCCAGGUACCGCUAUUGGUUAUUGACUGGAGACAUGUCUCGGUCAUGUCUACAUUGUUCUCGAACCCGUAGGGUCCGCACGCUUAAGGUUACGAUGACAGUUAUAUUAUGAGUUUAUGCAUUUUGAUGUACCGAAGGUUGUUCGGAGUCCCGGAUGUGAUCAUGGACAUGACAAGGAGUCUCAAAAUGGUCGAGGCAUAAAGAUUGAUAUAUUGGAAGCCUAUGUUUGGAUAUCGAAAGUGUUCCGGGUGAAAUCGGGAUUUUACCGGAGAACCGGGAGGUUACCGGAACCCCCCGGGAGCUAAAUGGGCCAUGAUGGGCCUUAGUGGAAAAGAGAAGAGGCAGCCCUACAUGGGCCGCGCGCCCCUCCCCUCCCUUGGUCCGAAUAGGACAAGGAGAGGGGGCCGACCCCUCUCUCUCUUUUCCCCCCUCCGCGAAUCCUAUUCCAACUAGGAUUGGGGGGGGGGGGAAUCCUACCCCGAGAGGGAGUAGGACUCUCCUGGCGCGCCCUCCUUGGCCGGCCAGCCUCCUCCCUUUAGUCCUUUAUAUACGGAGGCAGGGGCACCCCAGAAACACACAAGUUGAUCCACGUGAUCUAUUCCUUAGCCGUGUGCGGCGCCCCCAGCCACCAUAGUCCUCGAUAAUACUGUACCGGAGUUUAGGCGAAGCCCUGCUGCUGUAGUGCAUCAUGAUCGUCACCACGCCGUCGUGCUGACGGAACUCUUCCCCGACACUUUGCUGGAUCGGAGUCCGAGGAUCGUCAUCGAGCUGAAUGUGUGCUAGAACUCGGAGGUGCCGUAGUUUCGUUGCUUGAUCGGUCGGAUCAUGAAGACGUACGACUACAUCAACCAAACGCUUCUGUUGUCGAUCUACUAGGUAUGUAGAUCACACUCCCCCCCCCUCGUUGCUAUGCAUCACAUGAUCUUGCGUGUGCGUAGGAAUUUUUUUGAAAUUACUACGUCCCCAACAGUGGCAUCCGAGCCUAGGUUUUAUAUGUUGAUGUUAUAUGCACGAGUAGAACACAAGUGAGUUGUGGGCGAUAUAAGUCAUACUGCCUACCAGCAUGUCAUACUUUGGUUCGGCGGUAUUGUUGGAUGAAGCGGCCCAGACCGACAUUACGCGUACGCUUACGCGAGACCGGUUCUCGCGACGUGCUUUGCACAGAGGUGGCUUGUGGGUGACAGUUUCUCCAACUUUAGUUGAACCAAGUGUGGCUACACCCGGUCCUUGCGAAGGUUAAAACGGAGUCAAAUUGACAAACUAUCGUUGUGGUUUUGAUGCGUAGGUGAGAUUUGUUCUUACUUAAGCCUGUAGCAGCCACGUAAAACUUGCAACAACAAAGUAGAGGACGUCUAACUUGUUUUUGCAGGGCAUGUUGUGAUGUGAUAUGGUCAAGACAUGAUGCUGAAUUUUAUUGUAUGAGAUGAUCAUGUUUUGUAACCGAGUUAUCGGCAACCGGCAGGAGCCAUAUGGUUGUCGCUUUAUUGUAUGCAAUGCAAUCGCGAUGUAAUGCUUUACUUUAUCACUAAAUGGUAGCGAUAGUCGUGGAAGCACAAGCUUGGCGAGACGACAAUGGUGCUACGAUGGAGAUCAAGGUGUCACGCCGGUGACGAUGGUGAUCACGACGGUGCUUCAGAGAUGGAGAUCACAAGCACAAGAUGAUGAUGGCCAUAUCAUAUCACUUAUAUUGAUUGCAUGUGAUGUUUAUCUUUUAUGCAUCUUAUCUUGCUUUGAUUGACGGUAGCAUUAUAAGAUGAUCUCUCACUAAAUUAUCAAGAAGUGUUCUCCCUGAGUAUGCACCGUUGCGAAAGUUCUUCGUGCUGAGACACCAUGUGAUGAUCGGGUGUGAUAGGUUCUACGUUCAAAUACAACGGGUGCAAAAUAGUUGCACACGCGGAAUACUCAGGUUAUACUUGACGAGCCAAGCAUAUACAGAUAUGGCCUCGGAACACGGAGACCGAAAGGUCGAGCGUGAAUCAUAUAGUAGAUAUGAUCAACAUAGCGAUGCUCACCAAUGAAACUACUCCAUCUCACGUGAUGAUCGGACAUGGUUUAGUUGAUUUGGAUCACGUGAUCACUUAGAGGAUUAGAGGGAUGUCUAUCUAAGUGGGACUUCUUAAGUAAUAUGAUUAAUUGAACUUAAAUUUAUCAUGAACUUAGUCCUGGUAGUAUUUUGCAAAUUAUGUUGUAGAUCAAUAGCUCGCAUUGUUGCUUCCCUGUGUUUAUUUUGAUAUGUUCCUAGAGAAAAUUGUGUUGAAAGAUGUUAGUAGCAAUGAUGCGGAUUGGAUCCAUGAUCUGAGGUUUAUCCUCAUUGCUGCAUAGAAGAAUUAUGUCCUUGAUGCACCGCUAGGUGACAGACCUAUUGCAGGAGCAGAUGCAGAUGUUAUGAACAUUUGGCUAGCUCAAUAUGAUGACUACUUGAUAGUUUAGUGCACCAUGCUUAAUGGCUUAGAAUCGGGACUUCAAAGACAUUUUGAACGUCAUGGACCAUAUGAGAUGUUCCAGGAGUUGAAGUUAAUAUUUCAAGCAAAUACCCGAGUUGAGAGAUAUGAAGUCUCCAACAAGGUCUAUAGCUAAAAGAUGGAGGAGAAUCGCUCAACUAGUGAGCAUGUGCUCAGAUUGUCUGGGUACUACAAUCGCUUGAAUCAAGUGGGAGUUAAUCUUCCAGAUAAGAUAGUGAUUGACAGAAUUCUCUAGUCACCAUCACCAAGUUAGUAGAACUUCCUGAUGAACUAUGAUAUGCAAGGGAUAACGGAAAUGAUUCCCAAGCUCUUCGUAAUGCGGAAAUUGACGAAGGUAGAAAUCGAGAAAAACAUCAAGUGUUGAUGGUAGACAAGACCACUAGUUUCAAGAAAAGGGCAGAGGGAAGAAGGGGAACUUCAAGAAGAACAGCAAGCAUGUUGCUACUCAAGUGAAGAAGCCCAAGUCUGGUCCUAAGCCUGAGACUAAGUGUUUCUACUGCAAAGGGACUGGUCACUGAAAGCGGAACUACCCCAAGUGAUUGGCAGAUAAGAAGGAUGGCAAAAUGAACAUAAGUAUAUUUGAUAUACAUGUUAUUGAUGUGUACUUUACUAGUGUUUAUAGCAACCCCUCAGUAUUUGAUACUAGUUCAGUUGCUAAGAUUAGUAACUUGAAACGGGAGUUGCAGAAUAAACAGAGACUAGUUAAGGGUGAAGUGACGAUGUGUGUUGGAAGUGGUUCCAAGAUUGAUAUGAUCAUCAUCGCACACUCCCUAUACUUUCGGGAUUAGUGUUGAACCUGAAUAAGUGUUAUUUGGUGUUUGUGUUAAGCAUGAAUAUGAUUUGAUCAUGUUUAUUAUAAUACGGAUAUUCAUUUAAGUAAGAGAAUAAAUUGUUGUUCUGUUUACAUGAAUAAAACCUUAUAUGGUUACACACCCAAUGAAAAUAGUUCAUUGGAUCUCGAUCGUAGUGAUACACAUAAUCAUAAUAUUGAAACCAAAAGAUGCAAAGUUAAUAAUGAUAGUGCAACUUAUUUGUAGCACUGCCAUUUAGGUCAUAUUGGUGUAAAGUGCAUGAAGAAACUCCAUGCUGAUGGAUUUUGGAAUCACUUGAUUAUGAAUCACUUGAUGCUUGAGAACCAUGCCUCAUGGUCAAGAUGACUAAGACUCCGUUCUCCGGAGAGAGCAACUGACUUAUUGGAAAUAAUACAUACUGAUGUAUGCGGUCCGAUGAGUGUUAAGGCUCACGGCAAGUAUCGUUAUUUUCUGAACUUCACAGAUGAUUUGAGCAAGAUAUGGGUAUAUCUACUUGAUGAAACAUAAGUCCUAAACAUUUGAAAAGUUCAAAGAAUUUCAGAGUGAAGUGGAAAAUCAUCAUGACAAGAAAAAAAAAUUUCUAUGAUCUGAUCGCGGAGACAAAUAUUUGAGUUACGAGUUUGGUCUUCAAAUAAAACAAUGUGGAAUAGUUUCACAAACUCAUGCCACAUGGAACACCACAGCAUAAUGGUGUGUCUGAACAUUAUAACCGUACUUUAUUAGAUAUGGUGCGAUCUAUGAUGUUUUUUUUUGAUCUACCACUAUCGUUUUGGGGUUAUGCAUUAAAGACAGCUGCAUUCACAUUUAAAAGGGCACCAUCUAAGUCCGUUGAGACGACACAAUCUGAACUGUGGUUUGGCAAGAAACCAAAGUUGUCAUUUCUUAAAGUUUGGGAUUGUGAUGCUUAUAUGAAAAGGUUUCAUCCUGAUAAGCUCAAAUCCAAAUAGGAGAAAUAUGUCUUCAUAGGAUACCCAAAGGAGACUGUUGGGUACACCUUCUAUCACAAAUCCGAAGGCAAGACUUUUGUUGCUAAAUUCGGAGUUUUUCUAGAGAAGGAGUUUCUCUCGAAAGAAGUGAGUGGGAGGAAAGUAGAACUUGAUGAGGUAACUGUACCUGCUCCCUUAUUGGAAAGUAGUUCAUCACAGAAAUCUGUUCCUGUGACUACUACACCAAUUCGUGAGGAAGCUAAUGAUGAUGAUCAUGUAACUUCAGAUCAAGUUACUACCAAAUCUCGUAGGUAAACCAGAGUGAGAUCCACACCAGAGUGGUACGGUAAUCCCAUUCUGGAAGUCGUGUUACUAGACCAUGACGAACUUGCGAACUAUGAGGAAGCGAUGAUGAGCCCAGAUUCUGCGAAAUGGUUUGAGGUCAUGAAAUCUGAGAUAUGAUCCAUGUAUGAGAACAAAGUAUGGACUUUGAUGGAUUUGCUCGAUGAUCGGCAAGCCAUAGAAAAUAAAUGGAUCUUCAAGAGGAAGACAGACGCUGAUAGUAGUGUUACUAUCUACAAAGCUAGAAUUGUCGCAAAAGGUUUUCGACAAGUUCAAGGAGUUGACUACGAUGAGAUUUUCUCACUCGUAUCUAUGCUUAAGUCUGUCCGAAUCAUGUUAGCAAUUGCCGCAUUUUAUGAAAUCUGGCAAAUGGAUAAACAAAACUGCAUUCCUUAAUGGAUUUACUAAAGAAGAGUUGUAUACGAUGCAACUAGAAGGUUUUGUCGAUCCUAAAGGUGUUAACUAAAUAUGCAAGCUCCAGCGAUCCAUCUAUGGACUAGUGCAAGAAUCUCAGAGUUGGAAUAUACGCUUUGAUAAGUUGAUCAAAGCAUAUAGUUUUAUGCAGACUUGCGGUGAAGCCUGUAUUUACAAGAAAGUGAGUGGGAGCACUACAACAUUUCUGAUAAGUAUAUGUGAAUGACAUAUUGUUGAUCGGAAAUAAUGUAGAAUUAUUCUGCAAAGCAUAAAGGAGUGUUUGAAAGGAGUUUUUUCAAAAAGGACCUCGAAGAAGCUGCUUACAUAUUGAGCAUCAAGAUCUAUAGAGAUAGAUCAAGACGCUUGAUAAGUUUUUUUUCAAUGAGUACAUACCUUGACAAGAUUUUAUAAUAGUUCAAAAUGGAACAGUCAAAGAAAGUGUUCUUGCCUGUGUCAUAAGGUGUGAAAUUGAGUAAGACUCAAAGCCCGACCACGGCAGAAGAUAGAAAGAGAAUGAAUGUCAUUCCCUAUGCCUCGGUCAUAGGUUCUAUAAAGUAUGCCAUGCUGUGUACCAGAUCUAUUGUAUACCCUACCAUUGAGUUUGGCAAGGGAGUACAAUAGUGAUCUAGGAGUAGAUCACUGGACAGCGGUCAAAAUUAUCCUUAGUGGAAUAAGGAAAUAUUUCUCAAUUAUGGAGGUGACAAAAAGGUUCGUCGUAAAAAGUUACAUCGAUGCAUGUUUUGACACAGAUCUGGAUGACUCUAAGUCUCGAUCUAGAUACAUAUUGAAAGUGGGAGCAAUAAGUUAGAGUAGCUCCGUGCAGAGCAUUGUUGACAUAGAAAUUCGCAAAAUACUUACGGAUCCGAAUGUGACAGACCUGUUGACUAAAAUUAUCUCACAAGCAAAACAUGAUCACACCUUAGUACUCUUUGGGUAUUAAUCACAUAGCGAUGUGAACUAGAUUACUGACUCUAGUAAACCCUUUGGGUGUUGAUCACAUAUCGAUGUGAACUAUGGGUGUUAAUCACAUGGUGAUGUGAACUAUUGUUGUUAAAUCACAUGGCGAUGUGAACUAGAUUAUUGACUCUAGUGCAGGUGGGAGACCGAAGGAAAUAUGCCCUAGAGGCAAUAAUAAAGUUAUUAUUUAUUUCCUUAUAAUCAUGAUAAAUGUUUAUUAUUCAUGCUAGAAUUGUAUUAACUGGAAACAUAAUACAUGUGUGAAUACAUAGACAAACAAAGUGUCACUAGUAUGCCUCUACUUGACUAGCUCGUUAAUCAAAGAUGAUUAUGUUUCCUAAUCAUGAACAAUGAGUUGUUAUUUGAUUAACGAGAUCACAUCAUUAAGAGAAUGAUUUGAUUGACAUGACCCAUUCCAUUAGCUUAGCACCCGAUCAUUUAGUAUGUUGCUAUUGCUUUCUUCAUGACUUAUACAUGUUCCUAUAACUAUGAGAUUAUGCAACUCCCGUUUACCGGAGGAACACUUUGGGUACUACCAAAGGUCACAAUGUAACUGGGUGAUUAUAAAGGAGUAUUACAGGUCUCUCCAAAGGUACAUGUUGGGUUGGCGUAUUUCGAGAUUAGGUUUUGUCACUCCGAUUGUCGGAGAGGUAUCUCUGAGCCCUCUCGGUAAUGCACAUCACUUAAGCCUUGCAAGCAUUGCAACUAAAUGAGUUAGUUGCGGGAUGAUGUAUUACGGAACGAGUAAAGAGACUUGCCGGCAACGAGAUUGAACUAGGUAUUGGAAUACCGACGAUCGAAUCUCGGGCAAGUAACAUACCGAUGACAAAGGGAACGACGUAUGUUGUUAUGCGGUCUGACCGAUAAAGAUCUUCAUAGAAUAUGUAGGAGCCAAUAUGGGCAUCCAGGUCCCGCUAUUGGUUAUUGACUGGAGACAUGUCUCGGUCAUGUCUACAUUGUUCUCGAACCCGUAGGGUCCGCACGCUUAAGGUUACGAUGACAGUUAUAUUAUGAGUUUAUGCAUUUUGAUGUACCGAAGGUUGUUCAGAGUCUCGGAUGUGAUCACGGACAUGAUGAGGAGUCUCGAAAUGGUCGAGACAUAAAGAUUGAUAUAUUGGAAGCCUAUGUUUGGAUAUCGGAAGUGUUCCAGGUGAAAUCGGGAUUUUACCGGAGUACCGGGAGGUUACCGGAACCCCCCGGGAGCUAAAUGGGCCAUGAUGGGCCUUAGUGGAAAAGAGAAGAGGCAGCCCUACAUGGGCCGCGCGCCCCUCCCCUCCCUUGGUCCGAAUAGGACAAGGAGAGGGGGCCGGACCCUCUCUCUCUUUUCCCUCCUCCGCGAAUCCUAUUCCAACUAGGAUUGGGGGGGGGGGGGAUCCUACUCCCAGAGGGAGUAGGACUCUCCUGGCGCGCCCUCCUUGGCCGGCCAGCCUCCCCCCUUUAGUCCUUUAUAUACGGAGGCAAAGGCACCCCAGAGACACACAAGUUGAUCCACGUGAUCUAUUCCUUAGCCGUGUGCAGCGCCCCCAGCCACCAUAGUCCUCAAUAAUACUGUAGCGGAGUUUAGGCGAAGCCCUGCUGCUGUAGUGCAUCAAUAUCGUCACCACGCCGUCGUGCUGACGGAACUCUUCCCCGACACUUUGCUGGAUCGGAGUCCGAGGAUCGUCAUCGAGUUGAACGUGUGCUAGAACUCAGAGGUGCCGUAGUUUCGGUGCUUGAUCGGUCGGAUCGUGAAGACGUACGACUACAUAAACCAAACACUUCCGUUGUCGAUGUACUAGGUAUGUAGAUCACACUCCCCCCCCCUCGUUGCUAUGCAUCACAUGAUCUUGCGUUUGCGUAGGAAAUUUUUUGAAAUUACUACGUUCCCCAACAGGGCGCCCCCCACCCUAGGGUUCCCAACCCUAGUCGCAGGGGGAAGGCCCAAGGGGGGCGCACCAGCCCACUAGGGGCUGGUUCCCCUCCCACUUCAGCCCAUGGGGCCCUCUGGGAUAGGUGGCACCACCCGGUGGACCCCCGGGACCCUUCCAGUGGUCCCGGUACAAUACCGGUGACCCCGAAACUUGUCCCGAUGGCCGAAAUAGCACUUCCUAUAUAUAAUUCUUUACCUCCGGACCAUUCCGGAACUCCUCGUGACGUCCGGUAUCUCAUUCGGGACUCCGAACAACUUUCUGGUUACUGCAUAUUCAUAUCCCUACAACCCUAGCGUCACCGAACCUUAAGUGUGUAGACCCUACGGGUUCGGGAGACAUGUAGACAUGACCGAGAUGGCUCUCCGGUCAAUAACCAACAGCGGGAUCUGGAUACCCAUGUUGGCUCCCACAUGCUCCUCGAUGAUCUCAUCGGGUGAACCACGAUGUCGAGGAUUCAAGCAACCCCGUAUACAAUUCCCUUUGUCAAUCGGUACGUUACUUGCCCGAGAUUCGAUCGUCGGUAUCCCAAUACCUCGUUCAAUCUCGUUACCGGCAAGUCACUUUACUCGUACCGUAAUGCAUGAUCCCGUGACCAGACACUUGGUCACUUUGAGCUCAUUGUGAUGAUGGAUUACCGAGUGGGCCCAGAGAUACCUCUUCGUCAUAUGGAGUGACAAAUCCUAGUCUUGAUCCGCGUCAACCCAACAGACACUUUCGGAGAUACCCGUAGUAUACCUUUAUAGUCAGCCAGUUACGUUGUGACGUUUGGUACACCCAAAGCACUCCUACGGUAUCCGGGAGUUACACGAUCUCAUGGUCUAAGGAAAGGAUACUUGACAUUGGAAAAACUCUAGCAAACGAACUAUACGAUCUUGUGCUAUGUUUAGGAUUGGGUCUUGUCCAUCACAUCAUUCUCCUAAUGAUGUGAUCUCGUUAUCAAUGACAUCCAAUGUCCAUAGUCAGGAAACCAUGACUAUCUGUUGAUCAACGAGCUAGUCAACUAGAGGCUUACUAGGGACAUGUUGGUGUCUAUUUAUUCGCACAUGUAUUACGAUUUCCUGAUAACACAAUUAUAGCAUGAAUAAAAUACAAUUAUCAUGAACAAGGUAAUAUAAUAAUAAUGCUUUUAUCAUUGCCUCUAGGGCGUAUUUCCAACAGUCUGCCGCUUGCACUAGAGUCAAUAAUCUAGUUACAUUGUGAUGAAUCGAACACCCAUGGAAUUCUGGUGUUGAUCAUGUUUUGCUCUAGGGAGAGGUUUAGUCAACGGAUCUGCUACAUUCAGGUCCGUAUGUACUUUACAAAUAUCUAUGUCUCCAUCUUGAACAUUUUCACGAAUGGAAUUGAAUCGACGCUUGAUGUGCCUGGUCUUCUUGUGAAACCUGGGCUCCUUGGCAAGUGCAAUAGCUCCAGUGUUGUCACAGAAGAGUUUGAUUGGCCCCGACGCAUUGGGUAUGACUCCUAGGUCAGUGAUGAACUCCUUCACCCAAAUUGCUUCAUGCGCUGCCUCAGAGGCUGCCAUGUACUCCGCUUCACAUGUAGAUCCCGCAGCGACGCUCUGCUUGCAAUUGCACCAGCUUACUGCCCCACCAUUCAAAAUAUACACUUAUCCGGUUUGUGACUUAGAGUCAUCCAGAUCUGUGUCGAAGCUAGCAUCGAUGUAACCCUUUACGACGAGCUCUUCGUCACCUCCAUAAACGAGAAACAUUUCCUUAGUCCUUUUCAGGUACUUCAGGAUAUUCUUCACCGCUGUCCAGUGUUCCUUGCCGGGAUUACUUUGGUACCUACCUACCAAACUUACGGCAAGGUUUACAUCAGGUCUGGUACACAGCAUGGCAUACAUAAUAGAACCUAUGGCUGAGGCAUAGGGGAUGACACUCAUCUCUUCUAUAUCUUCUGCCGUGGUCGGACAUUGAGCUGAGCUCAAUUUCACACCUUGCAACACAGGCAAGAACCCCUUCCUAGACUGAUCCAUAUUGAACUUCUUCAAUAUCUUAUCAAGGUAUGUACUUUGUGAAAGACCUAUGAGGCGUCUUGAUCUAUCUCUAUAGAUCUUGAUGCCUAAUAUAUAUGCAGCUUCUCCAAGGUCCUUCAUUGAAAAACUCUUAUUCAAGUAGGCCUUAAUGUUGUCCAAGAGUUCUAUAUCAUUUUCCAUCAAAAGUAUGUCAUCUACAUAUAAUAUGAGAAAUGCUACAGAGCUCCCACUCACUUUCUUGUAAACGCAGGCUUCUCCAUAAGUCUGCGUAAACCCAAACACUUUGAUCAUCUCAUCAAAGCGAAUGUUCCAACUCCGAGAUGCUUGCACUAGCCCAUAAAUCGAGGGUUGGAGCUUGCACACCUUGUCAGCAUUCUUAGGAUCGACAAAACCUUCCGGCUGCAUCAUAUACAAUUCUUCCUUAAGGAAACCAUUAAGGAAUGCCGUUUUGACGUCCAUUUUCCAUAUCUCAUAAUCAUAGAAUGCGGCAAUUGCUAACAUGAUUCGGACGGACUUUAGCUUCGCUACCGGUGAGAAAGUCUCAUCGUAGUCAACCCCUUGAACUUGUCGAUAACCCUUAGUGAAAAGCCGAGCUUUAUAGAUGGUCACAUUACCAUCCGCAUCUGUCUUCUUCUUAAAGAUCCAUUUAUUUUCUAUGGCUCGCCGCUCAACGGGCAAGUCAGUCAAAGUCCAUACUUUUUUUUCAUACAUGGAUCCUAUCUCGGAUUUCAUGGCUUCUAGCCAUUUGUCAGAAUCCGGGCCCGUCAGCGCUUUUUCAUAGUUCGGAGGUUCACCAUUGUCUAACAACAUGAUUUCCAAGACAGGGUUGCCGUACCACUCUGGUGCGGAACGUGUCCUUGUGGACCUACGAAGUUCAGUAGCAACUUGAUCCGAAGUUUCAUGAUCAUCUUCAUUAAUUUCCUCUCUAGUCGGUGCAGGCACCUCAGGAACAUUUUCUUGAGUUGUGCCAUUUUCCGGUUCAAGAGGUAAUACUUCAUCAAGUUCUACUUUCCUCCCACUUACUUCUUUCGAGAGAAACUCCUUCUCUAGAAAGGAUCCAUUCUUGGCAACAAAGAUCUUUGCCUUCGGAUCUGAGGUAGAAGGUAUACCCAAUAGUUUCUUUAGGGUAUCCUAUGAAGACGCAUUUUUCCGACUUGGGUUCGAGCUUUUCAGGUUGAAGUUUCUUGACAUAAGCAUCGCAUCCCCAAACUUUUAGAAACUAUAGCUUAGGUUUCUUCCCAAACCAUAAUUCAUACGGUGUCGUCUCAACGGAUUUCGACGGAGCCCUAUUUAAAGUGAAUGCGGCAGUCUGUAAAGCAUAGCCCCAAAAUAAUUGCGGUAAUUCGGUAAGAGUGAUCAUAGAUCGCACCAUAUCUAAUAGAGUGCGAUUACGACAUUCAGACACACCAUUACGCUGAGGUGUUCCAGGCGGCGUCAGUUGUGAAACUAUUCCACAUUUUCUUAAGUGUGUGCCAAAUUCGUGACUCAAGUAUUCUCCUCCAUGAUCUGAUCACAAGAACUUGAUUUUCCUGUCACGUUCAUUCUCAACCUCACUCUAAAAUUCCUUGAACUUUUCAAAGGUCUCAGACUUGUGUUUCAUUAAAUAGACAUACCCAUAUCUACUCAAGUCAUCAGUGAGGGUGAGAACAUAACGAUAGCCACCGCGAGCCCCAGCACUCAUUGGACCGCACGCAUCAGUAUGUAUGAUUUUCAAUAAGUUGGUUGCUCGCUCCAUUGUUCCUGAGAACAGAGUCUUGGUCAUUUUACCCAUGAGGCAUGGUUCGCACGUGUCAAAUGAUUCGUAAUCAAGAGACUCUAGAAGUCCAUCUGCAUGGAGCUUCUUCAUGCGUUUGACACCUAUGUGACCAAGGCGGCAGUGCCACAAGUAUGUGGGACUAUUAUUAUCAACCUUACAUCUUUUGGUAUUCACACUAUGAAUAUGUGUAGCAUUACGCUCGAGAUUCAUUAAGAAUAAACCAUUCACCAUCGGAGCAUGACCAUAAAACAUAUCUCUCAUAUAAAUAGAACAACCAUUAUUCUCGGAUUUAAAUGAGUAGCCAUCUCGUAUUAAACGAGAUCCUGAUACAAUGUUCAUGCUCAAACUUGGCACUAAAUAACAAUUAUUGAGGUUCAAAACUAAUCCCGUAGGUAAAUGUAGAGGUAGCGUGCCGACGGCGAUCACAUCGACCUUGGAACCAUUCCCGACGCGCAUCGUCACCUCGUCCUUCGCCAGUCUCCGCUUAUUCCGCAGCUCCUGCUUUGAGUUACAAAUGUGAGCAACUUCACCGGUAUCAAAUACCCAAGAGCUACUACAAGUACUGGUAAGGUACACAUCAAUUACAUGUAUAUCACAUAUACCUUUAUGAUGCCGGCCUUCUUGUCCGCUAAGUAUUUGGGGCAGUUCCGCUUCCAGUGACCACUUCCCUUGCAAUAAAAGCACUCAGUCUCGGGCUUGGGUCCAUUCUUUGGCUUCUUCCCGGCAGCUUGCUUGCCGGGCGCGGCAACUCCCUUGCCGUCCUUCUUGAAGUUCUUCUUACCCUUGCCUUUCUUGAACUUAGUGGUUUUAUUCACCAUCAACACUUGAUGUUCCUUUUUGACUUCUACCUCUGCUUAUUUCAGCAUUGCAAAUACUUCAGGAAUGGUCUUUUCCAUCCCCUGCAUAUUGAAGUUCAUCACAAAGCUCUUGUAGCUUGGUGGAAGCGACUAGAGGAUUCUCUCAAUGGCCGCGUCAUUUGGGAGAUUAACUCCCAGCUGAGUCAAGCGGUUAUGUAACCCAGACAUAGUGAGUAUGUGCUCACUGACAGAACUAUUUUCCUCCAUCUUACAGCUGAAUAACUUGUCGGAGACUUCAUAUCUCUCGACCCUGGCAUGAGCUUGAAAAACCAUUUUCAGCUCUUCGAACAUCUCAUAUGCUCCGUGUCUCUCAAAAUGCUUUUGGAGCCCCGGCUCUAAGCUGUAAAGCAUGCGGCACUGAACGAGGGAGUAAUCAUCGGAACGUGUCUGCCAAGCGUUCAUAACGUCUUGUUCUGCAGGGAGAACAGGUGCUUCACCUAGCGGUGCUUGUAGGACAUAAUCUUUCUUGGCAGCUAUGAGGAUGAUCCUCAGGUUCCGGACCCAGUCCGUAUAGUUCCUGCCAUCAUCUUUCAGCUUGGUUUUCUCUAGGAACGCGUUGAAGUUGAGGACAACAUUGGUCAUUUGAUCUACAAGACAUAUUGUAAAUAUUUUAGACUAAGUUCAUGAUAAUUAAGUUCAUCUAAUCAAAUUAUUCAGUGAACUCCCACUUAGAUAGACAUCCCUCCAGUCAUCUAAGUAUAACAUGAUCCGAGUUAACUAGGCCGUGUCCGAUCAUCACGUGAGACGGACUAGUCAACAUCGGUGAACAUCUUCAUGUUGAUCGUAUCUUCUAUACGACUCAUGCUCGACCUUUCGGUCUUCUAUGUUCCGAGGCCAUGUCUAUACAUGCUAGGCUCGUCAAGUCAACCUAAGUGUUUGCAUGUGUAAAUCUGUCUUACACCCGUUGUAUGUGAACGUUGGAAUCUAUCAUACCCGAUCAUCACGUGGUGCUUCGAAACAACGAACUGUCGCAACGGUGCACAGUUAGGGGGAACAUUUUCUUGAAAUUAUUAUGAGGGAUCAUCUUAUUUACUACCGUCGUUCUAAGUAAACAAGAUGCAAAAACAUGAUAAACAUCACAUGCAAUAAUAAUAGUGACAUGAUAUGGCCAAUAUCACAUAGCUCCUUUGAUCUCCAUCUUGGGGCUCCAUGAUCAUCUUGUCACCGGCAUGACACCAUGAUCUCCAUCAUCAUCGUGUCUCCAUGAAGUUGCUCGCCAACUAUUACUUCUACUACUAUGGCUAACACGUUUAGCAAUAAAGUAAAGUAAUUUACAUGGCGUUUCUCAAUGACACGCAGGUCAUACAAAAAAAUAAAGACAACUCCUAUGGCUCCUGCCGGUUGUCAUACUCAUCGACAUGCAAGUCGUGAUUCCUAUUACAAUAGCAUGAACAUCUCAUACGUCACAUAUAUAUCAUUCAUCAUUCAUCACAACUUUGGCCAUAUCACAUCACAAAACACUUGCUGCAAAAACAAGUUAGACGUCCUCUAAUUGUUGUUGCAAGUUUUACGUGGCUGAAAUAGGGUUCUAGCAAGAAUGUUUUCUUACCUACGUGAAAGCCACAACGUGAUUUGUCAACUUCUAUUUACCCUUCAUAAGGACCCUUUUCAUCGAAUCCGCUCCAACUAAAGUGGGAGAGACAGACACCCGCCAACCACCUUAUGCAACUAGUGCAUGUUAGUCGGUGGAACCGGUCUCACAUAAGCGUACGUGUAAGGUUGGUCCGGGCCGCUUUAUCCCACAAUACCGCUGAAGCAAAAUAAGACUAGUAGCGGCAAGAAAGUUGACAACAUCUACGCCCACAACAAAUUAUGUUCUACUCGUGCAAAGAGAACUACACAUAGACCUAGCUCAUGAUGCCACUGUUGGGGAACGUUGCAGAAAACAAAAAAAUUCCUACGGUUUCACCAAGAUCCAUCUAUGAGUUCAUCUAGCAAGGAGUGAUCGGAUGCAUCUACAUACCUUGUAGAUCAUGAGCGGAAGCGUUCAAAGAACGGGGAUGAGGGAGUCGUACUCGACGUGAUCCAAAUCACCGGAGAUCCUAGCGCCGAACGGACGGCACCUCCGCGUUCAACACACGUACGGUCAGCGUGACGUCUCCUCCUUCUUGAUCCAGCAAGGGGAAGGAGAGGUUGAGGAAGAUGGCUCCAGCAGCAGCACGACGGCGUGAUGGUGGUGGAGAAGCAGUACUCCGACUAGGCUUCGCCGAGCUCUACGGAGGAGGAGGAGGUGUUGGAGGGGAGAGGGAGGCGCCAAGGGCAUGGGUGCGGCUGCCCUCCCUCCCCCCUCUAUAUAUAGGGUCCCCAAGGGGGGCGCCGGCCCUGGAGAUCCAAUCUCCCAAGGGGCGGCGGCCAAGGGGGGUGGAGUGCCCCCCAAGGCAAGUGGGGCGCCCCCCACCCUAGGGUUCCCAACCCUAGGAGCAGGGGGAAGGCCCAAGGGGGGCGCACCAGCCCACUAGGGGCUGGUUCCCCUCCCACUUCAGCCCAUGGGGCCCUCCGGGAUAGGUGGCCCCACCCGGUGGACCCCCGGGACCCUUCCGGUGGUCCCGGUACAAUACCGGUGACCCCGAAACUUGUCCCGAUUGCCGAAAUAGCACUUCCUAUAUAUAAUUCUUUACCUCCGGACCAUUCCGGAACUCCUUGUGACGUCCAGGAUCUCAUCCGAGACUCCUAACAACUUUCGGGUUACUGCAUAUUCAUAUCCCUACAACCCUAGCGUCAUCGAACCUUAAGUGUGUAGACCCUACGGGUUUGGGAGACAUGUAGACAUGACCGAGAUGGCUCUCCGGUCAAUAACCAACAAUGGGAUCUAGAUACCUAUGUUGGCUCCCACAUGCUCCUCGAUGAUCUCAUCGGAUGAACCACGAUGUCGAGGAUUCAAGCAACCCCGUAUACAAUUCCCUUUGUCAAUCGGUACGUUACUUGCCCGAGAUUCGAUCGUCGGUACAAUACCUCGUUCAAUCUCGUUACCGGCAAGUCACUUUACUCGUACUGUAAUGCAUGAUCCCGUGACCAGACACUUGGUCACUUUGAGCUCAUUGUGAUGAUGCAUUACCGAAUGGGCCCAGAGAUACCUCUCCGUCAUACGGAGUGACAAAUCCCAGUCUUGAUCCGUGUCAACCCAACAGACACUUUCGGAGAUACCUGUAGUAUACCUUUAUAGUCACCCAGUUACGUUGUGACGUUUGGUACACCCAAAGCACUCCUACGGUAUCCGGGAGUUACACGAUCUCAUGGUCUAAGGAAAGGAUACUUGACAUUGGAAAAACUCUAGCAAACGAACUAUACAAUCUUGUGCUAUGUUUAGGAUUGGGUCUUGUCCAUCACAUCAUUCUCCUAAUGAUGUGAUCUCGUUAUCAAUGACAUCCAAUGUCCAUUGUCAGGAAACCAUGACUAUCUGUUGAUCAACGAGCUAGUCAACUAGAGGCUUACUAGGGACAUGUUGGUUUCUAUUUAUUCACACAUGUAUUACGAUUUCCGGAUAACACAAUUAUAGCAUGAAUAAAAGACAAUUAUCAUGAACAAGGAAAUAUAAUAAUAAUGCUUUUAUUAUUGCCUCUAGGGCAUAUUUCCAACACUCAAUUCCAUUUUUUAUAGUUUUCUUUUAUAAACUAAACUAGUGAUAAAACAAGAAACAAAAAGAUUCGACUUCAAGAUCUAAAGAUAUACCUUCAAGCGCUAACCUCCCCGGAACGGCGCCAGAAAAGAGCUUGAUGUCUACUACACAACCUUCUUCUUGUAGACGUUGUUGGGCCUCCAAGUGCAGAGGUUUGUAGGAUAGUAUAAAAUUUCCCUCAAGUGGAUGACCUAAGGUUUAUCAAUCCAUAGGAGGCGUAGGAUAAAUAUGGUCUCUCUCAAGCAACCCUGCAACCAAAUAACAUGGAGUCUCUUGUGUCCCCAACACACCCAAUACAAUGGUAAAUUGUAUAGGUGCACUAGUUCGGCGAAGAGAUGGUGAUACAAGUGGUAUAUUGAUGGUAGAUAAAGGUUUUUGUAAUCUGAAAAUAUAAAUACAGCAAAGUAACUAAUGAUAAAAGUGAGCGUACACGCUAUUGCAAUGCUAGGAAAAAAGGCCUAGGGUUCAUACUUUCACUAGUGCAAGUUCCCUCGACAAUAAUAACAUAAUUGAAUCACAUAAUUAUCCCUCAACAUGCAACAAAGUGUCACUCCAAAGUCACUAAUAGUGGAGAACGAACGAAGAGAUUAUGGUAGGGUAUGAAACCACCUCAAAGUUAUUCUUUCCAAUCAAUCCGUUGGGCUAUUCCUAUAAGUGUCACAAACAACCCUAGAGUUUGUACUAGAAUAACACCUUAAGACACAAAUCAACCAAAACCCUAAUGUCACCUAGAUACUCCAAUGUCACCUCAAGUAUCCGUGGGUAUGAUUAUACGAUAUGCAUCACACAAUCUCAGAUUCAUCUAUUCAACCAACACAUAGAACCUCAAAGAGUGCCCUAAAGUUUCUAUCGGAGAAUCACGACGAAACCGUGUGCCAACCCCUAUGCAUAGGUUCAUGGGAGGAACCCGCAAGUUGAUCACCAAAACAUACAUCAAGAGAAUCACGUGGUAUCCCAUUGUCACCACAGAUACGCAUGGCAAGACAUACAUCAAGUGUUCUCAAAUCUUUAAAGACUCAAUCCGAUAAGAUAACUUCAAAGGGAAAACUCAAUCCAUUACAAGAGAGUAGAGGGGGGAGAAAACAUCAUAAGAUCCAACUAUAAUAGCAAACUCACAAUACAUCAAGAUCGUACCACCUCAAGAACACGAGAGAGAGAGAGAGAGAGAGAGAGAGAGAGAGAGAGAGAGAUCAAACACAUAGCUACUGGUACAUACCCUCAGUCCCGAGGGAGAACUACUCCCUCCUCGUCAUGGAGAGCAUCGGGAUGAUGAAGAUGACCACCGAAGAGGGAUUCCCCCUCCGGCAGGGUGCUGGAACGGGUCUCGAUUGUCUUUCGGUGGCAACGAAGGCUUCUGGCGGCAGAACUUCCGAUCUAUUGUGAUCCCCGAUCGUUUUAGGGUAUAUGGGUAUAUAUAGGAGGAAGAAGUACGUCAGGGGAGCCACGAGGGGCCCAUGAGGGUCGAGGGCGUGCCCAGGGGGGUGGGCGCGCGCCCCUACCUCGUGGCUUCCUCGAAGCUUCCUUGACGUGGACUCCAAGUCUCCCGGGUUGCUUUCCUUCCAAAAAUAAGUUCCGUGAAGUUUCAAGUCAAUUGGACUCCGUUUGAUUUUCCUUUUCUGCGAUACUCUAAAACAAGGAAAAAAAAGAAGCUGGCACUGGGUUCUAGGUUAAUAGGUUAGUCCCAAAAAAUCAUAUAAAAUAGCAUAUAAAUGCAUAUGAAACAUCCAAGGUUGAUAAUAUAAUAGCAUGGAACAAUCAAAAAUUAUAGAUACGUUGGAGACGUGUCAACGCCGCGUGGGUCGGGCAUCGUGAGCUUACGGUAGGCAUAAUGUGGUACCGCGUUGAAUUGAGCGAACGCGGUUCGUCUGAGUAGUGCCUGAUAAUCACUGCGAAAGGGGACGAUGUCGAAGAUUAACUCUUCGGCACGGUAAUUGUCUGGUGAUCCGGAGACUACUUCAAGGGCGAAGGAGCCUGUACAGCUGGCCUCCAUACCUGGUAUGAUACCUCUGAAGGUGGUUUUAGUGGGAUUGAUCACCGAAUGAUCGAUGACCAUCUUGCGCACUGUGUCCUAGUAAAGUAGGUUUAGACUGCUCCCUCCGUCCAUAAGGACUCGCGUGAGGUGGAACCCGUCAAUUAUUGGGUCGAGGACUAGUGCGGCUGGAUUGCCCUGAUUGGUGUUAACCGGACGAUCCGUGCGGUUGAAGGUGAUCGGCCCUAGUUUAUAUUGUGGGACGACUGGUUCCGUUAAGUCGACAUCCCUAAGGGUGUGCGUCCGGUCCGGGUUGGGAGUGUAGGUGCCGUUUACUACGUUCACCGUUUGGAUUUGCGGGGGAAAUUUCUUUUGCCCUCCUGUACUCGAUGAUCUGGGCUCCUCGUCGCCAUCGUCGCUUUGAGACCCCUUAUCUUUGUUUUUGGCACCUGACCUGCCGGCUUGUUUGAAGAUCCAGCAUUCUCUGUUGGUAUGAUUGGCUGGUGUUCAUGCGGUGCCAUGAAUUUGGCAUGGGCGGUUGAGUAUGCGGUACAGGCUGGACGGACCCGAAUUUGGCAUGGGAGGGGAAAGCCAGGGUUCGUCCCGUUCGGGUUCGACCCGACCGAGCCACAAACAACGACCGAGCUGGGUGGGCCCGAGUCAGUGGCGUGGCGCGCGCGGGUAUGCCACCAUGUCACCUGACACGUGGGCCCGCUCGGUUAGAUUCAUGGUCAAUACGUGCUUAUACGGCUGUCAAACCGUUUUGCAACACUUAGGCUUAGAGCUGGUACUGAAUUGCAAAAAUUGUGUCUAAUGGUACUGAUUCGUUACGACGUGCCGAAGUGUAGUAGUUUCUUGCAAUUAACUCAAACUCUACGGUUAUAUCACCUCGAUGUGUGAGUCAAUGUGUUUGAACCAAUCAAGAGUUGCAUGUGAAUGUUUCAAGUGUGAUUAAUAGGUCCGUGUUAUAACAGCCACACCUUGCGAAAGAAGAUAGCAAACACCCAAUCAUGUCUAGUAGUUCGAUAUGGGCGCAACUAUGGGUAGCUUAUAGCGACACGGAAGCCAGCGUUUCCUAAAGAAACUCUCGGUUGGGCCGCCCUAGAGACAAAUUAUUUUUCUCUCAUUUUUUCUUAAUAUUAUUUAUUUCUAUUUUAAAAAAUAAAAGUAAAUAUAUUCCACAAACAAAUACUGAAAUUCUGAAAAAAUGUUGGUCCAUUGUUAAAAAAAUAUUGAUAGCAUUAAACAAAUCAUGGUAACAAAAUAAUCUACACAUAUUUAAAAAAUUGUACGUGAAAUUAUAAUGAAUGUUAAAUUUGUUUAAAAAUGUUCCUAAUGUAAUGUACAACAUGAAACAAAUUAUACAUCAAAACAUAUAUUUGAAAAUUGUUAAUUGUUUAUUUGAAAAAUGUUAAAUGUGUAUAGAAAAAAAGGUUCCUGAUAUAUAAGACAAAUGCAUGAAGUACAUGCAAUUUUUUUUACAUCCAAAGAUAUAUUUUAAAAAUAUUAAUCAUGUAUUUUAAAACUGUUAAAUGUUUAUAGAGAAAAAAUGCUCCUGAUGCAUACGAAACAAUUUCCAAUGUGUAUGAAAAAAUUAGACAUGAAAUAAGUAUUUUAAAAAAAAAUUAAUGAUUCUAUUUAAAAAUAUUUCUCAUGUAGAUGGAAAGAAAACUCGACUUAAAAAAGACUCAAAAAGAAAAAGAACGUACAGAGAGCAAAUUAGAAACAACUGAGUGAACUAGCGAUAUGCGAGAACACGUUAAUGGUCCAGCCCAUACAUGAGGACUCCAGAGGUGAGCCUGAAUAGGUGUGAUAUAGCUAUGACGAUUUGACACCCUUCAUAGCUUCACGAAUGCUAUAUCUCGCGCAAAGCGAGAUUAGCAUUUGCCACGCCUGAAGGUGCAAGAAUAGCAUCAGGUCGUUGUAAGGUUUGCAAUCCUACCAUCAGAGCUUCUAUCCGAUUUAAAUCAUGUUUCUGGCAACCUUGGGUCAUUCGCUCGCGCUCAAGCCAUUCGCUCACAGGUUCCACACACUAGUUUGGUUACUUUUUUUUCUUAUUUUCUUUCUUCACCGGUUUUCUUUCAUUUUUUGAAAAAAAAAAUUCAUCGGUUUUCUUUGUGUCUUUCAUGUUUUACUCUUGUUUUCCUUUUUUACUCGUUUAUCUAUCCUUUUUUUUCUUUGUUUCUUUCUCAGUGUUCUUUGUUUAGGGUUUAGGGAUUUCUUUGUUUUCCUUUCUUUUAAUGUCAACCUUUUGACAUAUAUUUUUUGUAUAUAUCAAAAAUAUUUUUGAUAGAGAGGUUUAACAGUUUUCAAAUACAUGAUUACCCUUUUUAAAGUUAUAUUUUUUGACAUCUACUUGUUCCAUAAACAUAGUGAUGGGGUUAUACAUAAGGGAUGGGCCCAAGUACACAUAUGUCCCAGCCAAAGGCCCAGGGUAUUCAAGGAUACGGUCCCAAAGACAAUGGGGCAUUGGAGAUACAAGCCCAAGGCAUCAGAUACAAGGGGAAUACUCGCUAAGGAGUCAAGUGUCUAUAGUCGGAUUACACACCCCCUGACAGACAAGACUCAAUAGUCGGUCAUGAGAAAGAUAUGAGCAGUAAGAUCAUCUACAGUCGGACAUCAGCAAGAUAGGAGCAGUCGGACCAUCUACAGUCGGCUACGUCCUAGGAUGAUGUGACCCUCAUGAUGCAUUCAUCGCCGUUACAUAACUGACUAGUUAAAUACGCCAGUUAGUAUUAAUAAUAGCCACGAACAGUCGAUCAUGCAUGUGACCAUCAAUAGUAUUUACACCAGCCUGUUAUGGCACUCCCUCCUAGCGCACUCCAUAUAAGACAAGAGUAGGACAUCACACGGAGGGUUGAACUCUCUCACAUUGUAACCUACGCCAAGAGCGAGAUCACACAGGAGUAGGGCGUUACCAACACCAUAGAGGGCCCAAACCUAUAUAAUUCCUUGUGUUUAAUCCCAUCUGCUUUACAUACCAAUUAGCUUAUAAUUGCCUCUACAUUCACAUCACCAUAGUAUUGUCAUGGUUAUAUCCAUGACAAGAACUAAUUUUUUUUACAUUAUAUAUAAAAAAAUAAUAUUUUUAGAUGCAUGGUUUCUUCCAUACACAUUAUACAUGUUUGUAUACAUAUCAGGACCAUUUAUAUAUACACAUUAAAAAAACUAAUUACAUGAUUACUUUUUUUAAAAUGUAUACUUUUAUGUCUAAUAUUUUCAUACAUACUGUACAUUUUUUGUACAUCAGGAACCUUUUUAUAUUUACAUUUAACAUUUUCAAAUACAUAAUUAAUAUUUUUUACACAUAUAUUUUUAUAUCUACUUUUCCCUUAAACAUUAUACAUUUUUUUAUACAUCAGGAACAUUUUUUAUAUACCAAUUCAACAGUUUUGAAAUACAUGAUUAACAUGUCUCAUAUAUAUGUUUGUGUCUAUUUUUUCAUACAAAAUAUACAGUUUUUUAUUAAUUAGAAACAUGUUUCUGUACAUGUUUAAUAUUUUCUUAUAAUGCGCAAUUAACAUUUUCAACUUUUCUGUAUAAAGUGAAUUUUACAAUAGAUAUAUUCAGAAUAUUUCAUAAAAAAGGCAAAGUAAAAAAACAAAAAAAAUGCAAAUAUGUGUAAAAGGAAGGAAGAAACCGUAGAAGGCAUGUGUAGGCGCUGUGGCGGCCCAAUAGGUCUGCUGCACAUCCUACUAUCUUGUGUCAAUCGAGACAUAGGCUUGCCCUCUUAAGGAGCAACUAACCAACGGUUACCCCUUGGCGAGCUCCUGCAAGGGUCAUUGUUGUGGUAUGAGAGCACGCCAAGUGGUCCGUCCAACUGCUGUCACAUGUCGUGUGUUAGGUGCUUCCUGUGGAUUUCAUUUUCAUUUUUUAUUUUUUGUACGCGUUUUCGGGUUUCUGAUUGUCUUUUCAAUGGGUUUUGGAUUUCUGCUUUUUCCAUGGUUUUCUCUAGAUCAUGAAAGAAAAAUAUCUUUUUAUUUUCUUAUGAAGCACAACCCUGCUUCUAAAAAAACAAUUUUAUGCUUUCACGAGAAGCACAAUUUUUGUUUCUCAUGUAAUCACAAAAUUGCUUGCAGCAGGCGCACCACAUGUGCUUCCAUGAUUAGCAUAGCUAUGCUUCCACGCGAAUCAAAUAUGUGCUUAUGCUACAAGCACAACCUAUGCUUCCAUAUGCUUCUCGAAAAGAGAAAAGGCACACCCUGUGUUUUCACGAGAAGUACAUUUGUGCAUCCCUGAGAACUGUAGCCUUGCUUCCGUGAGAAGCACAGUCUAUCUAUUACCUAAUAUUAAAAGAUAGAAGAUCUCAUAGUUCUCCAUCAGUCACCUCUUCAUAAACCGUUGGUUUUGUGUUAAUCUUAUAGAUUGACGGCCGAGAUUUAAAAAUAGAUUUGCACAGGAAAAAAAAGAUCCGCAUUGACGAUCCAUCGUAGGUAUCCAUCCAUCCAACUUUCUUUGUUCUGCCCACAUCACGCUUGGUAAAAAAAGAAAAAAAAUCAGAAACCCAUCGAUGCACGAUUGAGUAAGCCGGGAUAAAAAACAGCUCAAUAAAAUAUGGCCAGCCACGCGCGAUCUUAGGAGAAAAAUUGUUUGCCACAUGAUCUAUCUCCUAGCUACGCCGAUCCUCAACGGCGAUCAUGCCAAGAUGUUCGCCAGGAUCCGCAACUCCGUCGACCACUCGGGUGACAUGCCACAGCGACACAACAGGGCAGCAGCGAGUGACAUGGCCGGCUUGCCGGGCCGCGCGCUCUCCGGCUCCAGGUGCGCGCGGCACACCAGACAUGACGCACAUCCAGGUAGUAAUGCAACUGCCCUCGAAGAAGUGAUGCCGGCAUUACACGCACCGCGUUGAGGUUCUGCAGCCACACACUCCACCGACGUUGCCCUCGCCUUGCAGCCGCUCUUCCUCUUACAACUGGUGCUCCUGCAGCCAGUGGCGGAGACAGGGGGGACCAGCAGGGCCCUGGCCCCCCCUAACAGCAGAGAUAUAGUGCUAAUUUGCAGAUGAAUAGUGCUAAAAUUAGUGAUUAAUUUCUGUCAAAUGCAUGUUUUUCAUUGGCUUGGCCCUCCCUAAGCAGUUUUAACAUCAUUCGGCCUGGUUGAUACAAUUUUCCUGGCUCCGCCAUUGCCUCCAACUGCCCCAGCUACCCUGGGGCUGGGGCGACGAUGUCGGCGCCUCGCGCGCUCUGUAGGUGAAGGUGGGGAGCGCGGGGAUGUCCUUGAUGCUCGGCCUGAGGUGGGUUGCCAGAGGCGGGUCGUCGCCGGUGCGGUGGAGCUUGCGCCACUCAGACAAGAGCGACCGGCCAUAGCGGACGGCCACGUACAAUACGACACUGACAAGGACAAUGAUGAUGAUGUACAACAGCAUCAGGAAGGAGAACAACAUGCUCGUCCUUAGGGGACAUGCGCCGACGCGUCCGGCACUCCGACGCAAUGGUGGUGUAUGCGCCGGUCAACAUGCAGUCCAUGCACACGUCGUCAUGGGCGGUGGCGACUCGGCCUACAUCUCCCUCCUGCCCUAUCGGUUCGCCAUUCUCCCGAGCGUCCACAACGCACACUCGCCGGUGGCCGCCACUCUAGAAGUCGAGUCUAGACCGUUCGCCCCAGGGAUCGUAGCUCAGCGCUCAUGGAGCCCUGCUCCAGUGCUCCCCCUAACCUAAUUUUGAAGGAGUAUUUUUGUCCCCGCAAAUUUGUUUUUUUUCUGGCCCGCCGCCGCCCAGAUCCAAGCCCUGUCUAGUCCUGUAUAACCCAGAACGUAUACGUACAGUACCCUGGUUCGAAAAAAAAAACAUCACACGACCCCACGUCCACGUAAGACCUGCCGAAUCCAAUCAUUCACACGAGCAGCUCCAUCAAUCUUGCGAGCAUUGACGCAGCUCCAUAAGUCACGUAGUAGAUCUCCAGCGGCGGCUAUCUCGUCGCCGGCGAUCUCGUCGGACAGCGGGCGCGACAACGUCGUGAAUCUCUAACGAGCGCGCACAGGUACCGCAUCCCGCGUCCCCCCUCUAGUCUCGCUCGCGGCAACAUCGAACGAACUGCCGCCGCCAGUGGUAGUGGUUAACCUAGCGGGGCGGGUAACCUAGCUACCUGGCGGCGCAUGUGAUCGUGGAUCUUGUUCCGGUAGUGCUGCUCCUCGUGAUCUGGGUUCACGUAGCGUCGGUUGCCGUCGGCUGUGCGCACCACUGGUAUCGUUAUUUGAUGUGGCGGCUAACCUAGGUAUCCGACGGCAGAGGUAAUCACAGAUCAAGCUAGGUUUUGAGAUCGUGCAGUUCCUCGCGAUUGAAAGUGAUCGCGACGGGUGCCGUGGCCAUCUUCCUUACUAAGUUGGGCAGAUCUGAACGGCCUCGGUUGCGGUUGUUUACAUAACAUCCGUGAUCGUGUGCUAUGUGUUUUAUAUUUCAUCAUUGAUAAUGUUUGCACAUGUGAUGAUACAUAAUAUUGGUUGUAGGAAAUGGCGGACGAGGAGUUAACUGAUAUCAUGGUAGACAUGGAGUUUGGAGAACUGAUGAAAGACUGGAUAGAAGAUUGGUCAGAUGAUGAAAAUUCAGAUCGUGAAGAUCGGUCAGAGAAUGGGAACGAAUGGGACGAUCUUAUUGUGAGUGGCAUUGUCAUGUUGUAAUUUUUUGGUGGCAUCCGACAACAUUAAAUCUUUGUGUUGAAAAUUUAUAGAUCGAUGAGCUUGAUGAUGAUCAGGAAAACAACUCAGAGCUCUCGAAUGAAGAUUACAUUAGUCAGGUACGUAAGUGAAAAAGAUUGUUGGCAUGCAAAUUGAAUUUCUUCUGGAAUAUUAUAUGAUAAGUAAUUAUGUAUUUGUGUUGUAUUUUUCAGUUCAUUCUCGAAUGUCAUAAUGCGUAUGACUAUUACGGUGAAUCCGACGCGGAGACAGGCCUUAACAACGAAUCAUUAGAUGCACCUGGUUCUGGGGAGUCCGAGUCGUCGGUCAUCAUGAGUGAGGUAUGUGUGUAAUCAAUGUUCUAUGGAAGUAAGUAAUGUUAAACCUUAGAAAUAUGUUUUCAUGGUUGUGGUUUGAUUGUGUAGGUGACACAAAAUGAUGGGGCAAAGAAUGUCCAAGAUACUGCCAGUGCAGAUGAUAAGAGGGAUAUGUUCAUGCAGAUAAUGGAAAUGACCUUUAUGUCUCACGAUGCUGCGUAUGAUUUCUACAACAGCUAUGCUAGAGAUAAUGGUUUCAGCAUUAGAAAGAAUAAGGUCAGGUAUAGCAAAACAGAGUCACGUCAUAUGCGUUAUAGGCGGUUUGUUUGUUCAAGACAAGGGAAACGUGACAGCAAGUUGCUAACCGAGGAAGGACACAGCCGUAGGCUCAGAGCCGAGACACGCUGCUUUUGCGAAGCGCACCUGACCGUCAAGCUUGACCAAAAGCAUGGGGUUUGGUAUGUUGAAAGUUUUGAGGACAAGCAUAGCCAUAUGUUGGCAGGACCGGACGAGGUACCUUUUCUUUGGUCCCACAGAAAAAUCAAAGAGUACCAGAAGCAUGAGAUAAUGUCCACGGCUCGGAGAGCUCGGGAAUCCGGACAUAGUUGGUCCUCAAGAUAGAGGAAAGGUCGCGACAUUGUUCCUCCACCACUGCAAUAUGAUGGGUGACCGGUGGAGAGUUAAUCUCCCUUUGAUCGGGUUUAAGCCCAAUCCGAUCAUAGUCCGUAGCGACUCCCAAGGCGGCGAUGCGAUCCAAGAGCUCGUUUAAGGGGGCGAGCUCCAUUGGAUCCAUCUGUUCGGCGAGUGCCGAUUUGACGUGGAGGCUGUUUUCGAUGACCCGAGAAGUCAUCAUCGGCUCGGCGGCCGAACAUGCGGUCAUGAUGAAACCGCCUAGCCGGAGAGUUUGGCCGACAACCAAAGCUCCCCCAACAGUAGUACCGUCUUUAAAGACGAGACGAGACAUUCUUCCUUCUGGCAACGACACAGAGGAACUCUCAAUGAAAGCUUCAAUGUCGGUGUCAAAACCAGCGGAUCUCGGGUAGGGGGUCCCGAACUAUGCGUCUAAGGCGGAUGGUAACAGGAGGCAGGGAACACGAUGUUUUACCUAGGUUCGGGCCCUCUUGAUGGAGGUAAAGCCCUAUGUCCUGCUUGAUUAAUAUUGAUGAUAUGGGUAGUACAAGAGUAGAUCUACCAGGAGAUCAGAGAGGCUAAACCCUAGAAGCUAGCCUAUGGUAUGAUUGUAUGUUGUCCUACGGACUAAAACCCUCCGGUUUAUAUAGACACCGGAGGGGGCUAGGGUUACACAAGGUCGGUUACAAAGGAGAAGAUGUACAUAUCCGUAUUGCCUAGCUUGCCUUCCACGCCAAGUAGAGUCCCAUCCGGACACGAGACGAAGUCUUCAAUCUUGUAUCUUCAUAGUCCAACAGUCCGGUCAAAGGAUAUAAUCCGGCUGUCCGGAGCCCCUAAUUCAGGACUCCCUCAGGCCCCCUGUUGCUCCACCGACGUACUCCUUCCUCCUAUAUAUACCUAUGUACCCCCAAAUGAUCAGAUACGGAGCCAAAACCCUAAUUCCACCGUCGUAACUUUCUGUAUCCACCGCCGGAGGGGGCAUCGAUCAUGGAGGGCUUCUACAUCAACACCAUAACCUCUCCGAUGAAGUGUGAGUAGUUUACCUCAGACCUACGGGUCCAUAGUUAGUACCUAGAUGGCUUCUUCUCUCUUUUUGGAUAUCAAUACAAUGUUCUCCCCCUCUCUUGUGGAGAUCUAUUCGAUGUAAUCUUCUUUUUGCGGUGUGUUUGUUGAGACCGAUGAAUUGUGGGUUUAUGAUCAAGUCUAUCUAUGAAUAAUAUUUGAAUCUUCUCUGAAUUCUUUUAUGUAUGAUUGGUUAUCUUUGCAAGUCUCUUCGAAUUAUCAGUUUGGUUUGUCCUACUAGAUUGAUCUUUCUUGCAAUGGGAGAAGUGCUUAGCUUUGGGUUCAAUCUUGCGAAGUCCUUUCCCGGUGACAGUAGGUGCAGCAAGGCACGUAUUGUAUUGUUGCCAUCGAGGAUAACAAGAUGGGGUUUUCUUCAUAUUGCAUGAGUCUAUCCCUCUACAUCAUGUCAACUUGCUUAAGGCGUCACUCUAUUUUUAACUUAAUACUCUAGAUGCAUGCUGGAUAGCGGUCCAAGAGUGGAGUAAUAGUAGUAGAUGCAGGCAGGAGUCGGUCUACUUGUCUCGGAUGUGAUGCAUAUAUACAUGAUCAUACCUAGAUAUUCUCAUAACUAUGCUCAAUUCUGUCAAUUGCUCAACAGUAAUUUGUUCACCCACCGUAGAAUACUUAUGCUCCCGAGAGAAGCCACUAGUGAAACCUAUGGCCCCCGGGUCUAUCUUUAUCAUAUUAAUCUCCUACCACUUAGUUAUUUCCUUUGCUAUUUACUUUGCCUUUAUUUUACUUUGCAUCUUUAUCAUAAAAAUACCAAAAAUAUUAUCUUUAUCAUAUCUAUCAUAUCUCACUCUCGUAAGUGGCCUUAUAGGGAUUGACAACCCCUAUUUGCGUUGGUUGCGAGGAUUUAUUUGUUUUGUGCAGGUACGAGGGACUCGCGUGCAGCCUCCUACUGGAUUGAUACCUUGGUUCUCAAAAACUGAGGGAAAUACUUACGCUACUUUGUUGCAUCAUCACUUCCUCUUCGGGGAAAACCAACACAGUGCUCAAGAGGUAGCAAGAAGGAUUUCUGGCGCCGUUGCCGGGGAGGUCUACGCAAAAGUCAACAUACCAAGUACCCAUCACAUACCCUUAUCUCCCGCAUUACAUUAUUUGCCAUUUGCCUCUCGUUUUCCUCUCACCCACUUCACCCUUGCUGUUUUAUUCGCCCUCUCUCUCUCUAUCCUCCCUCUCUUUCUCUAUUUGCCUCUUUUUGCCCGCUUGCUUUUUGUUUGCUUGUGUGUUAGUUUGUUUGCUUGUCGUUAUGGCUAGUCCCUUACCUUCUCCGUUGUCUCCCAAGAAUGAAAUUUUAAAUUUUAAGCAAAGGGAGGGAGAAAAUCUAAAAGAUGCUUCGUAUAGAAUUUGCAAUGCUCAAAAUAGAUCAACUAGGAAGCAAUCUACUUCCGUUCUUCUUUGCAAUUUUUAUGUAGGCAUUACUCCUUGGCACCGUUAUGUUCUUGAUACUAUUACCGGAGGGAACUUUUUGGGUAGCCAUACUUUUGAUUCUUAAAAUGCUAUGUUAGAUUUAUUUGUUUCACCCCCUCUCUUGGUUAAUGGAACUAUAUUAACUUUGGAGCAUGUAAUGCAACGGCUUGAAAUUAUUGAAAAUAAGGUUGCUACCAUAGAAUUAAUUGAAAAUUUGGAUAUGGAUCUAAAGUAGGAGUUACUUUGAAAGAUAUUAAAGAAAAGGAACCCAUAGUUAAUGAGAAAAUAAAUCAUGAUUCCACUAGGAUCGAUAAACUUGAAGGUAUUAUUACCAACUUGGGAACCGCUUUUUCUUCUGUAAAGAAUACUCCAAGUCCUCCCAGUAAAAUUACCAAGCUUAUGUAUGUUCCUAAAAAUAAGGGUGAAUCCUCUAGUAAGGAAAAUGCGGAUCUCAAAUCUAGAAGUAUUCAUCCCAAUCUUUUUACUAUCAUUAAGGAACCAUUUGUUACAAAUGAGUUUUUUGAUGUUGUGCCUAAAAGUUUGAUAAUUAAUAAAAAGAAAGAAAUUCCUAAAGAUGGUAGAUGCCUCAUUGAAUAAUUACCUACCAAAGAUGGCAAUACUUAGAUCUAUCCCUGCUUGUUAUGCCUAGCUAGGGGCGUUAAACGAUAGCGCUUGUUGGGAGGCAACCCAAUUUUAUUUUUAUUCCUUGAGUUUUGCUCCUGUUUAGUAAUAGAUAAUUAUCUAGCCUCUGUUAUGAUUGUGUUUUUUGUGUUUAAAUUAGUGUUUGUGCCAAGUAGAACCGUUGGGAAGACUUGGGGAAAGUCUUGUUGAAUUUGCUGUAAAAACAGAAACUUUAGCGCUCACAAGAACUGCUGUCAUUUUUAUUUGAAAAGUGAUAUUUAGUUCAUUCUUUUUGCAUAUGAUUAAUAUAUAAAUUCCUCACGUCCAGAAAAUUAUUUUAGAAUUUUUGGGGUUCCAUAUCUUGCGCUAGCUACAGAUUACUACAGACUGUUCUGUUUUUGACAGAUUCUGUUUUUCGUGUGUUGUUUGCUUAUUUUGAUGAAUCUAUGGCUAGUAAAAUGGUUUAUAAACCAUAGAUAAGUUGGAAUACAGUAGGUAUAACACAAAUAUAAAUAAAUAAUGAGUUCAUUACAGUACUUUGAAGUGGUCUUUUAUUUUCUUUCGCUAACGGAGCUCACGAGAUUCUCUACUUUAAGUUUUGUGUUGUGAAGUUUUCAAGUUUUGGGUAAAGAUUUGAUGGAUUAUGGAACAAGGAGUGGCAAGAGCCUAAGCUUGGGGAUGACCAUGGCACCCCCAAGAUAAUCUAAGGACACCUAAAAGCCAAAGCUUGGGGAUGCCCCGGAAGGCAUCCCCUCUUUCGUCUACUUCUAUCGGUAACUUUACUUGGAGCUAUAUUUUUAUUCGCCACAUGAUAUGUGUUUUGCUUGGAGCGUCUUGUAUGAUUUGAGUCUUUUCUUGUUAAUUUACCACAAUCAUCCUUGCUGUACACACCUUUUGAGAGAGCCAUACAUUAUUUGGAAUUUCUUAGAAUACUCUAUGUGCUUCGCUUAUAUCUUUUGAGUUAUAUAAUUUUGCUCUAGUACUUCGCUUAUAUCUUUUAGAGCACGGUGGUGGAUUUGUUUUAUAUAAACUAUUGAUCUCUCAUGCUUCACUUAGAUCAUUUUUGAGAGUCUUAAUAGCAUGUUAAUUUGCUUAAAAUCCUAAUAUGCUAGGUAUUCAAAGUUAGUAAAAUUUCCUUAAGAGUGUUUUGAAUACUAAAGUUUGAUGCUUGAUGAUUGUUUUGAGAUAUGGAGAUAAUAAUAUCAAAGUCGUGCUAGUUGAGUAGUUGUGAAAUUGAGAAAUACUUGUGUUGAAGUUUGCAAGUCCCGUAGCAUGCACGUAUGGUAAACGUUAUGGAACAAAUUUGAAAGAUGAGGUGUUAUUUGAUUGUCUUCCUUAUGAGUGGCGGUCGGGGACGAGCGAUGGUCUUUUCCUACCAAUCUAUCCCCCUAGGAGCAUGCGCGUAGUACCGAGGUUUUUGAUGACUUGUAGAUUUUUGCAAUAAGUAUGUGAGUUCUUUAUGACUAAUGUUGAGUCCAUGGAUUAUACGCACUCUCACCCUUCCAUCCUUGCUUGCCUCUUCGGUACCGUGCAUUGCCCUUUCUCACAUUGAGAGUUGGCGCAAAGUUCGCCGGUGCAUCCAAACCCCGUGAUAUGAUACGCUCUUUCACACAUAAACCUCCUUAUAUCUUCCUCAAAACAGCCACCAUACCUACCUAUUAUGGCAUUUCCAUAGCCAUUCCGAGAUAUAUUGCCAUGCAACUUUCCAUCAUCCCGUUCAUCAUCACACAUUCAUUAUUGUCAUAUUGCUUAGCAUGAUCAUGUAGUUGAUAUAGUAUUUGUGGCAAACCCACCGUUCAUAAUUCUUUCAUACAUGUCACUCUUGGUCCAUUGCAUAUCCCGGUACACCGCCGGAGGCAUUCAUAUAGAGUCAUAUUUUGUUCUAAGUAUCGAGUUGUAAUUGUUCAGUUGUAAGAAAAAUGAAAGUGUGAUGAUCAUCAUUAUUAGAGCAUUGUCCCAGUGAGGAAAGGAUGAUGGAGACUAUGAUUUCCCCACAAGUCGGGAUGAGACUCCGGACGAAAAAAAAAGAAAAAAAGAGGCCAUAAAAAAAGAGAAAAGGCCCAAAUAAAAAAAGAGAGAGAAAAAGAGAGAAGGGACAAUGUUACUAUCCUUUUACCACACUUGUGCUUCAAAGUAGCACUAUGAUCUUCAUAGUAGAGAGUCUCUCAUGUUAUCACUUUCAUAUACUAGUGGGAAUUUUUCAUUAUAGAACCUGGCUUGUAUAUUCCAAUGAUGGGCUUCCUCAAGUGCCCUAGGUCUUCGUGAUCAAGCAAGUUGGAUGCACACCCACUAGUUUCUUUUGUUGAGCUUUCAUACAUUUAUAGCUCUAGUGCAUCCAUUGCAUGGCAAUCCCUACUUCUUGCAUUAACAUCAAUCGGUGGGCAUCUCCAUAGCCCAUUGAUUAGCCUCGUUGAUGUGAGACUUUCUCCUUUUUUGUCUUCUCCACAUAACCCCCCUCAUUAUAUUCUAUUCCACCCAUAGUGCUAUGUCCAUGGCUCGCGCUCAUAUAUUGCGUGAAAGUUUAUAGGUUUGAGAUUACUAAAGUAUGAAACAAUUGCUUGGCUUGUCAUCGGGGUUGUGUAUGAUGAGAGCAUUCUUGUGUGACGAAAAUGAAACCUGACUAAACCAUAUGAUUUUGUAGGGAUGAACUUUCUUUGGCCAUGUUAUUUUGAGAAAACAUAAUUGUUUAGUUAGUAUGCUUGAAGUAUUAUUAUUUUUAUGUCAAUAUGAACUUUUGUCUUGAAUCUUUCGAAUCUAAAUAUUCAUACCACAAUUAAGAAGAAUUACAUUAAAAUUGUGCCAAGUAGCACUCCGCAUCAAAAAUUCCGUUUUUUUCAUUUACCUACUCAAGGACGAGCAGGAAUUAAGCUUGGGGAUGCUUGAUACGUCUCCAACGUAUCUACAAUUUUUGAUUGCCCCAUGCUAUAUUAUCUACUGUUUUGGACAUUACUAGGCUUUAUUAUCCACUUUUAUAUUAUUUUUGGGACUAACCUAUUAACCGGAGGCCCAGCCCAGAAUUGUUGUUUUUUUGCCUGUUUUAGGGUUUCGAAGAAAAGGAAUAUCAAACGGAGUCCAAACGGAAUGAAACCUUCGGGAACGUGAUUUUUAGGAAGAUUAUGAUCCGGGAGACUUGGACCCUAUGUCAAGAAAAGAAACAGGAGGCCACGAGGUAGGGGGCGCGCCCCCCCCCCCCCCCCCAGGCACACCCUCCACCCUCGUGGGCCCCCUGUUUCUCCACCGACGUACUCCUUCCUCCUAUAUAUACCUAUGUACCCCCAAACGACCAGAUACGGAGCAAAAACCCUAAUUCCACUUCCGUAACUUUCUGUAUCCACGAGAUCCCAUCUUGGGGCCUGUUCCGGAGCUCCGCCGGAGGGGGCAUCGAUCACGGAGGGCUUCUACAUCAACACCAUAGCCUCCCCAAUGAAGUGUGAGUAGUUUACCUCAGACCUAUGGGUCCAUAGUUAGUACUUAGAUGGCUUCUCCUCUCUUUUUGGAUCUCAAUACAAUGUUCUCCCCCUCUCUUCUGGAGAUCUAUUCGAUGUAAUCUUCUUUUUGCGGUGUGUUUGUUGAGAUCGAUGAAUUGUGGGUUUAUGAUCAAGUCUAUCUAUGAAUAAUAUUUGAAUCUUCUCUGAAUUCUUAUGUAUGAUUGGUUAUCUUUGCAAGUAUCUUCGAAUUAUCAGUUUGGUUUGGCCUACUAGAUUGAUCUUUCUUGCAAUGGGAGAAGUGCUUAGCUUUGGGUUCAAUCUUGUGGUGUCCUUUCCCAGUGAGAGUAGGGGCAGCAAGGCACGUAUUGUAUUGUUGCCAUCGAGGAUAACAAGAUGGGGUUUUCUUCAUAUUGCAUGAGUCUAUCCCUCUACAUCAUGUCAUCUUGCUUAAGGCGUUACUCUGUUUUUAACUUAAUACUCUCGAUGCAUGCUGGAUAGCGGUCGAUGAGUGGAGUAAUAGUAGUAGAUGCAGGCAGGAGUCGGUCUACUUGUCCCGGACGUGAUGCCUAUAUACAUGAUCAUACCUAGAUAUUCUCAUAACUAUGCUCAAUUCUGUCAAUUGCUCAACAGUAAUUAGUUCAACCACCGUAGAAUACUUAUGCUCUUGAGAGAAGCCACUAGUGAAACCUAUGGCCCCCGGGUCUAUCUUUAUCAUAUUAAUCUCCUACUACUUAGUUAUUUCCUCUGCUAUUUACUUUGCCUUUAUUUUACUUUGCAUGUUUAUCAUAAAAAUACCAAAAAUAUCAUCUUUAUCAUAUUUAUCAGAUCUCACUCUCGUAAGUGGCCUUAUAGGGAUUGACAACCCCUGUUUGUGUUGGUUGCGAGGAUUUAUUUGUUUUGUGUAGGUACGAGGGACUCACGCAUAGCCUCCUACUGGAUUGAUACCUUGGUUCUCAAAAAAUGAGGGAAAUACUUACGCUACUUUGUUGCAUCAUCCCUUCCUCUUCGGGGAAAACCAACGCAGUGCUCAAGAGGUAGCAGAUAGGCAUCCAAGAUGGGUAUAAUAAAAACUAUCAUAAAAAGUGCAUUGAAUACUAUGAGAAGUGUGAUACUUGAUGAUUGUUUUGAGAUAUCAAGAUGGUGAUAUUAGAGUCAUGCUAGUUGAGUAAUUGUGAAUUUGAGAAAUACUUGUUCUAAAGUUUGUGAUUCCCCUAGCAUGGACAUAUGGUGAACCGUUAUGUGAUGAAGUCAGAGCAUGAUUUUUUAUUGAUUGUCUUCCUUAUGCGUGGCGGUCAGGGACGAGGCGAUGGUCUUUUCCUACCAAUCUACCCCCCUAGGAGCAUGCAAUGCACGUAGUACUUUGUUUCGAUAACUAAUAGAUUUUUGCAAUAAAUAUGUGAGUUCUUUAUGACUAAUGUUGAGUCCAUGGAUUAUACGCACUCUCACCCUUCCACCAUUGCUAGCCUCUCUAAUAUUGUGCACCUUUCGCUGGUAUCAUACAUCUACCAUAUACCUACCUCAAAACAGCCACCAUACCUACCUAUUAUGGAAUUUCCAUAGCCAUUCCGAGAUAUAUUGCCAUGCAACUUUCCACCGUUCCGUUUGUUAUGACACGCUUCAUCGUUGUCAUAUUUCUUUGCAUGAUCAUGUAGUUGACAUCGUAUUUGUGGCAAAGCCAUCUUUAUAAUUCUUUCAUACAUGUCUGUUGGGGAACGUUGCAGAAAACAAAAAUUUUCCUACAGUUUCACCAAGAUCCAUCUAUGAGUUCAUCUAGCAACGAGUGAUCGGAUAGCAUCUACAUACCUUUGUAGAUCACGCGCGGAAGCGUUCAAAGAAUGGGGAUGAGAAAUUCGUACUCGACGUGAUCCAAAUCACCGGAGAUCCUAGCGCCGAACGGACGGCACCUCCGCGUUCACGUACGGUCAGCGUGACGUCUCCUCCUUCUUGAUCCAGCAAGGGGGAAGGAGAGGUUGAGGAAGAUGGCUCCAGCAGCAGCACGACGGCGUGGUGGUGGUGGAGCAGCAGUACUCCGGCAGGGCUUCGCCAAGCUCGUGACGGAGGAGGAAAUGUGUUGGGGAGGGGAGGGGCUGUGCCUUGGAUGUCCUCUGCAGCCCUUCCCUCACCCCUCUAUUUAUAGGGGAAGGAGGAAGGGGGCCGGCCCCCUCUAGAUGAGAUCUAGAGGGGGGGCGGCGGCCAAGGGGAGGGGGGCUUGCCCCCCAAGCAAGGGGCGCACCCCCUUAGGGUUUCCCCCAACCCUAGGCGCAUGGGCCGUAGGGGGAGUGUGUUGGGUUUCGUUGUAAUUUCAAAAAAAUUCCUACGCACACGCAAGAUCAUGUGAUGCAUAGCAACGAGAGGAGAGUGUGAUCUACAUACCUAGUAGAUCGACAACGGAAGCGUUUGGUUGAUGUAGUCGUACGUCUUCACGAUCCAACCGAUCAAGCACCGAAACUACGUCACCUCCGAGUUCGAGCACACGUUCAGCUCGAUCACGAUCCCCGGACUCCGAUCCAGCAAAGUGUCGGGGAAGAGUUCCGUCAGCACGACGGCGUGGUGACGAUCUUGAUGCACUAUAGCAGCAGGGCUUGGCCUAAACUCCGCUACAGUAUUAUCGAGGACUAUGGUGGCUGGGGCGCCGCACACGGCUAAGGAAUAGAUCACGUGGAUCAACUUGUGUGUUUCUGGGGUGCCUCUGCCUCAGUAUAUAAAGGACCAAAGGGGGGAGGCUGGCCGGCCACAUAGGGCGCGCCAGGAGAGUCCUACUCCCUCUGGGAGUAGGAUCCCCCCCCCAAUCCUAGUUGGAAUAGGAUUCGCGGAGGGGGAAAAGAGAGAGGGGAGGCUGGCCACCUCUCCUUCUCCUAAUAGGACUAGGGGAGGGAGGGAGGCGCGCAUCCCAUCUUGGGCAGCCCCUUCUCUUUUCCGCCAAGGCCCACUAAGGCCCAUAUAGCUCGCGGGGGGUUCCGGUAACCUCCCGGUACUCCGGUAAAAUCCCGAUUUCACCCGGAACACUUCCGAUAUCCAAACAUAGGCUUCCAAUAUAUCAAUCUUUAUGUAUCGACCAUUUCGAGACUCCUCGUCAUGUUCGUGAUCACAUCCGGGACUCCGAACAACCUUCGGUACAUCAAAAUGCAUAAACUCAUAAUAUAAUUGUCAUCGUAACCUUAAGCGUGCGGACCCUACGGGUUCGAGAACAAUGUAGACAUGACCGAGACACAUCUCCAGUCAAUAACCAAUAGCGGGACCUGGAUGCCCAUAUUGGCUCCUACAUAUUCUACGAAGAUCUUUAUCGGUCAGACCGCAUAACAACAUACGUUGUUCCCUUUGUCAUCGGUAUGUUACUUGCCCGAGAUUCGAUCGUCGGUAUUCCAAUACCUAGUUCAAUCUCGUUACCGGCAAGUCUCUUUACUCGUUCUGUAAUACAUCAUUCCGCAACUAACUCAUUUAGUUGCAAUGCUUGCAAGGCUUAAGUGAUUUGCAUUACCGAGAGGGCCCAGAGAUACCUCUCCGACAAUCGGAGUGACAAAACCUAAUCUCGAAAUACGCCAACCCAACAUGUACCUUUGGAGACACCUGUAAUACUCCUUUAUAAUCACCCAGUAACGUUGUAACGUUUGGUAGUACCCAAAGUGUUCCUCCGGUAAACGGGAGUUGCAUAAUCUCAUAGUUAUAGGAACAUGUAUAAGUCAUGAAGAAAGCAAUAGCAACAUAUUAAACGAUCGGGUGCUAAGCUAAUGGAAUGGGUCAUGUCAAUCAGAUCAUUCUCUUAAUGAUGUGAUCCCUUUAAUCAAAUAACAACUCAUUGUUCAUGGUUAGGAAACAUAACCAUCUUUGAUUAACGAGCUAGUCAAGUAGAGGCAUACUAGUGACACUUUGUUUGUCUAUGUAUUCACACAUGUAUUAUGUUUCCGGUUAAUACAAUUCUAGCAUGAAUAAUAAACAUUUAUCAUGAUUAUAAGGAAAUAAAUAAUAACUUUAUUAUUGCCUCUAGGGCAUAUUUCCUUCAGUCUCCCACUUGCACUAGAGUCAAUAAUCUAGAUUACACUGUAAUGAUUCUAACACCCAUGGAGCCCUGGUGUUGAUCAUGUUUUGCUCGUGGAAGAGGCUUAGUCAACGGGUCUGCAACAUUCAGAUCCGUAUGUAUCUUGCAAAUUCUAUGUCUCCCACCUGGACUAGAUCCCGGAUGGAAUUGAAGCGUCUCUUGAUAUGCUUGGUUCUCUUGUGAAAUCUGGAUUCCUUUGCCAAGGCAAUUGCACCAGUAUUGUCACAAAAGAUUUUCAUUGGACCCGAUGCACUAGGUAUGACACCUAGAUCGGAUAUGGACUCCUUCAUCCAGACUCCUUCGUUCGCUGCUUCCGAAGCAGCUAUGUACUCCGCUUCACAUGUAGAUCCCGCUACGACGCUUUGUUUAGAACUGCACCAACUGACAGCUCCACUGUUCAAUGUAAACACAUAUCCGGUUUGCGAUUUAGAAUCGUCCGGAACAGUGUCAAAGCUUGCAUCAACGUAACCAUUUACGACGAGCUCUUUGUCACCUCCAUAUACGAGAAACAUAUCCUUAGUCCUUUUCAUGUAUUUUAGGAUGUUCUUGACGGCUGUCCAGUGAUCCACUCCUGGAUUACUUUGGUACCUCCCUGCUAGACUUAUAGCAAGGCACACAUCAGGUCUGGUACACAGCAUUGCAUACAUGAUAGAUCCUAUCGCUGAUGCAUAGGGAACAUCUUUCAUAUUCUCUCUAUCUUCUGCAGUGGUCGGGCAUUGAGUCUUACUCAAUUUCACACCUUGUAACACAGGCAAGAAUCCUUUCUUUGCUUGAUCCAUUUUGAACUUCUUCAAAAUUUUGUCAAGGUAUGUUGUUUGUGAAAGUCCAAUUAAGCGUCUUGACCUAUCUCUAUAGAUCUUUAUGCCUAAUAUGUAAGCAGCUUCACCGAGGUCUUUCAUUGAAAAACUCUUAUUCAAGUAUCCCUUUAUGCUAUCCAGAAAUUCUAUAUCAUUUCCAAUCAGUAAUAUGUCAUCCACAUAUAAUAUCAGAAAUGCUACAGAGCUCCCACUCACUUUCUUGUAAAUACAGGCUUCUUCGAAAGUCUGUAUAAAAUAAAAUGCUUUGAUCACACUAUCAAAGCAUUUAUUCCAACUCCGAGAGGCUUGCACCAGUCCAUAAAUGGAUCGCUGGAGCUUGCACACUUUGUUAGCUCCUUUUGGAUCGACAAAACCUUCUGGUUGCAUCAUAUACAACUCUUCUUCCAGAAAUCCAUUCAGGAAUGCAGUUUUGACAUCCAUUUGCCAAAUUUCAUAAUCAUAAAAUGCGGCAAUUGCUAACAUGAUUCGGACAGACUUAAGCAUCGCUACGGGUGAGAAGGUCUCAUCGUGGUCAACCCCUUGAACUUGUCGAAAACCUUUUGCGACAAGUCGAGCUUUGUAGACAGUAACAUUACCGUCAGCGUCAGUCUUCUUCUUGAAGAUCCAUUUAUUCUCAAUUGCUUACCGAUCAUCGGGCAAGUCAACCAAAGUCCAUACUUUGUUCUCAUACAUGGAUCCCAUCUCAGAUUUCAUGGCUUCAAGCCAUUUUGCGGAAUCUGGGCUCACCAUCGCUUCUUCCUAGUUCGCAGGUUCAUCAUGAUCUAGUAGCAUGACUUCCAGAACAGGAUUACCGUACCACUCUGGUGCGGAUCUUACUCUGGUUGAUCUAUGAGGUUCAGCAGUAUCUUGAUCUGAAGUUUCAUGAUCAUUAUCAUUAGCUUCCUCACUAACUGGUGUAGGUGUCACUGAAACAAUUUUCUGUGAUGUACUACUUUCCAAUAAGGGAGCAGGUACAGUUACCUCGUCAAGUUCUACUUUCCUCCCACUCACUUCUUUCGAGAGAAACUCCUUCUCUAGAAAGUUUCCGAAUUUAGCAACAAAAGUCUUGCCUUCGGAUCUGUGAUAGAAGGUGUGUCCAAUAGUUUCCUUUGGAUAUCCUAUGAAAACACAUUUCUCUGAUUUGGGUUCGAGCUUAUCAGGUUGAAGCUUUUUCACAUAAGCAUCGCAGCCCCAAACUUUCAGAAACGACAACUUUGGUUUCUUGCCAAACCACAGUUCAUAAGGCGUCGUCUCAACGGAUUUUGAUGGUGCCCUAUUUAAAGUGAAUGCGGCCGUCUCUAGAGCGUAUCCCCAAAAUGAUAGUGGUAAAUCAGUAAGAGACAUCAUAGAUCGCACCAUAUCUAGUAAAGUACGAUUACGACGUUCGGACACACCAUUACGCUGUGGUGUUCCGGGCGGCGUGAGUUGCGAAACUAUUCCACAAUUUUUCAAAUGUACACCAAACUCGUAACUCAAAUAUUCUCCUCCACGAUCAGAUCGUAGAAACUUUAUUUUCUUGUUACGAUGAUUUUCAACUUCACUCUGAAAUUCCUUGAACCUUUCAAAUGUUUCAGACUUAUGUUUCAUUAAGUAGAUAUACCCAUAUCUGCUUAAAUCAUCUCUGAAGGUGAGAAAAUAACGAUAUCCGCCACGAGCCUCAAUAUUCAUCGGACCACAUACAUCUGUAUGUAUGAUUUCCAACAAAUCUGUUGCUCUCUCCAUAGUACCGGAGAACGGUGUUUUGGUCAUCUUGCCCAUAAGGCACGGUUCGCAAGUACUAAGUGAUUCAUAAUCAAGUGGUUCCAAAAGUCCAUCAGAAUGGAGUUUCUUCAUGCGCUUUACACCGAUAUGACCUAAACGGCAGUGCCACAAAUAAGUUGCACUCUAAUUAUCAACUCUGCAUCUUUUGGCUUCAACAUUAUGAAUAUGUGUGUUACUACUAUCGAGAUUCAACAAGAAUAGACCACUCUUCAAGGGUGCAUGACCAUAAAAGAUAUUACUCAUAUAAAUAGAACAACCAUUAUUCUCUGAUUUAAAUGAAUAACCGUCUCGCAUCAAACAAGAUCCAGAUAUAAUGUUCAUGCUUAACGCUGGCACCAAAUAACAAUUAUUUAGGUCUAACACUAAUCCCGAAGGUAGAUGUAGAGGUAGUGUGCCGACUGCGAUCACAUCGACUUUGGAACCGUUUCCCACGCGCAUCGUCACCUCGUCCUUAACCAAUCUUCGCUUGAUCCGUAGUCCCUGUUUCGAGUUGCAAAUAUUAGCAACAGAACCAGUAUCAAAUACCCAGGUGCUACUGCAAGCAUUAGUAAGGUACACAUCAAUAACAUGUAUAUCACAUAUACCUUUGUUCACCUUGCCAUCCUUCUUAUCCACCAAAUACUUGGGGCUGUUCCGCUUCCAGUGACCAGUCUGCUUGCAAUAGAAACACUCAGUUUCAGGCUUAGGUCCAGGUUUGGGUUUCUUCUCUUGAGUAGCAACUUGCUUGCCGUUCUUUUUGAAGUUCCCCUUCUUCUUCCCUUUGCCCUUUUUAUUGAAACUAGUGGUCUUGUUGACCAUCAACACUUGAUGCUCCUUCUUGAUUUCUACCUCCGCGGCUUUCAGCAUCACGAAGAGCUCGGGAAUAGUCUUGUUCAUCCCUUGCAUAUUAUAGUUCAUCACGAAGCUCUUGUAGCUUGGUGGCAGUGAUUGAAGAAUUCUGUCAAUGACGCGAUCAUCUGGAAGAUUAACUCCCAAUUGAAUCAAGUGAUUAUUAUACCCAGACAUUUUGAGUAUAUGCUCACUGACAGAACUGUUCUCCUCCAUCUUGCAGCUAUAGAACUUAUUGGAGACUUCAUAUCUCUCAAUCCGGGCAUUUGCUUGAAAUAUUAACUUCAACUCCUGGAACAUCUCAUAUGCUCCAUGACGUUCAAAACAUCGUUGAAGUCCCGAUUCUAAGCCGUAAAGCAUGGCACACUGAACUAUCGAGUAGUCAUCAGCUUUGCUCUGCCAGACAUUCAUAACAUCCGGCGUUGCUCCUGCAGCAGGGCUGGCACCCAGCGGUGCUUCCAGGACGUAAUUCUUCUGUGCAGCAAUGAGGAUAAUCCUCAAGUUAUGGACCCAGUCCGUGUAAUUGCUACCAUCAUCUUUCAACUUUGCUUUCUCAAGGAACGCAUUAAAAUUCAACGGAACAACAGCACGAGCCAUCUAUCUACAAUCAAACAUAAACAAGAAAGAUACUAAUCAGGUACUAAGUUUCAUGAUAAAUUUAAGUUCAGUUAAUCAAAUUAAUUAAAGAACUCCCACUUAGAUAGACAUCCCUCUAAUCCUCUAAGUGAUUACGUGAUCCAAAUCAACUAAACCAUAACCGAUCAUCACGUGAGAUGGAGUAGUUUUCAAUGGUGAACAUCGUUAUGUUGAUCAUAUCUACUAUAUGAUUCACGCUCGACCUUUCGGUCUCCGUGUUCCGAGGCCAUAUCUGUAUAUGUUGGCUCGUCAAGUAUAACCUGAGUAUUCCGCGUGUGCAACUAUUUUGCACCCGUUGUAUUUGAACAUAGAACCUAUCACACCCGAUCAUCACGUGGUGUCUCAGCAUGAAGAACUUUCGCAACGGUGCAUACUCAGGGAGAACACUUCUUGAUAAUUUAGUGAGAGAUCAUCUUAUAAUGCUACCAUCAAUCAAAGCAAGAUAAGAUGCAUAAAAGGAUAAACAUCACAUGCAAUCAAUAUAAGUGAUAUGAUAUGAGCAUCAUCAUCUUGUGCUUGUGAUAUCCAUCUCCGAAGCACCGUCGUGAUCAGCAUCGUCACCGGCGUGACACCUUGAUCUCCAUCGUAGCAUCGUUGUCGUCUCGCCAAGCUUGUGCUUCUACGACUAUCGCUACCGCUUAGUGAUAAAAGCAAAGCAUUACAUCGCGAUUGCAUUCCAUACAAUAAAACGACAACCAUAAGGCUCCUGCCAGUUGCCGAUAACUCGGUUACAAAACAUGAUCAUCUCAUACAAUAAAAUUCAGCAUCAUGUCUUGACCAUAUCACAUCACAACAUGCCCUGCAAAAACAAGUUAGACGUCCUCUACUUUGUUGUUGCAAGUUUUACGUGGCUGCUAUGGGCUUAAGCAAGAACCAAUCUUACCUACGCAUCAAAACUACAACGAUAGUUUGUCAAUUUGACUCCGUUUUAACCUUCGCAAGGACCGGGCGUAGCCAUACUCGGUUCAACUAAAGUUGGAGAGACAGUCGCCCGCAAGCCACCUAUGUGCAAAGCACGUCGGGGGAACCGGUCUCGCGUAAGCGUACGCGUAAUGUUGGCCGGGUCGUCUCGUCCAACAAUGCCGCCGAACCAAAGUAUGACAUGCUGGUAGGCAGUAUGACUUAUAUCGCCCACAACUCACUUGUGUUCUACUCGUGCAUAUAACAUCAACAUAAAUAACCUAGGCUCGGAUGCCACUGUUGGGUUUCGUAGUAAUUUCAAAAAAAUUCCUAUGCACACGCAAGAUCAUGUGAUGCAUAGCAAUGAGAGGAGAGUGUGAUCUACAUACCUAGUAGAUCGACAACGGAAGCAUUUGGUUGAUGUAGUCGUACGUCUUCACGAUCCAACCGAUCAAGCACCGAAACUACGGCACCUCCGAGUUUGAGCACACGUUCAGCUCGAUGACGAUCUCCGGACUCUGAUCCAGCAAAGUGUCGGGGAAGAGUUCCGUCAGCACGACGGCAUGGUGACGAUCUUGAUGCACUACAGCAGCAGGGCUUCGCCUAAACUCCGCUACAGUAUUAUCGAGGACUAUGGUGGCUGGGGCGCCGCACACGGCUAAGGAAUAGAUCACGUGGAUCAACUUGUGUGUUUCUGGGGUGCCUCUGCCUCAGUAUAUAAAGCACCAAAGGGGGGAGGCUGGCCGGCCACAUAGGGCGCGCCAGGAGAGUCCUACUCCCUCUGGGAGUAGGAUUCCCCCCCCCCCCAAUCCUAGUUGGAAUAGGAUUCGCGGAGGGGGAAAAGAGAGAGGGGGGCCGGCCACCUCUCCUUCUCCUAAUAGGACUAGGGGAGGGAGGGAGGCGCGCAUCCCAUCUUGGGCAGCCCCUUCUCUUUUCCACUAAGGCCCACUAAGGCCCAUAUAGCUCUCGGGGGGUUCCGGUAACCUCCCGGUACUCCGGUAAAAUCCCGAUUUCACACGGAACACUUCCGAUAUCCAAACAUAGGCUUCCAAUAUAUCAAUCUUUAUGUCUCGACCAUUACUAGACUCCUCGUCAUGUCCGUGAUCACAUCCGGGACUCCGAACAACCUUCGGUACAUCAAAAUGCAUAAACUCAUAAUAUAACUGUCAUCAUAACCUUAAGCGUGCGGACCCUAUGGGUUCAAGAACAAUGUAGACAUGACCGAGACACGUCUCCGGUCAAUAACCAAUAGCGGGACCUGGAUGCCCAUAUUGGCUCCUACAUAUUCUACGAAGAUCUUUAUCGGUCAGACCGCAUAACAACAUACGUUGUUCCCUUUGUCAUCGGUAUGUUACUUGCCCGAGAUUCGAUCGUCGGUAUUCCAAUACCUAGUUCAAUCUUGUUACUGGCAAGUCUCUUUACUCGUUCUGUAAUACAUCAUUCCGCAACUAACUCAUUUAGUUGCAAUGCUUGCAAGGCUUAAGUGAUGUGCAUUACCGAGAGGGCCCAGAGAUACCUCUCCGACAAUCGGAGUGACAAAACCUAAUCUCGAAAUACGCCAACCCAACAUGUACCUUUAGAGACACCUGUAAUACUCCUUUAUAAUGACCCAGUAACGUUGUGACGUUUGGUAGUACCAAAAGUGUUCCUCCGGUAAACGGGAGUUCAUAAUCUCAUAUAGGAACAUGUAUAAGUCAUGAAGAAAGAAAUAGCAACAUACUAAACGAUCGGGUGCUAAGCUAAUGGAAUGGGUCAUGUCAAUCAGAUCAUUCUCUUAAUGAUGUGAUCACGUUAAUCAAAUAACAACUCAUCGUUCAUGGUUAGGAAACAUAACCAUCUUUGAUUAACGAGCUAGUCAAGUAGACGCAUACUAGUGACACUUUGUUUGUCUAUGUAUUCACACAUGUAUUAUGUUUCUGGUUAAUACAAUUCUAGCAUGAAUAACAAACAUUUAUCAUGAUUAUAAGGAAAUAAAUAAUAACUUUAUUAUUGCCUCUAGGGCAUAUUUCCUUCAGAGUGGCGCCCCAGCCCACUUUGGGCUGGAUCCCUUCCUCAUACAGCCCAUAAGGCCCUCCGGGAGAGGUGGCCCCUCCGAGUGGACCCCCGGAACCCCUCCGGUGGCCCCGGUACAAUACCGUUAUGCCCCCGAACCUUUCCGGUGACCGUAUGACAACUUCCCAUAUAUAAUUCUUUACCUCCGGAUUAUUCCGGGACUUCGAACAACUUUCGGAUUACUGCAUACUCAUAUCUAUACAACCCUAGCAUCACUGAACCUUAAGUGUGUAGACCCUACGGGUUCGGGAGACAAUCAGACAUGACCGAGACGACUCUCUGGUCAAUAACCAACAGUGGGAUCUGGAUACCCAUGUUGGCUCCCACAUGCUCCUUGAUGAUCUCAUCGGAUGAACCACGAUGUCGAGGACCUAAUCAAUCCCGUACUCAAUUCCCUUUGUCAAUCGGUACAUUACUUGCCCGAGACUCGAUCGUCGAUAUCCCAAUACCUUGUUCAGUCUCGUUACCAGCAAGUCACUUUACUCGUACCGUAAUGCAUGAUCCCGUGAUCAACCACUUGAUCACAUUGAGCUCAUUAUGAUGAUGCAUUACCGAGUGGGCCCAGAGAUACCUCUCCGUCAUACGGAGUGACAAAUCCCAGUCUCGAUUCGUGCCAACCCAACAGACACUUUCGGAGAUACCUGUAAUGUACCUUUAUAGUCACCCAGUUACCUUGUGACGUUUGGCACACCCAAGGCACUCCUACGGUAUCCGGGAGUUGCACGAUCUCAUGGUCUAAGGAAAUGAUACUUGACAUCCAGAAAAGCUACAGCAAACGAACUACACGAUCUUUGUGCUAUACUUAGGUUUGGGUCUUGUCCAUCACAUCAUUCUCCUAAUGAUGUGAUCCCAUUAUCAAUGACAUCCCCAUGUCCAUAGCCAGGAAACCAUGACUAUCUGUUGAUCAACGAGCUAGUCAACUAGAGGCUCACUAGGGACACAUUAUGGUCUAUGUAUUCACACAUGUAUUACGAUUUCCGGACAAUACAAUUAUAGCAUGAAUAAUAGAAAAUUAUCAUGAACAAGGAAAUAUAAUAAUCAUUUUAUUAUUGCCUCUAGGGCAUAUUUCCAACAGUCUCCCACUUGCACUAGAGUCAAUCAUCUAGUUACAUUGUGAUGAAUCGAACACCCAUGGAAUUCUGGUGUUGAUCAUGUUUUGCUCUAGGGAGAGGUUUAGUCAACGGAUCUGCUACAUUCAGGUCCGUAUGUACUUUACAAAUCUCUAUGUAUCCAUUUUGAACACUUUCACGAAUGGAGUUGAAACGACGCUUGAUAUGCCUGGUCUUCCUGUGAAACCUGGGCUCCUUGGCAAGGGCAAUAGCUCCAGUGUUGUCACAGAAGAGAGUCAUCGGGCCCGACGCAUUGGGUAUGACUCCUAGGUCGGUAAUGAACUCCUUCACCCAGACUGCUUCGUGUGCUGCCUCCGAGGCUGCCAUGUACUCCGCUUCACAUGUAGAUCCUGCCACAAUGCUUUGCUUGCAACUGCACCAGCUUACUGCCCCACCAUUCAAAAUAUACACGUAUCCGGUUUGUGACUUAGAGUCAUCCAGAUCUGUGUCGAAGCUAGCAUCAACGUAACCCUUUACGACAAGCUCUUCGUCACCUCCAUAAACGAGAAACAUUUCCUUAGUCCUUUUCAGGUACUUCAGGAUAUUUUUGAUCGCUGUCCAGUGUUCCAUGUCGGGAUUACUUUGGUACCUUCCUACCAAACUCACGGCAAGGUUUACAUCAGGUCUGGUACACAGCAUAGCAUACAUGAUAGACCCUAUGGCUGAGGCAUAGGGGACGACACUCAUCUUUUCUCUAUCUUCUGCCGUGGUCGGGCAUUGAGCCAAGCUCAAUCUCGUACCUUGCAAUACAGGCAAGAACCCCUUCUUUGACUGAUCCAUUUUGAACUUCUUCAAUAUCUUGUCAAGGUACAUACUCUAUGAAAGACCAAUGAGGCGUCUCGAUCUAUCUCUAUAGAUCUUGAUGCCUAAUAUAUAAGCAGCUUCUCCAAGGUCCUUCAUUGAAAAACACUUGUUCAAAUAGGCCUUUAUGCUUUCCAAGAAUUCUAUAUCAUUUCCCAUCAACAGUAUGUCAUCCACAUACAAUAUGACAAAUGCUACAGAGCUCCCACCCACUUUCUUGUAAAUGCAAGCUUCUCCAUAAGUCUGCAUAAACCCAAACGCUUUGAUCAUCUCAUCAAAGCGAAUGUUGCAACUCCGAGAUGCUUGCACCAGCCCGUAAAUCGAGCGUUGGAGCUUGCACACCUUGUCAGCAUUCUUAGGAUCGACAAGACCUUCCGGUUGCAUCAUAUACAAUUCUUCCUUAAGGAAACCAUUAAGGAAUGCCGUUUUGACGUCCAUUUGCCAUAUUUCAUAAUCAUAGAAUGCGGCAAUUGCUAACAUGAUUCGGACGGACUUCAGCUUCGCUACGGGUGAGAAAGUCUCAUCGUAGUCAACCCCUUGAACUCGUCGAUAACCCUUAGCGACAAGCCGUGCUUUAUAGAUGGUCACAUUACCAUCCGCGUCUGUCUUCUUCUUAAAGAUCCAUUUAUUUUCUAUGGCUCGCCGAUCAACGGGCAAGUCAGUCAAAGUCCAUACUUUGUUUUCAUACAUGGAUCCUAUCUCGGAUUUCAUGGCUUCCAGCCAUUUGUCGGAAUACGGGCCCGCCAUCACUUCUUCAUAGUUCAAAGGUUCACCGUUGUCUAACAACAUGAUUUCCAAGACAGGGUUGCCGUACCACUCUGGUGAGGAACGUGUCCUUGUGGACCUUCGAAGUUCAGUAGGAGCUUGAUCAGAAGUAUCUUGAUCAUCAUCAUUAACUUCCUCUCUAAUUGGUGCAAGCACCACAGGAACAUUUGCCUGAGUUGCGCCACUUUCCGGUUCAAGAGGCAAUACUUCAUCAAGUUCUACUUUCCUCCCACUUACUUCUUUCGAGAGAAACUCCUUCUCUAGAAAGGAUCCAUUCUUGGCAACAAAGAUCUUGCCUUCGGAUCUGAGGUAGAAGGUAUACCCAAUAGUUUCUUUAGGGUAUCCUAUCAAGACGCAUUUUUCCGACUUGGGUUCGAGCUUUUCAGGUUGAAGUUUCUUGACAUAAGCAUCGCAUCCCCAAACUUUUAGAAACGACAGCUUAGGCUUCUUCCCAAACCAUAAUUCAUACGGUGUCGUCUCAACGGAUUUCGACGGAGCCCUAUUUAAAGUGAAUGCAGUAGUCUCUAAAGCAUAGCCCCAAAAUGACAGCGGUAAAUUGGUAAGAGACAUCAUAGAUCGCACCAUAUCUAAUAGAGUGCGAUUACGACGUUCGGACACACCAUUACGCUGAGGUGUUCCAGGCGGCAUGAGUUGUGAAACUAUUCCACAUUUUCUUAAGUGUGUACCAAAUUCUUGACUCAAGUAUUCUCCUCCACGAUCUGAUCGCAAAAACUUGAUUUUUCUGUCAUGUUGAUUCUCAACCUCACUCUGAAAUUCCUUGAACUUUUCAAAGGUUUCAGACUUGUGUUUCAUUAAGUAGAUAUACCCAUAUCUACUCAAGUCAUCAGUGAGGGUGAGAACAUAACGAUAGCCACCACGAGCCUCAACAUUCAUUGGACCGCACACAUCAGUAUGUAUGAUUUCCAAUAGGUUGGUUGCUCGCUCCAUUGUUCCUGAGAACGGAGACUUGGUCAUCUUACCCAUGAGGCAUGGUUCACACAUGUCAAAUGAUUCGUAAUCAAGAGACUCUAAAAGUCCAUCUGUAUGGAGCUUCUUCAUGCGUUUGACACCUAUGUGACUAAGGCGGCAGUGCCACAAGUAUGUGGGACUAUCAUUAUCAACCUUACAUCUUUUGGCAUUCACACUAUGAAUAUGUGUAGCAUUACGCUCGAGAUUCAUUAAGAAUAAACCAUUCACCAUAGGAGCAUGACCAUAAAACAUAUCUCUCAUAUAAAUAGAACAACCAUUACACUUGGAUUUAAAUGAGUAGCCAUCUCGUAUUAAACGAGAUCCUGAUACAAUGUUCAUGCUCAAACUUGGCACUAAAUAACAAUUAUUGAGGUUCAAAACUAAUCCCGUAGGUAAAUAUAGAGGUAGCGUGCCGACGACGAUGACAUCGACCUUGGAACCAUUCCCGACGCGCAUUGUCACCUCGUCCUUCGCCAAUCUCCGCUUAUUCCGCAGCUCCUGCUUUGAGUUACAAAUGUGAGCAACUGCACCGGUAUCAAAUACCCAGGAGCUACUACGAGUAUUGGUAAGGUACACAUCAAUUACAUGUAUAUCACAUAUACCUUUCGUUUUGCCGGCCUUCUUGUCCGCUAAGUAUUUGGGGCAGUUCCGCUUCCAGUGUCCACUUCCCUUGCAAUAAAAACACUCAGUCUCGGGCUUGGGUCCAUUCUUUGGCUUCUUCCCGGCAGCUUGCUUACCAGGCGCGGCAACUCCCUUGCCGUCCUUCUUGAAGUCCUUCUUACCCUUGCCUUUCUUGAACUUAGUGGUUUUAUUCACCAUCAACACUUGAUGGUCCUUUUUGACUUCUACCUCUGCUGAUUUCAGCAUUGCAAAUACUUUAGGAAUGGUCUUUUCCAUCCCCUGCAUAUUGAAGUUCAUCACAAAGCUCUUGUAGCUUGGUGGAAGCGACUGGAGGAUUCUGUCAAUGACCGCGUCAUCCGGGAGAUUAACUCCCAGCUGAGUCAAGCGGUUAUUUAACCCAGACAUAGUGAGUAUGUGCUCACUGACAGAACUAUUUUCCUCCAUCUUACAGCUGAAGAACUUGUCGGAGACUUCAUAUCUCUCGACCCGGGCAUGAGCUUGGAAAACCAUUUUUAGCUCUUCGAACAUCUCAUAUGCUCCGUGUCGCUCAAAACGCUUUUGGAGCCCCGGUUCUAAGCUGUAAAGCAUGCCGCACUGAACGAGGUAGUAAUCAUCAGCACGUGUCUGCCAAGCGUUCAUAACGUCUUGGUUCUGUGGGACGGGUGCGUCACCUAGCGGUGCUUCUAGGACAUAAUCUUUCUUGGCAGCUUUAUAGUUGCUGCCAUCGUCUUUCAGCUUGGUUUUCUCUAGGAACGCAUUGAAGUUGAGGACAACGUUGGCUAUUUGAUCUACAAGACAUAUUGUAAAUAUUUUAGACUAAGUUCAUGAUAAUUAAGUUCAUCUAAUCAAAUUAUUCAAUGAACUCCCACUUAGAUAGACAUCCCUCCAGUCAUCUAAGUAUAACAUGAUCCGAGUUGACUAGGUCGUGUCCGAUCAUCACGUGAGACGGACUAGUCAACAUCGGUGAACAUCUUCAUGUUGAUCGUAUCUUCUAUACGACUCAUGCUCGACCUUUCGGUCUUCUGUGUUCCGAGGCCAUGUCUGUACAUGCUAGGCUCGUCAAGUCAACCUAAGUGUAUUGCGUGUGUAAAUCUGUCUUACACCCGUUGUAUGUGAACGUUGGAAUCUAUCACACCCGAUCAUCACGUGGUGCUUCGAAACAACGAACUGUCGCAACGGCGCACAGUUAGGGGGAACACUUUCUUGAAAUUAUUAUGAGGGAUCAUCUUAUUUACUACCGUCGUUCUAAGUAAACAAGAUGCAAAAACAUGAUAAACAUCACAUGCAAUCAAAUAAUAAUAGUGACAUGAUAUGGCCAAUAUCACAUAGCUCCUUUGAUCUCCAUCUUGGGGCUCCAUGAUCAUCUUGUCACCGACAUGACACCAUGAUCUCCAUCAUCAUGAUCUCCAUCAUCGUGUCUCCAUGAAGUUGCUAGCCAACUAUUACUUCUACUACUAUGGCUAACGCGUUUAGCAAUAAAUUAAAGUAAUUUACAUGGCGUUUCUCAAUGACACGCAGGUCAUACAAAAAAUAAAGACAACUCCUAUGGCUCCUGCCGGUUGUCAUAAUCAUCGACAUGCAAGUCGUGAUUCCUAUUACAAGAACAUGAUCUCAUACAUCACAUAUAUAUCAUUCAUCAUUCAUCACAACUUUGGCCAUAUCACAUCACAAAUCACUUGCUGCAAAAACAAGUUAGACGUCCUCUAAUUGUUGUUGCAAGUUUUACGUGGCUGCAAAAGGGUUCUAGCAAGAACGUUUUCUUACCUACGUAAUAGCCACAACGUGAUUUGUCAACUUCUAUUUACCCUUCAUAAGGACCCUUUUCAUCGAAUCCGCUCCAAAUAAAGUGGGAGAGACAGAAACCCGCUAGCCACCUAAUGCAACUAGUGCAUGUCAGUCGGUGGAACCAGUCUCACGUAAGCAUACGUGUAAGGUCGGUCCGGGCCGCUUCAUCCCACAAUACCGCUAAAGCAAGAUAAGACUAGUAGCGGCAAGAAAGUUGACAACAUCUACGCCCACAACAAAUUGUGUUCUACUCGUGCAAGGAGAACUACGCAUAAACCUGGCUCUGAUACCACUGUUGGGGAACAUUGCAGAAAACAAAAAAUUUCCUACGAUUUCACCAAGACCCAUCUAUGAGUUCAUCUAGCAACGAGUGAUCGGAUUGCAUCUACAUACCUUUGUAGAUCACGCGCGGAAGCGUUCAAAGAACGGGGAUGAGAAAGUCGUACUCGACGUGAUCCAAAUCACCGGAGGUCCUAGCGCCGAACAGACGGCACCUCCGCGUUCAACACACGUACGGUCAGCGUGACGUCUCCUCCUUCUUGAUCUAGCAAGGGGGAAGGAGAGGUUGAGGAAGAUGGCUCCAGCAGCAGCACGACGGCGUGGUGGUGGUGGAGCAGCAGUACUUCAGCAGGGCUUCGCCAAGCUCGUGACGGAGGAGGAGAUGUGUUGGGGAGGGGAGGGGAUGUGCCUUGGAUGUCCUCUGCAGCCCUCCCCUCACCCCUCUAUUUAUAGGGGAAGGAGGAAGGGGGCCGGCCCCCUCUAGAUGAGAUCUACAGGAGGGGCGGCGGCCAAGGGGAGGGGGGCUUGCCCCCCAAGCAAGGGGGCGCCCCCCCUUAGGGUUUCCCCCAACCCUAUGCGCAUGGGCCCUAGGGGGAGUGGCACCCCAGCCCACUUUGGGGUGGAUACCUUCCUCAUACAGCCCAUAAGGCCCUCCGAGAGAGGUGGCCCCUCCUGGUGGACCCCCGGAACCCCUCCGGUGGCCCCGGUACAAUACUGAUACGCCCCCGAACCUUUCCGGUGACCAUAUGACAACUUCCCAUAUAUAAUUCUUUACCUCCGGAUUAUUCCGGAACUCCUCGUGACGUCCAGGAUCUCAUCCGGGACUCCGAAAAACUUUCGGAUUACUGCAUACUCAUCUAUACAACCCUAGCGUCACCGAACCUUAAGUGUGUAGACCCUACGGGUUUGGGAGACAAGCAUACAUGACCGAGAUGACUCUCUGGUCAAUAACCAACAGCGGGAUCUGGAUACCCAUGUUGGCUCCCACAUGCUCCUCGAUGAUCUCAUCAGAUGAACCACGAUGUCGAGGACCUAAUCAAUCUCGUACUCAAUUCCCAUUGUCAAUCGGUACGUUACUUGCCCGAGACUCGAUCGUCGGUAUCCCAAUACCUUGUUCAGUCUCGUUACCGGCAAGUCACUUUACUCGUACCGUAAUGCAUGAUCCCAUGAUCAACCACUUGAUCACAUUGAGCUCAUUAUGAUGAUGCAUUACCGAGUGGGCCCAGAGAUACCUCUCCGUCAUACGGAGUGACAAAUCCCAGUCUCGAUUUGUGCCAACCCAACAGACACUUUCGGAGAUACCUGUAAUGUACCUUUGUAGUCACCCAGUUACGUUGUGAUGUUUGGCACACCCAAGGCACUCCUACGGUAUCCGGGAGUUGCACAAUCUCAUGGUCUAAGGAAAUGAUACUUGACAUCCAGAAAAGCUAUAGCAAAUGAACUACACGAUCUUUGUGCUUUGCUUAGGUUUGGGUCUUGUCCAUCACAUCAUUCUCCUAAUGAUGUGUUCCCAUUAUCAAUGACAUCCCCAUGUCCAUAGCCAGGAAACCAUGACUAUCUGUUGAUCAACGAGCUAGUCAACUAGAGGCUCACUAGGGACACAUUAUGGUCUAUGUAUUCACACAUGUAUUACGAUUUCCGAACAAUACAAUUAUAGCAUGAAUAAUAGACAAUUAUCAUGAACAAGGAAAUAUAAUCAUCAUUUUAUUAUUGCCUCUAGAGCAUAUUUCCAACAAUGUCACUCUUGGUUCAUUGCACAUCCCGGUACAACGCCGGAGGCAUUCACAUAGAGUCAUAUUUUGUUCUAAGUAUCGAGUUGUAAUUUUUGAGUUGUAAAGUAAAUAAAAGUGUGAUGAUCAUCAUUAUUAGAUCAUUGUCCCAUGUGAGGAAAUGAUGAUGGAGACUAUGAUUCCCCAGAAGUCGGGAUGAGACUCGGGAUGAAAAAGAAAAAAAAGAAAAAAAGAGGCCAUAAAAAGAGAGAAGGCCCAAAAAGAAAAAAUAAUGAGAGAAAAGAGAGAAGGGACAAUGCUAAUAUCCUUUGACCACACUUGUGCUUCAAAGUAGCACCAUGAUCUUCAUGAUAGAGAGUCUCCUAUGUUGUCACUUUCAUAUACUAGUGGGAAUUUUACAUUAUAGAACUUGGCUUGUAUAUUCCAAUGAUGGGCUUCCUCAAAAUGCCCUAGGUCUUCGUGAGCAAGCAAGUUGGAUGCACACCCACUUAGUUUCUUUUUGAGCUUUCAUAUACUUAUAGCUCUAGUGCAUCCGUUGCAUGGCAAUCCCUACUCACUCACAUUGAUAUCUAUUGAUGGGCAUCUCCAUAGCCCGUUGAUACACCUAGUUGAUGUGAGACUAUCUUAUCCUUUUUGUCUUCUCCACAACCACCAUUCUAUUCCACCUAUAGUGCUAUGUCCAUGGCUCACGCUCAUGUAUCGCGUGAAGAUUGAAAAAGUUUGAGAACAUCAAAAGUAUGAAACAAUUGCUUGGCUUGUCAUCGGGGUUGUGCACGAUUUAAAUACUUUGUGUGAUGAAGAUAGAGCAUAGCCAUACUAUAUGAUUUUGUAGGGAUAACUUUCUUUGGCCAUGUUAUUUUGAGAAGACAUCAUUGCUUUGUUAGUAUGCUUGAAGUAUUAUUAUUUUUAUGUCAAUAUUAAACUUUUGUCUUGAAUAUUUCGGAUCUGAACAUUCAUGCCACAAUAAAGAAAAAAUAUAUUGAGAAUUAUGCUAGGUAGCAUUCCACAUCAAAAGUUCUGUUUUUAUCAUUUACCUACUCGAGGACGAGUAGGAAUGAAUCUUGGGAUGCUUCAUACGUCUACAACAUAUCUAUAAUUUGUGAUUGUUCCAUGCUAUUAUAUUAUCUGUUUUGGAUGUUUAAUGGGCUUUAAUAUACAUUUUUAUAUUAUUUUUGGGACUAACCUACUAACCAAAGCCCCAGUGCAAAUUGCUUUUUUUUGCCUAUUUCAGUGUUUCGCAGAAAAGGAAUAUCAAACGGAAUCCAAACGGAAUGAAACCUUCGGGAGAGUUAUUUAUAGAACAAAUGUGAUCCAGGAGACUUGAGUGGAUGUCAAGAAAGAAGCGAGGAGGCCACUGAAGGAAAUAUGCCCUAGAGGCAAUAAUAAAGUUAUUAUUUAUUUCCUUAUAAUCAUGAUAAAUGUUUAUUAUUCAUGCUAGAAUUGUAUUAACCGGAAACAUAAUACAUGUGUGAAUACAUAGACAAACAAAGUGUCACUAGUAUGCCUCUACUUGACUAGCUCGUUAAUCAAAGAUGGUUAUGUUUCCUAACCAUGAACAAUGAGUUGUUAUUUGAUUAACGAGGUCACAUCAUUAGUUGAAUGAUCUGAUUGACAUGACCCGUUCCAUUAGCUUAGCAACCGAUCGUUUAGUAUGUUGCUAUUGCUUUCUUCAUGACUUAUACAUGUUCCUAUAACUAUGAGAUUAUGCAACUCCCGUUUGCCGGAGGAACACUUUGGGUGCUACCAAACGUCACAAUCUAACUGGGUGAUUAUAAAGGAGCAUUACAGGUGUCUCCAAAGGUAGAUGUUGGGUUGGCAAAUUUCGAGAUUAGGAUUUGUCACUCCGAUUGUCGGAGAGGUAUCUCUGGGCCCUCUCGGUAAUGCACAUCACAUAAGCCUUGCAAGCAUUGCAACUAAUGAGUUAGUUGCGAGAUGAUGUAUUACAAAACGAGUAAAGAGACUGGUUGGUAACGAGAUUGAACUAGGUAUUGUAUAUCGACGAUCGAAUCUCGGGCAAGUAACAUACCGAUGACAAAGGGAACAACGUAUGUUGUUAUGCGGUCUGACCGAUAAAGAUCUUCGUAGAAUAUGUAGGAGCCAAUAUGGGCAUCCAGGUCCCGCUAUUGGUUAUUGACCAGAGACGUGUCUCGGUCAUGUCUACAUUGUUCUCGAACCCGUAGGGUCCGCACGCUUAAGGUUACGAUGACAGUUAUAUUAUGAGUUUAUGCAUUUUGAUGUACCGAAGGUUGUUCGGAGUCCCGGAUGUGAUCACGGACAUGACGAGGAGUCUCGAAAUGGUCGAGACGUAAAGAUUGAUAUAUUGGAAGCCUAUGUUUGGAUAUCGGAAGUGUUCCGGGUGAAAUCGGGAUUUUACCGGAGUACCGGGANNNNNNNNNNNNNNNNNNNNNNNNNNNNNNNNNNNNNNNNNNNNNNNNNNNNNNNNNNNNNNNNNNNNNNNNNNNNNNNNNNNNNNNNNNNNNNNNNNNNNNNNNNNNNNNNNNNNNNNNNNNNNNNNNNNNNNNNNNNNNNNNNNNNNNNNNNNNNNNNNNNNNNNNNNNNNNNNNNNNNNNNNNNNNNNNNNNNNNNNNNNNNNNNNNNNNNNNNNNNNNNNNNNNNNNNNNNNAAGGUGGCCGCGCGCCUCCCCCUCCCCCUAGUCCUAUUAGGACUAGGAGAGGUGGUCGGCCCCCCUUCUCUCUCUUCCCCCCUCGGGGAAUCCUAGUCCAACUAGGAUUGGGGGGGGAGUCCUACUCCCGGAAGGAGAAGGACUCCUCCUGCGCCCUCCUCCUGGCCGGCGCCCCCCUCCCCCUUGGCUCCUUUAUAUACUAAGGCAGAGGCACCCCAGAAACACACAAGUUGAUCCACGUGAUCUAUUCCUUAGCCGUGUGCGGUGCCCCCAGCCACCAUAUUCAUCGAUAAUACUGUAGCGGAGUUUAGGCGAAGCCCUACUGCUGUAGUGCAUCAAGAUCGUCACCACGCCGUCGUGCUGACGGAAUUCUUCCCCGACACUUUCCUGGAUCGGAGUCCGGGGAUCGUCAUCGAGCUGAACGUGUGCUCGAACUCGGAGGUGCCGUAGUUUCGGUGCUUGAUCGGUUGGAUCGCGAAGACGUACGACUACUUCCUCUACGUUGUGUCAACGCUUCCGCAGUCGGUCUGCGUGGGUACGUAGAAAGCACUCUCCCCUCUCGUUGCUAUGCAUCACCAUGAUCUUGCGUGUGCGUAGGAAUUUUUUUGAAAUUACUACGAAACCCAAAAGUCGCAUCCGUGCCUAGGUUAUUUAUGUUGAUGUUAUAUGCACGAGUAGAACACAAGUGAGUUGUGGGCGAUAUAAGUCAUACUGCCUACCAGCAUGUCAUACUUUGGUUCGGCGGCAUUGUUGGACGAGACGACCCGGACCAACCUUACGCGUACGCUUACGCGAGACCGGUUCCCCCGACGUGCUUUGCACACAGGUGGCUUGCGGGCGACUGUCUCUCCAACUUUAGUUGAACCAAGUAUGGCUACGCCCGGUCCUUGCGAAGGUUAAAACGGAGUCUAUUUGACAAACUAUCGUUGUGGUUUUGAUGCGUAGGUGAGAUUGGUUCUUGCUUAAAGCCCGUAGCAGCCACAUAAAACUUGCAACAACAAAGUAGAGGACGUCUAACCUGUUUUUGCAGGGCAUGUUGUGAUGUGAUAUGGUCAAGACAUGAUGCUGAAUUUUAUUGUAUGAGAUGAUCAUGUUUUGUAACCGAGUUAUCGGCAACUGGCAGGAGCCUUAUGGUUGUCGUUUUAUUGUAUGCAAUGAAAACGCGAUGUAAUGAUUUACUUUAUUACUAAGCGGUAGUGAUAGUCGUGGAAGCAUAAACUUGGCGAGACGACAACGAUGCUAUGAUGGAGAUCAAGGUGUCACGCCGGUGAUGAUGGUGAUCACGACGGUGCUUCGGAGAUGGAGAUCACAAGCACAAGAUGAUGAUGGCCAUAUCAUAUCACUUAUAUUGAUUGCAUGUGAUGUUUAUCCUUUUAUGCAUCUUAUCUUGCUUUGAUUGACGGUAGCAUUAUAAGAUGAUUUCUCACUAAAUUACCAAGAAGUGUUCUCCCUGAGUAUGCACCGUUGUGAAAGUUCUUCGUGCUGAGACACCACGUGAUGAUCGGGUGUGAUAGGUUCUACGUUCAAAUACAACGGGUGCAAAACAGUUGCCCACGCGGAAUACUCAGGUUAUACUUGACGAGCCAAGCAUAUACAGAUAUGGCCUCAGAACACGGAGACUGAAAGGUCGAGCGUGAAUCAUAUAGUAGAUAUGAUCAACAUAACGAUGUUCACCAUUGAAAACUACUCCAUCUCACGUGAUGAUCGGUUAUGGUUUAGUUGAUUUGGAUCACGUAAUCACUUAGAGGAUUAGAGGGAUGUCUAUCUAAGUGGGAGUUCUUUAAUUAAUUUGAUUAACUGAACUUAAAUUUAUCAUGAAACUUAGUACCUAAUUAGUAUCUUGCUUGUUUAUGUUUGAUUGUAGAUAGAUGGCUCGUGUUGUUGUUCCGUUGAAUUUUAAUGCGUUCCUUGAGAAAGCAAAGUUGAAAGAUGAUGGUAGCAAUUACACGGACUAGGUCCGUAACUUGAGGAUUAUCCUCAUUGCUGCACAGAAGAAUUACGUCCUGGAAGUACCACUGGGUGCCAGGCCUGCUGCAGGAGCAACGCCGGAUGUUAUGAACGUCUGGCAGAGCAAAGCUGAUGACUACUCAAUAGUUCAGUGUGCCAUGCUUUACGGCUUAGAAUCGGGACUUCAACGACGUUUUGAACGUCAUGGAGCAUAUGAGAUGUUCCAGGAGUUGGAGUUAAUGUUUCAAGCAAAUGCCCAGAUUGAGAGAUAUGAAGUCUCCAAUAAGUUCUAUAGCUGCAAGAUGGAGGAGAACAGUUCUGUCAGUGAGCAUAUACUCAAAAUGUCUGGGUAUAAUAAUCACUUGAUUCAAUUGGGAGUUAAUCUUCCAGAUGAUUGCGUCAUUGACAGAAUUCUUCAAUCACUGCCACCAAGCUACAAGAGCUUCGUGAUGAACUAUAAUAUGCAAGGGAUGAACAAGACUAUUCCCGAGCUCUUCGCGAUGCUGAAAGCUGCGGAGGUAGAAAUCAAGAAGGAGCAUCAAGUGUUGAUGGUCAACAAGACCACUAGUUUCAAGAAAAAGGGCAAAGGGAAGAAGAAGGGGAACUUCAAAAAGAACGGCAAGCAAGUUGCUACUCAAGAGAAGAAACCCAAACCUGGACCUAAGCCUGAAACUGAGUGUUUCUAUUGCAAGCAGACUGGUCACUUGAAGCGGAACUGCCCCAAGUAUUUGGCAGAUAAGAAGGAUGGAAAGGUGAACAAAGGUAUAUGUGAUAUACAUGUUAUUGAUGUGUACCUUACUAAUGCUCGCAGUAGCACCUGGGUAUUUGAUACUGGUUCUGUUGCUAAUAUUUGCAACUCGAAACAGGGACUACGGAUCAAGCGAAGAUUGGUUAAGGACGAGGUGACGAUGCGCGUGGGAAACGGUUCCAAAGUCGAUGUGAUCGCAGUCGGCACACUACCUCUACAUCUACCUUCGGGAUUAGUAUUAGACCUAAAUAAUUGUUAUUUGGUGCCAGCGUUAAGCAUGAACAUUAUAUCUGGAUCUUGUUUGAUGCGAGACGGUUAUUCAUUUAAAUCAGAGAAUAAUGGUUGUUCUAUUUAUAUGAGUAAUAUCUUUUAUGGUCAUGCACCCUUGAAGAGUGGUCUAUUCUUGUUGAAUCUCGAUAGUGGUAACACACAUAUUCAUAAUGUUGAAGCCAAAACAUGUAGAGUUGAUAAUGAGAGUGCAACUUAUUUGUGGCACUGCCGUUUAGGUCAUAUCGGUGUAAAGCGCAUGAAGAAACUCCAUUCUGAUGGACUUUUGGAACCACUUGAUUAUGAAUCACUUGGUACUUGCGAACCGUGCCUUAUGGGCAAGAUGACAAAACACCGUUCUCCGGUACUAUGGAGGGAGCAACAGAUUUGUUGGAAAUCAUACAUACAUAUGUAUGUGGUCCGAUGAAUAUUGAGGCUCGUGGCGGAUAUCAUUAUUUUCUCACCUUCACAGAUGAUUUAAGCAGAUAUGGGUAUAUCUACUUAAUGAAACAUAAGUCUGAAACAUUUGAAAGGUUCAAGGAAUUUCAGAGUGAAGUUGAAAAUCAUCGUAACAAGAAAAUAAAGUUUCUACGAUCUGAUCGUGGAGGAGAAUAUUUGAGUUACGAGUUUGGUGUACAUUUGAAAAAUUGUGGAAUAGUUUCGCAACUCACGCCACCCGGAACACCACAGCGUAAUGGUGUGUCUGAAUGUCGUAAUCGUACUUUACUAGAUAUGGUGCGAUCUAUGAUGUCUCUUACUGAUUUACCGCUAUCGUUUUGGGGAUACGCUCUAGAGACGGCCGCAUUCACUUUAAAUAGGGCACCAUCAAAAUCCGUUGAGACGACGCCUUAUGAACUGUGGUUUGGCAAGAAACCAAAGUUGUCGUUUCUGAAAGUUUGGGGCUGCGAUGCUUAUGUGAAAAAGCUUCAACCUGAUAAGCUCGAACCCAAAUCGGAGAAAUGUGUCUUCAUAGGAUAUCCAAAGGAAACUAUUGGAUACACCUUCUAUCACAGAUCUGAAGGCAAGACUUUUGUUGCUAAAUUCGGAAACUUUCUAGAGAAGGAGUUUCUCUCGAAAGAAGUGAGUGGGAGGAAAGUAGAACUUGACGAGGUAACUGUACCUGCUCCCUUAUUGGAAAGUAGUACAUCACAGAAAAUUGUUUCAGUGACACCUACACCAGUUAGUGAGGAAGCUAAUGAUAAUGAUCAUGAAACUUCAGAUCAAGAUACUGCUGAACCUCGUAGAUCAACCAGAGUAAGAUCCGCACCAGAGUGGUACGGUAAUCCUGUUCUGGAAGUCAUGCUACUAGAUCAUGAUGAACCUGCGAACUAGGAAGAAGCGAUGGUGAGCCCAGAUUCCGCAAAAUGGCUUGAAGCCAUGAAAUCUGAGAUGGGAUCCAUGUAUGAGAACAAAGUAUGGACUUUGGUUGACUUGCCCGAUGAUCGGUAAGCAAUUGAGAAUAAAUGGAUCUUCAAGAAGAAGACUGACGCUGACGGUAAUGUUACUGUCUACAAAGCUCGACUUGUCGCAAAAGGUUUUCGACAAGUUCAAGGGGUUGACUACGAUGAGACCUUCUCACCCGUAGCGAUGCUUAAGUCUGUCCGAAUCAUGUUAGCAAUUGCCGCAUUUUAUGAUUAUGAAAUUUGGCAAAUGGAUGUCAAAACUGCAUUCCUGAAUGGAUUUCUGGAAGAAGAGUUGUAUAUGAUGCAACCAGAAGGUUUUGUCGAUCCAAAAGGAGCUAACAAAGUGUGCAAGCUCCAGCGAUCCAUUUAUGGACUGGUGCAAGCCUCUCGGAGUUGGAAUAAAUGCUUUGAUAGUGUGAUCAAAGCAUUUUGUUUUAUACAGACUUUCGGAGAAGCCUGUAUUUACAAGAAAGUGAGUGGGAGCUCUGUAGCAUUUCUGAUAUUAUAUGUGGAUGACAUAUUACUGAUUGGAAAUGAUAUAGAAUUUCUGGAUAGCAUAAAGAGAUACUUGAAUAAGAGUUUUUCAAUGAAAGACCUCGGUGAAGCUGCUUACAUACUAGGCAUAAAGAUCUAUAGAGAUAGAUCAAGACGCUUAAUUGGACUUUCACAAACAACAUACCUUGACAAAAUUUUGAAGAAGUUCAAAAUGGAUCAAGCAAAGAAAGGAUUCUUGCCUGUGUUACAAGGUGUGAAAUUGAGUAAGACUCAAUGCCCGACCACUGCAGAAGAUAGAGAGAAUAUGAAAGAUGUUCCCUAUGCAUCAGCGAUAGGAUCUAUCAUGUAUGCAAUGUUGUGUACCAGACCUGAUGUGUGCCUUGCUAUAAGUCUAGCAGGGAGGUACCAAAGUAAUCCAGGAGUGGAUCACUGGACAACCGUCAAGAACAUCCUGAAAUACAUGAGAAGGACUAAGGAUAUGUUUCUCGUAUAUGGAGGUGACAAAGAGCUCGACGUAAAUGGUUACGUUGAUGCAAGCUUUGACACUGAUCCGGACGAUUCUAAAUCGCAAACCGGAUACGUGUUUACAUUAAACGGUGGAGCUGUCAGUUGGUGCAGUUCUAAACAAAGCGUCGUAGUGGGAUCUACAUGUGAAGCGGAGUACAUAGCUGCUUCGGAAGCAGCGAACGAAGGAGUCUGGAUGAAGGAGUUCAUAUCCGAUCUAGGUGUCAUAUCUAGUGCAUCGGGUCCAAUGAAAAUCUUUUGUGACAAUACUGGUGCAAUUGCCUUGGCAAAGGAAUCCUGAUUUCACAAGAGAACCAAGCACAUCAACAGACGCUUCAAUUCCAUCCAGGAUCUAGUCCAGGUGGGAGACAUAGAGAUUUGCAAGAUACAUACGGAUCUGAAUGUUGCAGACCCGUUGACUAAGCCUCUUCCACGAGCAAAACAUGAUCAGCACCAAGGCUCCAUGGGUGUUAGAAUCAUCACAGUGUAAUCUAGAUUAUUGACUCUAGUGCAAGUGGGAGACUGAAGUAAAUAUGCCCUAGAGGCAAUAGUAAAGUUAUUAUUUAUUUCCUUAUAAUCAUGAUAAAUGUUUAUUAUUCAUGCUAGAAUUGUAUUAACCGGAAACAUAAUACAUGUGUGAAUACAUAGACAAACAAAGUGUCACUAGUAUGCCUCUACUUGACUAGCUCGUUAAUCAAAGAUGGUUAUGUUUCCUAACCAUGAACAAUGAGUUGUUAUUUGAUUAACGAGGUCACAUCAUUAGUUGAAUGAUCUGAUUGACAUGACCCGUUCCAUUAGCUUAGCACCCGAUCGUUUAGUAAGUUGCUAUUGCUUUCUUCAAGACUUAUACAUGUUCCUAUAACUAUGAGAUUAUGCAACUCCCGUUUGCCGGAGGAACACUUUGGAUGCUACCAAACGUCACAACGUAACUGGGUGAUUAUAAAGGAGCAUUACAGGUGUCUCCAAAGGUAGAUGUUGGGUUGGCGUAUUUCGAGAUUAGGGUUUGUCACUCCGAUUGUCGGAGAGGUAUCUCUGGGCCCUCUCGGUAAUGCACAUCACAUAAGCCUUGCAAGCAUUGCAAUUAAUGAGUUAGUUGUGAGAUGAUAUAUUACAGAACGAGUAAAGAGACUUGCCGGUAACGAGAUUGAACUAGGUAUUGGAUACCGACGAUCGAAUCUCGGGCAAGUAACAUACCGAUGACAAAGGGAACAACGUAUGUUGUUAUGCGGUCUGACCGAUAAAGAUCUUCGUAGAAUAUGUAGGAGCCAAUAUGGUCAUCCAGGUCUGGCUAUUGGUUAUUGACCGGAGACGUGUCUCAGUCAUGUCUACAUUGUUCUCGAACCCGUAGGGUCCGCACGCUUAAGGUUACGAUGACAGUUAUAUUAUGAGUUUAUGCAUUUUGAUGUACCGAAGGUUGUUCGGAGUCCCGGAUGUGAUCACGGACAUGAUGAGGAGUCUCGAAAUGGUCGAGACGUAAAGAUUGAUAUAUUGGAAGCCUAUGUUUGGAUAUCGGAAGUGUUCCGGGUGAAAUCGGGAUUUUACCGGAGUACCGGGAGGUUACCGGAACCCCCCNNNNNNNNNNNNNNNNNNNNNNNNNNNNNNNNNNNNNNNNNNNNNNNNNNNNNNNNNNNNNNNNNNNNNNNNNNNNNNNNNNNNNNNNNNNNNNNNNNNNNNNNNNNNNNNNNNNNNNNNNNNNNNNNNNNNNNNNNNNNNNNNNNNNNNNNNNNNNNNNNNNNNNNNNNNNNNNNNNNNNNNNNNNNNNNNNNNNNNNNNNNNNNNNNNNNNNNNNNNNNNNNNNNNNNNNNNNNNNNNNNNNNNNNNNNNNNNNNNNNNNNAAGGAGAAAGGGGCAGCCCAAGGUGGCCGCGCGCCUCCCCCCUUCCCCUAGUCCUAUUAGGACUAGGAGAGGUGGCCGGCCCCCCUUCUCUCUCUUUCCCCCUCGGGGAAUCCUAGUCCAACUAGGAUUGGGGGGGAGUCCUACUCCCGGAAGGAGAAGGACUCCUCCUGCGCCCUCCUCCUGGCCGGCGCCCCCUCCCCCUUGGCUCCUUUAUAUACUAAGGCAGAGGCACCCCAGAAACACAUAAGUUGAUCCACGUGAUCUAUUCCUUAGCCGUGUGCGGUGCCCCCAGCCACCAUAUUUCUCGAUAAUACUGUAGCGGAGUUUAGGCGAAGCCCUGCUGCUGUAGUGCAUCAAGAUCGUCACCACGCCGUUGUGCUGACGGAAUUCUUCCCCAACACUUUGCUGGAUCGGAGUCUGGGGGUCGUCAUCGAGCUGAACGUGUGCUCGAACUCGGAGGUGCCGUAGUUUCGGUGCUUGAUCGGUUGGAUCGCGAAGACGUACGACUACUUCCUCUACGUUGUGUCAACGCUUCCGCAGUCGGUCUGCGUGGGUACGUAGACAGCACUCUCCCCUCUCAUUGCUAUGCAUCACCAUGAUCUUGCGUGUGCGUAGGAAAUUUUUUGAAAUUACUACGAAACCCAACAGCCACGAGGCAGGACGGCGCACCUAGGGGGUAGGCCCGCCCUCCACACUCGUGGGCCCCUUGCAGCUCCACUGACGUACUUCUUCCUCCUAUAUAUACCCAUAUACCGCGAAAACAUCCAGGAGCACCACGAAACCCUAUUUCCAUCGCCACAACCUUCUGUACCCGUGAGAUCCCAUCUUGGGGCCUUUUUCGACGCUCCGCCGGAGGGGGAAUUGAUCAUGGAGGGCUUCUACAUCAACACCAUAGCCUCUCCGAUGAUGUGUGAGUAGUUUACCACAGACCUUCGGGUCCAUAGUUAUUAGCUAGAUGGCUUCUUCUCUCUCUUUGGAUCUCAAUACAAAGUUCUCCUCGAUUCUCUUGGAGAUCUAUUCGAUGUAAUUUCUUUUUGCGGUGUGUUUGUCGAUAUCCGAUGAAUUGUGGGUUUAAUCAAGAUUAUCUAUGAACAAUAUUUGAUUCUUCUCUGAAUUCUUUUAUGCAUGAUUUAAAUAUCUUUGCAAGUCUCUUCGAAUUAUCAAUUUGGUUUGGCCUACUAGAUUGAUCUUUCUUGCAAUGGGAGAAGUGCUUAGCUUUGGGUUCAAUCUUGCGGUGUCCUUUCCCAGUGACAGCAGGGGCAGCAAGGCACGUAUUGUAUUAUUGACAUCGAGGAUAAAAAGAUGGGGUUUAUAUCAUAUUGCUUCAGUUUAUUCCUCUACAUCAUGUCGUCUUGCCUAAUGUGUUACUCUGUUCUUAUGAACUUAAUACUCUAGAUGCAUGCUGGAUAGCGGUCGAUGUGUGGAGUAGUAGUAGUAGAUGCAGAAUCGUUUAGGUCUACUUGUCGCGGACGUGAUGCCUAUAUACAUGAUCAUGCCUAGAUAUUCUCAUAAUUAUUCGAUUUUCUAUCAAUUGCUCGACAGUAAUUUGUUCACCCACCGUAGAAUUUGCUAUCUUGAGAGAAGCCACUAGUGAAACCUAUGGCCCCCGGGUCUAUCUUCCAUCAUAUCUAUUUUCUAUUUCUAUCAUAGUUUAUUUUUGCAAUCUUUACUUUCCAAUCUAUACCAUAAAAAAUACCAAAAAUAUUUAUCUUAUUAUCUCUACAGAUCUCACUUUGUAAGUGACCGUGAAGGGAUUGACAACCCCUUUAUCGCGUUCGUUGCAAGGUUCUUGUUUGUUUGUGCAGGUACUAGGCAAAUUUCGUGUUACCUCCUACAGGAUUGAUACCUUGAUUCUCAAAAACUGAGGGGGAAAUACUUACGCUAUUGUGCUGCAUCACCCUUUCCUCUUCAAGGGAAAACCAACGCUUGCUCAAGAGUUAGCAGAUGCCAAUUCAAAUAAUCAUCAAAAUAAUUCUCCUACACGCGUUAUUCAGAUGGAGAAGAAGCGGUUGGCGUGGACAUUUCGUUUCUUAUCGAUGUCCAAGAGAAAAGCUACUAGGAAGUUCGUCCGCGCGGUGGAUUAUAAGUUUAAGUCUGUUACAUGAUACGUCCAUUUUGUAUCAUGUUUUCUUACUAUUAUUUAUAAUGUUUUAUCCAUAAUAAUGCUUUUUGGAGUAAUUCUAAUGUCUUUUCUCUCAUAAUUUGCAGUGUACACACAAAGAGGGAGAAUUUCGGCAGCUGGAAAUCUUGACCUGGGAAAGCUACAUCAGGCUACCUAUUCUGCACAACUCCAAACAAGCUGAAACUUGACAAUGAUUUUUUAUGGAAUAUAUAAGAAAUACUGGAGGAAAUAACUACCAUAGGGGGCCCAUCAGGUGGGCACAACCCACCUGGGCACGCUAGGGAGCCCAGGCAUGCCCUGGUGGGUUGUGCUCACCCAGGCCCACCUCUGGUGCCCAUCUUCUGGUAUAUAAGUCAUUUUAACCUAGAAAAAAUAAGGAUAAGGCUUUUGGGACGGAGCGCUGCCGUCUCGAGGCGGAACUUGGGCAGGAGCACUUUUGCCCUCCGGCGGAGCGAUUCCGCCNNNNNNNNNNNNNNNNNNNNNNNNNNNNNNNNNNNNNNNNNNNNNNNNNNNNNNNNNNNNNNNNNNNNNNNNNNNNNNNNNNNNNNNNNNNNNNNNNNNNNNNNNNNNNNNNNNNNNNNNNNNNNNNNNNNNNNNNNNNNNNNCAUCGUCCUCAUCAUCACCAACAACUCUCCCAUCUUGGGGAGGGUUAUCUCCAUCAACAUCUUCAACAACACCAUCUCAUCUCAAACCCUAGUUCAUCUCUUGUGUUCAAUCUUGUUACCGGAACUAUAGAUUGGUGCUUGUGGGUGACUGGUAGUGUUGAUUACAUCUUGUAGUUGAUUACUAUAUGGUUUAUUUGGUGGAAGAUUAUAUGUUCAGAUCCAUUAUGCUAUUUAAUACUCCUCUGAGCAUGAGCAUGUUUAUCAUUUGUGAGUAGUUACUUUCGUUCUUGAGGUUACGGGAGAAAUCAUGUUCCAAGUAAUCCUGUGAACUUCAUAUGUGUUCGAUAUUUUGAUAUUAUGUAUGUUGUGAUUCCCUUAGUGGUGCCAUAUUUGAACGUCGACUACAUGACACUUCACCAUAUUUGGGCCUAAGCGAAUGCAUUGUGGAGUAGCAAUUAGAUGAUGGGUUGCUAGAGUGACAGAAACUUAAAUCCCAGUUUAUGCGCUAUUCCGUAAGGGACCGAUUGGAUCCAAAAGUUUAAUGCUAUGGCUAGAAUUUAUUCAUAAUACUUUUCUCAUAGUUGCGGAUGCUUGCGGGAGGGUUAAUCAUAAGUAGGAGGUUUGUUCAAGUAAGAACAUCACCUAAGCACCGGUCCACCCACAUAUCAAAUUAUCAAAGUAGCGAACACAAAUCGAACCAACAUGACAAAAGUGACUAGAUGAAAAUCCCGUGUAGCCUCAAGAACGCUUUGCUUAUCAUAAGAGACCGUUUUGGCCUGUCCUUUUGCCUCAAAAGGAUUGGGAUACCUUGCUGCACUUUUGUCACUACUAUUGUUACUUGUUACAAAUUAUCUUGCUAUCAAACUACUUUGCUACUUACAAUUUCAGCACUUGCAAACAUUACCUUACUGAAAACUACUUGUCAUUUCCUUCUGCUCCUUGUUGGGUUUGACACUCUUACUUAUCGAAAAGAGCUAUAAUUGAUCCCCUAUACUUGUGGGUCAUCAUUACAACAUCCAAUCAUCCAUAUAAUCUCUGUGUUUCUUCUGUUUUCUACCAGUCAUAUUUCAUAUGUGCAUCAGAGGAAAAAUGCUUUCAGCGGGCAUGUUGGAGUGCACAUACCAAGUUCCCAGAUUGCAAAUAUGAUCCUGGGCUCCUAGCCAUUAAUAUGUUUAAUUCCACAUUUUCUUCAUCUAAUUUCUAAAUGACUAGACAACCUGUUAUACUCUUAUAGAAUUAUGAGCCGCCCAAACCAUGUUUCUCUUGGUCUAAUUUCUAAAUGAUAAUGUGCAACAUCUAUCUCCUUGUGAACCUUUUUUUUCUUCCGACUGUAUCCCCUGGUGAACCUAUCUUACGAUAAGAUUUUUUAGGGCAUUUUUUGAUGAUUUUUUCCUAUAGCCCUUAAAUAAAAUCAAAUAAAAUCAAGUGCAACUCACAGUAAGUUUUCUGCUCCUAGCUAGUUGUAAAGAACAAGUUCAAUUCAGUCUGAUUUAGUUCUUGACAUGACCGUGCUGCCAGCAACUCCUUUUCUCUAGCUAGCACAAUAAUUGUACUUGUUUGAUGUAAAGGACAUAAAUACAAAGAAAUAAAUUGGAAGCUUAUUUCAAAUUAACUAGCUAGUGGUGUUUGUGAAGUUCAAGAAAAAUCUAGUCUUUUUCUCGACAAAUAAGUUGACAUGCAAGGAAUCAAUGAAUGUAUUUGCAAGAAAGCAAACAUAAUUAUCGAUAAAAUUGGUUGUGAUUGUCACUAUAGACAAUGGUAGUAGCUAAUUGGAACUAGAUACAAACCAAUAAAAAACAAGAUCUCAAAUCUCCAACCAAUAAAGAGUUCAACCCAAAUUUUACAAUUACACUAUUAUAUUUAAAUAGUGAUUAUUGUAAUACAUGGCUAAUUAAUUAAUGCACUAGGUUGCGCUUGUGACCAGGCAAGACAAACUUAUGAACUUGCAUGCAUGGCAAUCAGAUCGACAUCCACACAAUGCCGAUAUGAACAUUUUCUUAAUACACCUUUAUUUGUAUUUUAUUUCAGAAUUUAAACAACUAGUUUGAGCGGGUCACACAUGACGUUGUGUGACACUUUAUUUGUCACCGCUACAUUGACAUAUCCAUCGACUAAACAACGGUGAUCCAACUAUAUAUUACUAGAGAUCUUUUCUUAUCAGUAGACACCAACUCCGAUGCCAACGCCUAAUGGCACACUAGUGGUGGUUUCGUACAACGGCACAUUGACACUGCACAUUGUUGGCAGGGUACGGAGUGCAAUGGAAGUCAUCACCUCAAGCUGAGCUAUCUGGUGUGGCUGCAAAAAGGUACCAUGUGCCAAUUGUUGUUGUUGAGGUUGUUGCCCGAGUUGCUGCUGCAACUGCUGUUGGGGUUGGGAGACACAUUGGCCCAACUGUUGGGGUUGUUGUUGCUGAUAUUGGAUGAUACUCUGACCCUGUUGUUGUUGUUGUUGUUGCUGCUGCUGCUGCUGCAGGAUGAUAGAGUAGAUGAUAGCACGGAUUGACUCAUGGCGGGAUUGCUCGGGGAUUUGCCGCAACUGCUGGCAACAUUGUUGCUGCAUCACAUGGCAAAUGCUCUGCUGCAACAUUUGUGACCUAGCAAGACAUCGCUGCAUUGCCACAGGGAUGCACUGCUGCUGGAGGAAUACCUUGCAUGGGUUUAGCUGCUGCAAAACAGAUGGAUGAAUAACUGGUAUUUGUUGUUGCUGUGAAAAUGGUGGUUGUUGUUGCUGCGAAAAUGGUGGUUGUUGCUGCUGUGAAAUUGGUGGCUGUUGUGAAAAUGGUGGUUGUUGUUGCUGUGUAAAUGGUUGUUGUUGUUGUUGUUGCUGCUGCUGCUGCUGUGAAAUUGGUGGCUGUUGUGAAAACGAUGGUUGUUGUUGCUGUGUAAAUGGUGGUUGUUGUUGUUGCUGCAAAAAUGGUGGUUGUUGUUGCUGCGAAAAUGGUNNNNNNNNNNNNNNNNNNNNNNNNNNNNNNNNNNNNNNNNNNNNNNNNNNNNNNNNNNNNNNNNNNNNNNNNNNNNNNNNNNNNNNNNNNNNNNNNNNNNNNNNNNNNNNNNNNNNNNNNNNNNNNNNNNNNNNNNNNNNNNNNNNNNNNNNNNNNNNNNNNNNNNNNNNNNNNNNNNNNNNNNNNNNNNNNNNNNNNNNNNNNNNNNNNNNNNNNNNNNNNNNNNNNNNNNNNNNNNNNNNNNNNNNNNNNNNNNNNNNNNNNNNNNNNNNNNNNNNNNNNNNNNNNNNNNNNNNNNNNNNNNNNNNNNNNNNNNNNNNNNNNNNNNNNNNNAAUUGUGGUUGUUGUUGCUGUGAAAAUGGUGGUUGUUGCUGCUGUGAAAUUGGUGGCUGUUGUGAAAACGGUGGUUGUUGUUGCUGCAAAAAUGGUGGUUGUUGUUGUUGUUGCGAAAAUGGUGAUUGCUGUUGCUGCGAAAAUGGUGGUUGUUGUUGCUGUGAAAAUGGUGGUUGUUGUUGUUGCUGUGAAAUUUGCGCAACGGCACUUGCCGCCGCAAGAGCGAGGAGGGCAAAGACGAGGAAGGUCUUCAUUGUGGAUUGGUGUUAACUAGUGUUGUUUGGCUUUGAUGCUUGUGCUUG